AGCAGUGCAAUCGUUUGAUUGAACUGCAGGUUGCGGGCAUCAUACUAAAGCAUAACCUUGCCUCUAGGACAACAAUGAAAAUAUCCACGCAUUAAUCCUCAAUUUUACGCUUGUAAAAUAUGUAAUGUUCUUUUACAGAGUCAGAAAAUGGCGUCAUGAAUAUAAUAUAAAAGCUUUUUAACUUUUCACUGAUCACCACAUAGAAAAAUACAAGCUUAGAGCCGACUGAGCUUACUUGUACAUGAAAACUUUAUUGGAAAGUACAAACACCAAAUCCGAUAUAACAUCAUGACAAAGUAACAAGAAGUUACCCUUACCACUAUUUAGGGAGAGGACUUCUUUAGAAGUAAAUUCAUGGUUGAGAAACAAAAGAAAAGCACAUUAGAACAGUAAACACGGAAAUCUGUUUAGACACAUAUGAACCCUGGUGGAGCACGCCGGUCACAAGCAUUCAGAGUCACGGCAAGGUUAAGUGGGAGAUUAAGGUGGAUGCCCAAAACAUUGAAUUUCAGGGCUGUGCAAAAGCAAACAGCUGCCCCGAGGUCAGCAAGGCCAUCAAUGAGAGAGCAACAAGGUCUUGUUACGGGAGAUCCACCGAAGAUCCCAAUCACACUCAGCAGAUUAGCACAUAUGCCCAAUUUCAAGGCAUCUUUUGGGCAAGUUGCUUGAGGAGGUGGUGCGCAAUGGACACUAGCACUGACCAGAAUGAAAAAGGCAAGAAAGAGAGCUGGGUUUGUAGUGGCCUUGGAGCCCAUAUUCUCAAACCCCAAUAAUACCUAAGCACUCUUGGUUUAGUCAAGAAAGAAAGAUUUUUGCUGUGCAAUGUUUUGGAAGAGGUUGAGGGUUUUAUACUGAGCAAGGAGGGUCAAUUUCUUGGUUUAGCCGGCUACCGAAGCAUAGGGUUUGGCAAACCCAUUGGAUGCGUUUAUCCCAGCCUACUAUAUAGUUCUAUACCAAACAUUAGCUGCGCUGUAAACUUUCUAGUGGGUUUACUUAUGUCGUGCUUAAUGUAUUUAUUCCUUACAUGAUAGCUUGAAUGGCAUGGCAAAGUUUUGUUAUUUAUGCAACCACUCUACUAUUUCUACCCCGUCAAAGAAAGAAGGCUCGAAUGGCAUAGAGAUUCAAAAGCAACUUUAUUAGCCGUUUUUGCGCUGCUUAAUUUAUGCCUGACUCGUGUGCUCAAUUCAUUCUAAUAGCGUCAUUUCGCAAUACAAGCUGGCUAUGUUAGUCAGGAUGGAUUAUUUUUUCAUAAAAGAUUGUGUGUUCAAAUCCAGCUAUUAAUGUGAAGGUUAUAAUGGUGGCUGAUUUAUAAAAAUUCCCAUAAGUAACAUAUAAUUCUGAGAGCAUUGCCUUGACCCAUGGUGGUGAUAUGAGUUGAAUCCAUCCUAGUUUGAAACUUUCUACAAAUUCACUUACUUUUGAAAUGAUAUACCGAAACUUCAAUUGAAGCUUAAACUCUUUUAUGUACACUUGGAUUAGUCUACUUUCCUCGAUGAUUGAAGAUGAAGACAGUGAUUGAUGACUCAAUGAGUUCAGGGAUUUGAAAGGUUUUUUUCUUAUUGAAGGAUCUAUCUUACGAGUGUCCAAUGGACACAACUUAAGAUGGAGUUCAAAUAUUAACAUUUAAAAAAAAAAAAAUUUCAAUUGAAAUAGUGUAAAAAUAUCCUAGAUGACAAUAGUGUAAACGUAUACAUUUACAUAGUAAAUUGAUGUGUAUUAACAAGUGUUCCAUUAGAAAAACCCUUGACUUAAUUCAGUGUUCUUAAAUUUCCAUUUUCAUUGCAAAAUGAUCUAAAAAUACUCGAAAUUUGGCACUUGUAUUGCCGAUUAUAAUUGAAUGACAAGGUUCCAAUUUAAUCAAUCAUGCAUGCAAGAUCUCAUCCCACAUCCCACAUCCCACUUUUGAAUGCUCAGCUAUAUUUUAUGUUUGCCAAAUUCUUCCUUUGAUGUAACCUAAACAACUAAGUUCUUUUGAUGUGUGCAAAUUUUAUUUUGACUUUGAAACUUGAUCAAACUUUUAAAUUGCAUAAUUGGAUCAUAAUCAGCAAAAAGGAACAGAAAUGGUAAAAUCAAUGUCCUAAUAAAUAUAGGCGCACACGUUUCUUAGUCAAGGUAAUUUGGAAGUGAAUGUUUCAUAUUUUUUUCCCUUUUCUAUUUAUUUUCGUUUUAGAUGACUUGUUCAAGACAAAGAGAGCAAAUUUCAAACCCCAUAAUUCAAGAACAAUUUUGCUAAUGCCACUAACAUAUUAUGAACAGAAUAUGAAUAUAACAUAUUACAUCAGAAAUUCCAGAUAUCUUAAUCAUUAAUUUGACUACAUAUUGCAUUAGAACAAAGGAGGAAUUCAAACUUUUCUGCAUCAUUUUGCUGAUAGUUGCUAAACCUAUUAAAAUAUCAGCGUAAGCAAAUCAAAUCUGUAGGAUAACCCACCAUGGUGUGCUUCCAUGAAGAAACAUUUCACAUAGAUCCUUCAAGAACUUCCGAACAACCCAAUUUUUCAACAACUGCUGGUGAAUAAUAAUUAAACUUAAUUCACAGUUUUACAUUUGUACAUUUCUAAAUAUCUUACAUGCGAUUUUUCGCAAGUAUAUAAGUCGUAAGCGAGUAUAGAGUAUUAAACGUCGAACCCACAAAGAAGAUGGACAACUACCGGCACCACUAAAACUUCUCUAUUAUUUAGACUAUCAACAAAUUAAAACAAAUAAACUAAAUUAUAAAUGGAUAGACAAAUACAAAUAAAAGCUCUUUGGGUAAUGGAAUCCUUACCUAUUCAUGCUAGUGCAACUCCCUAACCAAAUGAAUACCAAAAUCUCAUUUAAAUUAUGGCAUAAUUUCCUAAUAUGCAUGAUACUCAUUUUCAUCAGUAAACCAACUAUACCUAUAGUUAAUUCAUACAUACUUUCGUGGUUAUGAAAUCAACUACAAGUUCAUUAACUUCUAUGAAAUUACAUGGAACAAAGCCACAAAAGCCACAAAUGUAUACCUCUACUUUCAUGAGUGUACUCUCUAAUUUUAACACUUCUAUAAACAAGUAUCAAAUUCUAAUUCUCAUUGCAAAUCUGACACCCUGAAAUGAUCAUAAUCAAUGGCUAGUUAAUCAUUAUUAUAAGAGCAAAAGUGCUAAAUAACUCAAACAAGAUAAUACUAUCAAUUAGCCAAAAAAUUAACACCAAACAAUCAUAGAAAACUCAACCAAAUACCCAAGUCAUAUGCUUUAAAUCAACAUCACAAACACAACAUCCAAAUCUUGCAUUAACAAACUUAGAGUUCAAUGACAGGUGUCGAGCCUGUGCAAUAAUAAAUGCCUGCUCAAACAAGGUAUAAUUUCUGCAAAUAGUAAUAAGCAGGGUCGUAUCCUCAGGGACUGAGAAUAUUUGUCUCUUUGAAGUUCCAAUUGGCAAUGGGGGGUUUUAUCGGAAUAAAGUUAAAAGCAAUUGAGCAAUCCAACCAAAAACAAACAAUUAACUAACACAACUGUAGACAGGAAUUAAAGCAACAAUAGACAAAUUCUAGCCAAGGAUACAACUUCUCAGAGAUAGUCCACUCAUCCGAUCAUUGAUGCAAGGGAGGUUCACUUAAUUUAUUAAUAUGUUAGUUAUAGUCACCGACGAGCUCUGACAACCAGCUUUUUCUUAGUUUAUGGGUAACUAAGGUACGACCAUUAAUUACCCCUAACCAGGAAACACUCCUAGGUACGACCGUAGGAAUUAAUUUCCUAAUUGCAUUAAAAAUUAGAAAAAUCUAACCCUAAUCAAUAACACGCUACGAGGGUUAUUUAGAUCAGAUCGCAUGUUCCCCUAGUGUGUAUAAAUGCUAGUUGCCACUGAUAUUAAUUGAUUAAACAAUUACGAAUUUAAUUGAUUAAUUUGAUAGGAGAUUAAUAAGUCACCUUGAAUAUCGGGUCCUUGACAUCCAAUUAACAAAAUAAUCCCAUAGAAUUUCAAAUAGAAAACGUGCAAAUACUAACAAAUUAAGAAACACAUGAAAACUAAUUCGAUCUCAUAGAUUUCCGGGACUGUGUCGUCACAUUGAUCCUUGACUAGAUGAAAAGCUUAGCCACGCCUCAUGAGAAAAUGUCCACGCAAUUCAAUUGAUUUCAAAACAUCUCUUUUUCUAUAAUAAUCAAUAAUAAUAACAAAGCUGUGUUCCAGUAGUCCUCAUAGAAGAGACGGAAAAAAGAAAAAAAACAAAGGAGCAAGGAAACGGCCAAUGCCAAAAGAACGAAGCCGUCCCCACCAAAGAAAGUUUUCUUGUUUUUAUCUAAACUUGUCCUCGCUGUUUCCGAAUCCCCCUAGGGAUCAAUUACAAAAGGGUCCUAUUUCUUCUUGGUUUCCUCCUACCAACGCACCACAAGGCCACCAGAAUAGGAAACUUUGUCCUCCAAUUGGAGUCGGCUUGUAACUCUUGCAUAUUUGCACGUCUCAUCCUUCACUUUUCAGGAUUUUGUACUCCACCCCUGCAAUUAUGUCCAAAUGUCAAUUAUAAGUAGAAUCCGACAAUUAACAACAUAUUUGGCACCAAUAAUGAGUGAAAUCAACUAGAAAAUGACUAACAAUUAACACCCUAUCAAUUUCCCCUAUACCUAAAUCAUGCUUAUCCUUAAGCAUGAGAACAACUAAACUCAAACAAUGGUCAGCUCUCACGUCAUUUAUUGCCAAGCUGUGCUUAUACCAAAAUCAAGGUUUAGUGGCUAAGUGUCAAGACAUAAUCCUCCUGGGUAGCUCCUGAAAUCAAAGACUCGUCCAAUUCAUGUCUAACUCGUCUAGGAAGGCAAAAUAUUAAACUAGCAACAGUCAGCAAUUGGUCCAACUGGCAACCAAAAUCUCAACAUUGAAACCCAAGGAUCGGCAGGCCAACAUGAUCAUAUGCUUACAUAUUUUUCAUAUUUGUUUCUUUUCCCUUUUCUCUCUUUAUUUAUUUUUUUGUUUUGUUUUUCUUUUUUCUUUUGAAAGAAUAAAUGCUUAGUCCCAAGUCAUUCAAGUCUUUUGAUGUGAACUCAGACACUUUUAGAUGAAAGAGCCCAGUUACUCAACUUUUCACCACUUCAGGACCACAUACUCAUAGAUAUCGCCACCUUUUGAUGCGAGAGUCGACAUUUGUGGUGAGGACUUCCAGUUACUGGGUGACGACACUAGCGGAGUAUAGCCAUAUUGAUACGAGACUAGCUAGUUUUAAAGUGGUAUCAAGUCCUAUUGCAUCAAGCUAGAGUCGUUUCAUUGUGUCUUGGCCGAAUGGUCUCCUUUAUGAGCUGUUUAUCGCUUAUUUACAUUAUUUUAUGUCGUUUGGUUAAUUCCAAAAUUUGAGUUUGGUUGUCUUAGUCAAUUAGUUAAUAAAAGGGCUCAAGGUCGUGUUGACCAUAGUUAGUAGCCCAAUUGGAGUUAAUUCAUAGAGUUAAUUAGAGUUAGGGUUAAGUUUCUUACUUCUUAGUUGGAUUAGGAGUUGGUCUUGUAAAAGGCUAUAAAAAGCCUUUGCUUUAACGUUUUGAGGGGUCAUUGAAUAAAAAUUGAGAUAAUUUUCCAGAUUUCUUUCGUGAGUGAAAGAGCUCUUCUUGGCUUGUGAAGCCACCAUUGAACAUCUUAGAGCUGCCCUAAGGUGAUUCGUCAACUUAUCAAUCAAGUAGUCACCUUGAUUGUGGCGUUGUCCUACCCGUUCUAGUCUUUCUUGUACGGUCCAAGAUAGAUUACGAACUCCAUUACCGCACGUUGAUUCCUAACCUAGAUCCGGGCUUGUGGUUCACGUUCUUGAUUCGUCUUGACGUUUCAAGAAUCACAUCAGUUGGUAUCAGAGCUAGUCGGAGGUGUCAAUGUUAUAUCCCUUUUUGUUGUGUGUUGUUUAGGGUUUCGUUUGUCUCAACCUUGCUGUCCGAAUUUGUGUAGUCCAAUUUGUGAUUUGUCUAGGUAUUUUUCUUCAGAAAUCAUGUCUUGUUUUGUGUAUUUUCUCUUCAUUGUUUCUUGUCUUGUGUGUUAACAAACCUGUCCGAAAUUUUCCUUGUUGAAACGUGACAGGUGCCGAAUCUGUGCGAUAAUAAAUACCUGCUCAAAUAAAAUACAAAUUCUAUAUAUAGCGGUAAGCAGGGUCGAAUCCACAGGGACUGGGGAUAAUUUAAUUUCUUCUCAAGUUCCAGAUAUGGGGGGGUUUUUGAAAAUGAGAGUAACUAAAUUACUUGGAAUAAAUUAGAAUAAAAUAAAAUAACUACAACUCAAAUAACUAAUUAUCUCAAUAAAAAUAAUAAUGGACGAACUCUAGCCAAGAGACAACUUCAGAGAUGGUUCACUUAAUUCGAUCACAGAUGCAAGGAUUAUUCUAGUUACUAUCUGAUAAAUUAGUUAUAGUUGUCAUACACGCGAUAAACAACCAACUCUUCCUCAAUUUGUCGAUAGCCAAGGUACGACCGUUGACUAUUUCUCUAAUCAGGAAACAACCCUAGGUACGACCAUAGAAGUUCAAUUCCCUAAUUGCAUGAAUAAUUAGAAGAGCCUAAUUCUAACCAAUCAACACGCUGCGAGGGUCUCUUUAAGUUAGCCUGUCUAUCUCCCUGACACAAAUCCAAUCAUGCCAGUUGCCACCAGUUUAGAAUAAUUAAACAAUUACGGAUUUAACUACCCUAAUUGGCUUCAGGUUACUGAAUUAAUCUAGAAUCCGGGCCCUGGAUAAUCGAAUAAUAAAACAACCAUAUGAACAUAAAGCAGAAGAUAGACGAAUACCAGUGAAUAAUGGAAAUAAAUAAAAACUAAUUCGAUCUCACAAAUUUAGUAGAACCAAGUCCUCCGUUGUUCCUCGACUAGACGAAGGGAUUUAAUUCAUCUUCAUGGAGGAAAUCCCAUGCAAAAGUGUAGAAGUAAUUAUUGAAAACAAGCUAUGUCUUCGUCCUCCUAGAAGAGACGACAAAGAAGAAAAACAAGAAGGAAAAACUAUAAAGUUAGAGCCCCCGGAAAAACUCCCAAUUCCCCAAAGAUAAAGCUACGGCCCAUGAAUAAUUGCCCGACCAAAGGAAAAGAAUUGUUUCCUAAUCUAAAACAAAUUGCCUAACUUCUCUCCGUGGUCCCCACGAAAUUGAAGGUAAAAAGGAGUACAAGAGCCGCGUUUCUGCCAAAUUUCCUCUCCUUUGUGUUUCCUCUUGCUAGUAAGAGUCCUAGUCAGCAACCCUUCUAAUCGGCCAAAAGAAAUUCAAUCCGUCUGUAGCUUCAUGUAGGCCAGUUUUAUGAGGCUUUUUGGACUCUUUUACGUGUGGAGCAAUUUCCUCCAACAGGUCCCCCAUUUUAGCACUUUUUAGUUUCCCUUCCUGUAGAUAGGUCCAAAUACCAAAUAUAAGUAAAUAUUAAUAAUUAAAACAAUAUUUGGCAAGGACAAAGGGGAAAUUAAUAAUAAAAUAAUCAACAAUUAACACCCUAUCAAAACGCUAGGGUUCCUUGUGUCUCCAUAGCUGUUCUUGUUUGUUCAUUGCUGUCCAUUGUUGUUCCUUGGUCCAAGUCAUGUUUGAGUCUUGAUUUUGUGUCUUGUUGUCUUGUUUCGUCAAGUCUUGUGUCAACUAGAGUAAAAAAAAAAAAAAGUUCUGAUCAAACCUCUUCCUUAAAGAAUCCGUGGGUGGUUCUCUAGUGUUUUGGGUGCAACCAUGGCUGAUUUGUCUUGUUGCGUGGAAGUGUUCAAGGUUCUUGAAAUUCUGGACCAAAACUCUUGAAUUUCUUGAAGUUCCUUGGACAGAAUCUUGAAAAUCUUAGAGUCCUUGGGUAGCCUAAUAAGGUUUCUUGAAACUCUUAAACCAAAAGUUUCCAAAUCUUGACAUUCUUGGAAAUCCCAGUUCGUGUCUUGGUUUGUGAAUUGCGGCUGGCUUGUUCUUUGAUCUGUGGGAAAAAAAAAGGAAGGAAGAAAAGAAGAAAAAGAAUCUGGUCAUGGUCUGUAUUAAAAAAAAAAAAAGACAAGACAAACGGAUCACCAUCUUGAAUUCUUGAAUAGGUAGCCAAUUGUGAAUUGGAGAACCAAAGUGACGUGGAUCUUUGCUUCCAAAGCUGGACAAAGAAUUCUAGUUCAAUUUGGUUUACAAUAUCCCAUUCCCAAAAUCGAAAUUACGCCUGGACAAUAUCCCAAAGCCACACCUCAUCUCCCAAACGGUGAAGUCAAGAUCCAUUUGCGGCAGCUUCUAAAUUUCCAGCCUUGCCACCUAGUCGGGUAGAAUAAUUUCUAGGCUUCCAAAUUUCUGCCAUAGUGUUUUGUUGCUCCAGUAUUUUCUAUUCUUCCAGCCAUGAAAUAACUUUAUUUGGAGUCAUAUUCUCGGUUUAGUCAUGUCUUGUUAGUUCCAAAUCAGUCCAAAUCAAUUUGGGACUUUAAGAAUACUAGUUUCCUAAUUUGAGUUGUUCCUGUCUUUCCAAAUUCGUGUGUCAUUCUUGCUGAGUCAAACCAGUGUUUUAACUCCAAUUUCCAGCCACCAUAUAAGCGUCAUUUGAGUGUCAAAAUCAGAGUUCAAAUAGCACAGAUAAUCUAUCAUUCAUUCGGGUUUUUGAUAGGGUAUUAAUUGUUAGUAAUUUUAUUGUUAAUUUUCCUAUUUGUCCUUGCCAAAUAUUGUUUUAAUUGUUAACAUAUACUUAUAUUUGGUAUUUGACCCUAAUUACAGGAAGGGGAGCAAACAAGUGCAAAAAAAAGGAAAUUUUCUUGAGAAAAAUGCUCCACACCUAGAAAGCUUCUAAAAGAUCCACAAACCGGCCCACAUUGUGCCACAAGCAUAUUGCCUUUCCUUUUGCUAAUUGGUAGUUGACUAGUAAUAGGUAGUUUACUAGCACUAGAAUUCCGAAAUAGAAGGAAUAUUCGCGGGCUGGCUUUUGCUCUUGUUUUCUUUUUGAUUGUUGAGAUUAGUGGCCCCUUGGUUUUUGGGUCCAGUUCCUCCGUUUAUUUAUUUCCUCUUUUCCGUCCCUUCUAGGAGGACGACGGGGGAACAUGGAAAUGGGGCAGGAACGGUUGUCAGUGACAACCGUUCCUGAAGGUUCACGGCCACGAUGUGGCCUCAAAAAUUUGUGCGGCUCAGAUUACAGCAUGUAACUCGAUUUUCACGCCAUGUGUGGGGCCCACAAAAAAGUGUUGUAAAAUUACGUCGUGUGCAAAGUAAGUUACAUCGUGUGCAAUGGAAGUUACGCGCUGUGAAAAAUGAAUACAAUCGGCACAAACGGUUGCACCUGCAACCGUUUGUGCCCCUUGUCCGGGGAACAUAGCUUGUUUUCGAUAAUUACGUCUACAAUUUCGCAUGGGAUUUCCUCCCUGUAGAUGAACUAAGUUUCUACAUCUAGUCGAAAGUCAACUUGAAAACUCGGUUUCAAACAUCUGUGAGAUCGAAUUAUUUUACUUAUUUUUUUUAUUCAUUGGUAUUUGUAUGUUUUCUAGUUUAACCUCUUAUGAUUGUUUUGUUAUUUGAAUGUCAAGGGCCCGAUAUUCGAAUUAACCUAAUAAUCUACAGCCAGAUUAAUUGAUUGAAUCCGUAAAUGUUUAAUUGAUUAAUACCAGUGGUGACUAGCGUGAUUGGUUUCAUGUUAGGAAAAUGUAUGAUCUAACUUAAACGAACCCUCGUAGCGUGUUUGUUGGUUAGGGUUAGGCUUUUCUAAUUCUUAUUACAAUCGAGAAAUUAAUUUCUAUGGUCGUACCUAGGGUUAUUUCUUGGUUAGGAAAAUAGUUAAUGGUCGUAGCUUGACUAUCGAAAAAGUAAGGAAAGAUUGGUUGUUCAUCGCAUGUAUGACAACUAUAACCAAUCUUUAAAUGAGUAAUUGAAUUAUCUUUGCAUAGAUGAUCAGUUGAAUGGACCGUGUUUGAAAAGUUAUACCUUUGACUAGAGUCGUAUUGAUUAUUGAUUACUCCUUGUUUAUUUCUAUUAGUUGUUUCAUUAGUUAGUUAAUUAGUUACUCCCUCCGUCCUACUUUGAUAGUCAUGUUUUCCUUUUUCGUCUGUCCCAAAUUGUAGUCCACUUUCCAAUUGAAGAAUGUAGUUGUAUUUUAAUUUUCCUAAAAUACCCUUAUUCAAUGUAAGUUGUUGUUACUAUAAACCUACCCCAUUUAAUGAGAGUUGAUUCUUUUUUUACCAUCAAUUCAAGUUCCUAUAAAGUUGUACUCUAUUUAAUGUGAGGGUAUUUUAGGAAAAUAGCAAUCUAAAUUUACUUUUCCAACAAAGUUAACUACUUUUUCUUAAACUAUGUGAAAAAAGAAACAGGACUAUCAAAAUGGAACGGAGGGAAUAUUUUAUGUUCUCCCUAAAUCCCCCCAUUAUUAACCUGAACUUUAGUAAGAAACGAAUUACUUCCAAUCCCUGUGGAUUCGACCCUACUUGCUCUGUUUACAAAUCAGUAACUCCUUGUGAAUAAGCAAUCCCAUUCUGGUAUAUCGGAUUAAUCAAACUCUUCGGGAACAGGGUGAAUCAAGUAACCCAUUGCACACCUAGAGUCCAUGCUCCAGUACUUAGAAUUGGGUUUUGAUUACUCCGAUUGGCAACUAGGUUUAUUUUUAUUAUUGCACAAGUUUCGACAACCUGUCAUUUUCUUGGGGAUUUCUCGUGUACAAGUUAAAUCUGGAAUUUCCAGCACCUUUGUCCAUAGUUCAUCCUUGUUGUUUACUUGUGAAAAUUCUGACCGUGCCACUCUUGUGAUUACUACUUGAUAAGUGGAGUUUCAACUUGAGGAAAUCUCUAAGUUAUUCAGUAAGGCAAUCAGCAGCCUUGAGAGCUUAUUUUGUGAGGUUAGAGAGGACUUAAACACUUGAGCGCAACACGAGUGUGAGGGUAAACACUCAGGGGGUGAAGUGAGGAAUUUUACUACUAACCUUUCUCUUUUGCAGGUUGAACUAAAUUUGUCUCAAAACAUUGGAACUGUUAAUACUCCUUAUGACAUGGGGCAUAUCAUCGAGGCAUUGAAUCAAUUGAACAAACGGUUUGACGCAUUGGAAAGCAAGGUGGAGCAAUCUGGUCCAUCAAAAAGUACAACCAAAAGGAAGUCUCAUUUGGAUGAAUCAAGUGAUUCAAAUAAUAAGGAUGACUGUGAGGCCUAUGAGGACCGAACUAGAUGAGCAAAGUGAAAUUUCAAGCACGGAGAUGAUGAUGAAAUCCGAGGGAUUAAGCUCAAAAUUCCUCCUUUCCAAGGCAAGUCCGAUCCGGAGGCUUACCUAGAGUGGGAGAGGAAAAUGGAGCUUAUCUUUGAAUGUCAAUCUUAUUCAGAGAGUCAAAAGGUUAAGCUCGCAGGUAUUGAAUUCACCGAUUACGCAGCAAUUUGGUGGGAUCAACUUUAUGCAAGUCGGAGGAGAAAUGAUGAACAUCCCAUAAGGACAUGGGAUGAGCUCAGAAGAUUGAUGCGGAAACGCUUCAUUCCAUCUUACUACCAUAGAGAUUUGCACAACAAAUUGCAAACUCUUAUUCAAGGUAGUAUGACGGUUAAAGAUUAUUUUAAGGAAAUGGAAAUGGCCAUGAUGAGAGCUGAUGUUCAUGAGGAUUUGGAGGCCACUAUGGCUAGAUUUUUGCAUGGAUUGAGGGACGAAAUUGCUGAGAUUGUGGAGCUGCAUCAUUACCUUGAUUUAAAUGAGUUGUUGGAUAGGGCGGUGAAGAUGGAAAGGCGCCUCAAGAGGAGGGGUAACACUCACUCAAAUUCCAACUAUCAAGCUGGAAAUUGGCGAAGUUCACCUUCAAGAGGUGAGGACAAGACCGUAGGGAUUUCUCAACCACCAAAACCGAGGCCUAAUGAUGCUAAACCAGCACCUAAGGCCAAGAUGGAAGCUAGUCAAAGAGCUCCAAAACCGCAAAGUCGGGAUACUAAAUGCUUCAAGUGUCAAGACUUUGCACACAUAGCAUCUCAAUGUCUCAACCAAAGGACCAUGCUUAUCUUGCCUAAUGGAGAAGUUGUGUCGGAUAAUGAGGACGAUUAUGAAGGUAUGCCACCUUUAGUAGAAGAAAGUGACCACUCGGAGGAAGAAGUGCUAUUUGAAGGGAAUGUUGGAAUCUUGGUUGCAAGAAAAGUGCUUGCUGCCCGAGCUUUAACAGUUGAGGGUGAGCAAAGGGCUAACUUGUUCUACACUCGUUAUCAUAUCAAGGACAAGUUAUGUAGUCUAAUAAUUGAUGGAGGGAGUUGCGCAAACGUAGCAAGUUUGUUCAUGGUUGAGAAAUUGUCUCUUCCAACCACCAAGCACCCUAAACCAUAUCGCCUUCAAUGGUUAAAUAAUGAUGGUGGUGAACGUGUUUAUAGACAAGUGAAGGUACCAUUUCGAAUUGGUAGGUAUGAAGAUGAAGUGGUAUGUGAUGUGGUACUAGUGCUGUUAAACGAGCCGAGUCUAGCUCAAGCAUAGGACAUUCGAGCUCGACUCGAAUCUCCAAUCGAGUUAGUUCGAGCUCGCUCGAUUAGUAAUUCGAGCUUCACAAGGUGUUCGAGAUCAACUCAAUGCACUGGUAGAAAACUCGAGCUCGGGCUCAAACUCGAGUUUGAAAUCGAGCCGAGCUCGAGUGGAACUCGAGCCGAGUUUUUCGAGCUCGAAGCUCGAACUCGAGAUCGAGUGUUCACGUAACUUUAUCAUGAAAGGGUUGUAGUCUACAAUCCAGAUUCAGCUGUAAAUUCAUAGUCAUAAAAGGAUGUGUUAAGUGCGUCCAUCACUAGUCAAGACUUCGGCAGUAAAACUGCCUACAAAUGCCGAAGAUUGCAAGGGGAAAAAGAAAGUGCUAUUAGCCAAAAUCACACCAUCCGGGUUCGUCUACACUGAUGUUUUGUCAAACAAAAGAACAGCAGAAAUUCAAAUUCUACUUGUCUUGACAGGAAACAAGAAACAAACAGAAUCAAAGCGAGAAUACAGGAAAUCAAAUCUGAACAAGGAUUGGUCUCUUGGACUUCGUCUUAGGCUGGAAAAGCUAUGAUCUUAGCAAUUGCAGUGUGCGACCAAAUCCAAUCCCUUGUCCAUACCCAAUACCAAAUCCAACGCCGCACCCAAUUCCAAACCCGAACACCAUUCUGAGGUAGUUCCAUACCGACCCACCAUGACAGAAAGAGGAAAGAAAAAAUUCAGGAUGGCGUCUGGCGGUGAGAAUGGAGAGUGCGGGUGUGCGGCUGCGGCUGCCGGGUGCGGUGUGAGAAUGGAGGCUGUGGGUGCGGGGUACGGCUGGAGGGUGAUGGCUGUGGGACGGGAAAACGUAAGACCAAAAGAGGAAAGAAAAUUAGGGCUACAGACGGAGACGGGAGAUGACUUAGGUUAGAGUACCACAUAUACAUUGAAAUGACGAAAAUGCCCCUACCCUUCGAGCCUAACGAGCUUAAACGAGCCAAGCUAUUAAACGAGUACUGAGAAGAGCUCGAGCUCGGAUCGUUUGUCUCUCUAAACGAGCCGAGCCGAGCUCUUAUCGAGCCGGGUUGAGCUCGGCUCGCGAGUUGCCUGGUUCGAUUAACAGCUCUAUGUGGUACCCAUGCAAGCGUGUCACUUGAUCUUAGGUCGUCCUUGGCAAUACGACAAAGCUGUCUACUUCGAUGGUUGAUCUAACAAGUAUUCCUUCAUGCAUGGUGAUCAAAAGAUUACUCUUGUUCCUUUUAUCCCUGGACAAGUCCAAGAGGAUCAAGUGAGAUUACAUGAGAAAUAUGAGUUAAAGUGUGUGUUGAGAAAAUAAGAAAAGAGUAAGAUUGAGAGUAGUGAUGAGAGAAAAGCACUAGUGAGUUCAGCCAAAGGGGUGUAUAAAGCUAUGAAGCAUAGUUUGUUAGUAAGGGUUGGGUGUGACAAAGUCCCUUCUUGUAACUUUACUAACACAAUUUGAUGUGAUACGGAUCUAGACGAACACCAAGUUGGGAUGAUUGGCAGAACUUUGACCCUUCUAGAAUCACAAGCCACGAACUAAGGAGCAUCCUUAACCCACGACUAGCAAAUUUAGUGAACCAAAAGUAUAGAUAGAAGAACGCCACAAUCAAGGAGACUACUUGAUUGAUAAGUUCAAUGAACAACUUGAGAUCAAUUCUCAAGUAUUCAAAGGAAAUUCUCUUGAGACAAGAGAGAGUGAAUAAACUCACGUAUAUUUUAUAAAAUCUGAAAACUGUCCCCUAAUGAAUGAAAACCUAGGCUAUAUAUAGCCUUACAGGACAAAACCCUAACUCGGCUAGGCUAGGCCUUUGGCCCGAUUCCACUACUCAAAUCCACUAUCUAAUGGUCAGCUUAUAAUUGAUCCAAUGAAGGCUUUAAGCUAGCCCAACAUAACCCAAUAAAAGCUAAUUAACCAACUUAAGUUAUAGUGAGUCUAGACUCUAUAAAUCGGAUCCAACUCAACAUGAGGUCUUGGACCGAAUUUAUUCCUAGCAAAUAAAAUAGAAAUCUAGAAAAUAAACUACUAACUAUUACUAAAAGAUUCAAUCUCUUGCAGCCCAAAACAUGGCCCAUAAGCCGCCCAUAUUUCGUAUCAUUCCCCUCCUCUUGAAAAAGAUUUGUCCUCAAAUCGUGUUUGGAAAUGAAUAGUACUACAAGAAUUGGUAGUAUGAAACUUCAAAUCUCCACAUAUUGGCUCUCUUAGAAUUAAUGAUACUUGCAUACGUCAUGAUUAUUGUAAUUCGGUGCACAUGUCUCUUGGUCAGCUUGAAAAGGCUCACAAUCUGCCAUGGGAAACUCAAGGCUUGACUCCAACCACUCCAAAGCUCUCUAAUCAGUCCUGUGUCAUGAAUGGUCGACUUUGGACCUACACAAUAAAUCACACGAUUAGCAUUUGUAGGUAUAAAAUCACUUGAUAGCUUACCAUUCACAUUCACAAGAUAAGGAUCUUCAUAGUGAUGCUCAAUCAGGUUAGAAAAGUCCCGGACAUGAUGUUGCAAAGUUACAAAAUUCAUUGCAAGUUGUUGUUGGUAUGGCCUAUCUUGCACAAAUGGAGUAAGAUCGAGAUAGGCAGCUUCUGAACCUUCAAAUUGAAGAAUAAAAUCAGGUUGUAAGGAAUCAGAAUUUGGACCAAUGAGGAAAGGAUUGUCACCAACAAAACAAGAAGGAAAUUUAUAACAAGUUUCAAGUGUAGAAACUCCCUUUGAAACUUCAUUAUUCCUCCCAACAAGCAAAUCAGGCUCAUGGUUGACGUUGAACAUCAGUGGAUGACAAAGAGAGACAACACUUAAGGUGCAAACUCCAUGAAAAGUUUGAUAUUCACCAAUGGAUUUAGGCAUAGAACAUGCCAAGAUCAACUCAAUUUUUCCUUGCUUAACCUGCAUAAAGGUAGAAACACUAAACAAAGUAGAGUCAAGAUCGUUAAAAAAAACAUAUGAUCUCACAUCCUUUCUCACAAUCAGCUUACUCUUAGAAUUUUUAAUCUCUUUUUCAUGCUCAGUAGCUGACUUUUUCCCCUCAUUAUUUUCAACCUCUUUCUCCUUUUCAACUCCCUCGAAUUUUACCUCUUCAGUCACAAUUCUCUCCUCCAGCUCUUUCUUCAUACUAUAACGCUCAUGCUCACUCUUCAUGUAUGCUAGAUCAAUACAAAGUUGCUUAGAGUCAAGCGACACAAGCCUGGUACGACGGCCAUUAAAUGUGAAGGAAUACUUAUUAGUAUAUCCAUCAUAUUUGACUUCUCGAUUAAACAUCCACCAUUGUCCCAGCAGUACAUGUGUCACUUGAAUGGGAACCAUAUCACACAACACCUCAUCCACGUAUUGACCAAUACGAAAAGGAACAAGUGUGUGCUUAGUAAUCCAAAUAUCACCACUAUCACUUUGCAACUUGUAAGGUCGAAGAUGAUCAAUGGUUGGAAGAUUCAAUUUCUCAACCAAGACAGUACUUGCGAGAUUAACUUCACAACCCUUAUCAAUGGCUAAGCUGCAAACUUUAUCCUUGAUAUGGCAACGUGUAUAAAACCAAUCAUUUUUUUGAGCAUUGAUGAUUUCCAAUUGCUCAGUUAUCUCACGCAAUGCCACAGUAUUUACUCCUUUAGGCACAAGAUGGUGAAGCUCCAGUUGAGCAUUCGUUUGUCUCAUACUUUUAUUACCUGCAAAACUCAACAAAAAUUAGUAUAACAGUCCUCACUCGCUCCCUUAAGUGUUUCACUCCUCUCGUGUUUUCACUCAAGUGUUUAUGUCACUCUAAUGUUCUUACCAAUUCACUCCUCAAGCCAAUCGAUUGUUUCCUUUGAAGAAAUCAGAAAUUUCUCAAGGAAAUUCAAUCAAACUUUAAUCAAAAUAGCUCCCAAUUGUAUCAAAGGAACAAGGAAACAAAAAGUAGAAAUGGAAAGCUCAAGUAAUGAAUAAGGAAUGGAAGAGGAAAGAAUUGAUGUACAAAGAAAAAAGAAAAAAGAAAGUCCAAGUAUGGUGAUGGAGGUCCCAAGUGCUUUACUUAAUUGCCCAAUUGAUUUUUUUGGAAACAAGUUAGGUGUUGGACUUAUUUGGAAAUUUCCUUAAAGUCGGCUAACCAAACAGAAUUAUUACCAAAAUUUUUCCAAAUUCCCUCUCCAAAAACCUUCCUAAAGUCGGCUAUAACAAAUCAGAAUUGUUCCCAAAAAAAAAAUUCCAGAUUUCCUUCUCUUUUGAAACCUCCCAAAGUCGGCUGCAAAAACAGAAUUUGGUAGCUAAAAAAAUUUCCAGAUUUCUACUCCUUUUAAACCUUCCAAAGUCGGCUGCAAACAGAAUUUGGUAGCUAAAAAAAUUUCCAGAUUUCUGCUCCUUUUAAACCUUCCAAAGUCGGCUGCAAAACAGAAUUUGGUAGCUUCCUAACCGCUGAAAAUUUCCAGAUUUGUUACCUUAUCAAAUCAGAAUUGCUUCCACGAAAAAAUUCCAGAUUUCUUGUCUUCUUGAAGCCUUCAAAAAGUCGACUAUCCCUCACUAAAAUUUCCUCUCUCCAGCCGCCCUUAGCUUGCCAACAAUUCGGCCUUUCUCCUUCAAGACGCAACGCACAAUUCUGUUCUCUCUUCCUUAGACAAGGCCACGGCAGUUUUGUUUCUUGUUUCAAGGAAAUGGCUUCUCAAGACAACGAGAGUAUUGUCACUCAAGAGUCCCCCAAGCGGCUUGCUCAAGAAAUUCCCAAGAGAUUUACUCCUAAAUCAAGGAAGCCCCGUAUGGAUGCAAGAACGUACAAGAAACUUUUUAUACGAAGGCAAGUGCAAGUUUUUAAGGCCCAAGAUAAUCAAGAACCUCAAGCAAGGGUUGUUCAAGUGAUCAAGACGCAAGGUGUUCGAGACUUUCAAGAAGAGGUUGGACAGAAUUUUUUUGAGUUUCUUUUCUUUUUUUUUCUUUUUUUUUUCCUGGUGUAGUUUCUGCUUUGGUUUGGAACAAGGAGUAACAAGACAGCUUGGUCAAUAAAAUUUCGGCUUCUUUCUUUGUUGCUUGCUACCCGAAUGCCUUUUCUCUUUUCUUUUUUUUUUUACUCUAAAACACACAAUUACUUGGCUGUUUUUGGGUAAAAUUCCAGAAUGUUAAUGUCAAACCAAUGUUCUCCUUCAAUCCUCCAACAACUAUCAAGACAUGUAUCAAAGUUUCAAGACUUUAAGAUUAGUUUCAAGGAACUCAAGAAACCCUAGAUUAUUGUAGUCCCCCUUCAAGAUUCCAACCCCUAACAAGUUUAACCACAAAAAUCAGUUUAGGAAAUUAAUGAAAACAACUUGGUGGAAUAAACUAAAGUUUGGACAGAUUCGGUAAGAAACUUGUGCCCAAGGAAAACCCUAGUUGCAAGUGAAAACCCUAGCCGUCGCAGAAAUUUUUUUUUUUUUGAUAUUUAAACAGAAUAUGCAACGAACAAAACAUGGCUACACUUGAAGGCAGGCUUCAAGACAGAAUCACACAACAAGUAAUGCACGAAGUGGACACGAAGCAAAAGAAAUCAAAGAAUGACUCAACAAGACAACAAAGGCGGACAGAAUUUGUUUUUUUUUUUUUGUUAUAACAAUCGGACUUGACACAAAGGAAGACACGACCAGAAUUGCAAAAUAAAAUUGAUUAGAAAGCUUACGAACAAACUCAACGGGAUAUACUUGAUGUCGUCGACUAGCUCUGGAUACCAACUGAUGUGAUACGGAUCUAGACGAACACCAAGUUGGGAUGAUUGGCAGAACUUUGACCCUUCUAGAAUCACAAGCCACGAACUAAGGAGCAUCCUUAACCCACGACUAGCAAAUUUAGUGAACCAAAAGUAUAGAUAGAAGAACGCCACAAUCAAGGAGACUACUUGAUUGAUAAGUUCAAUGAACAACUUGAGAUCAAUUCUCAAGUAUUCAAAGGAAAUUCUCUUGAGACAAGAGAGAGUGAAUAAACUCACGUAUAUUUUAUAAAAUCUGAAAACUGUCCCCUAAUGAAUGAAAACCUAGGCUAUAUAUAGCCUUACAGGACAAAACCCUAACUCGGCUAGGCUAGGCCUUUGGCCCGAUUCCACUACUCAAAUCCACUAUCUAAUGGUCAGCUUAUAAUUGAUCCAAUGAAGGCUUUAAGCUAGCCCAACAUAACCCAAUAAAAGCUAAUUAACCAACUUAAGUUAUAGUGAGUCUAGACUCUAUAAAUCGGAUCCAACUCAACAUGAGGUCUUGGACCGAAUUUAUUCCUAGCAAAUAAAAUAGAAAUCUAGAAAAUAAACUACUAACUAUUACUAAAAGAUUCAAUCUCUUGCAGCCCAAAACAUGGCCCAUAAGCCGCCCAUAUUUCGUAUCACAAUUGCUUCUUGUUGUUUUUCCUUUUUGCAGAUUAAUCACACGAAUAUGGAAUUGCAUGAUUGCUGUCCAAUUUCACCCUACCUUGCUGUCAUUCUUUUCCGUGAAGAUGUCGACAACAUUAGGGCUGAUUGUAUAUCACAAGUUCGUUUAAAGCCAGAGUUCCUCAAUGAACAUUACAACUACUACCUUCCACUCCUAGAUUAUCCGUGUGAAGCUUCUUUAUCUCCACAUCCAAUUUUGUGCUAUGCACCAGUGAUUGAGAUUAAAGACGUUGGAUUGUGGGGAGAUGUUCCGCACCAAUUUGAGGAUCCAUACCUCAUUGAUACAUAAGCCUUGAAAUUGGUCCGUGAGCUUCAUGUUACUACAACUGGUCCUUUCCAGCAUUGUACAUGGUGGUCCUUGUAUUGGAUGCAACCCUUGAAUGUGAUCAUUAUCAGGUUGUCCCAAUGACAUGUAACUCAUCUUGUGACCAUUCGCGCUUCGAUUUGUGGGCAAAUCACCUUUAAGAGAAGGAGAAUGAUACGGGACUAGCUGGUUUUAAAGUGGUAUCAAGUCCGAUUGCAUCAAGUUAGAGUCAUUUUAUUGUGUCUUGGCCGAAUGGUCUCCUUUAUGAGUUGUUUUCGCUUAUUUCCAUUGUUUUAUGUCAUUUGGUUAAUUCCAAAAUUUGAGUUUGAUUGUCUUAGUCAAUUAGUUAAUAAAAGGGCUCAAGGUCAUAUUGACCAUAGUUAGUAGCCCAAUUGGAGUUAAUUCAUAGAGUUAAUGAGAGUUAGGGUUAAGUUUCUUACUUCUUAGUUGGAUUAGGAGUUGGUCGUGUAAAAGGCUAUAAAAAGCCUUUGCUUUAACGUUUUGAGGGGUCAUUGAAUAAAAAUUGAGAAAAUUUUUCAGAUUUCUUUCGUGAGUGAAAAAGCUCUUCUUGGCUUGUGAAGUCACCAUUGAACAUCUUAGAGCUGCCCUAAGGUGAUUCGUCAACUUAUCAAUCAAGUAGUCACCUUGAUUGUGGCGUUGUCCUACCCGUUCUAGUCUUUCUUGUGCGGUCCAAGAUAGAUUACGAACUCCAUUACCACACGUUGAUUCCUAACCUAGAUCCGGGCUUGUGGUUCACGUUCUUGGUUUGUCUUGGCAUUUCAAGAAUCACAUCACAUAUGUUAUUCACAACAAAACAUCAAAAUACCAGACAAUUAAACAUCAUAGCCUGCAUCAUCUCCGAAACAUGGAGAACUAAGAUCAACAAUCGACCAAUCCUCACAACAGUUGCUAGGAAAAUAUUUACAUUGCCUAAACAAGUUAACCAUAAUUCGCACAAAUUCAUUAAACUCACAAUAUUCACCAUGGCAACAUGCUCUUACUUGCCACCGAAGCUAAAUUUAUAGAAUAAACCAAAACUAGCAAUAGAAGAAUGAGUUGGCCAGGCAAUUGUUGAUCACCAAGAUAAGUAGUACCAAAAGCAGAAAAUUAAAAAGACACCGGUCGAAUCCCCCCACAUCUGAAUGGUACAUUGUCCUCAAGGUAGCAAAUAAAUAGCAAAAGCAAGAAGAAGGACAACGGAACUUCCCUGAAAUCAUGGGGAUCGUGGCGGGGUCACAUCGGUGGGCGAGGCAGAAAAGGAGGUGAAAAACCCGAGUGGUGCAUAAAUGCUGCCAGAUUCUGCGCCAUCUGGGCCACAUUGGCAUCAAUGUUGGUCAUCCGAGCCUCUAGAUUCUGAGCUUGUGUCCGGAGUUGGUGCCAGUCAUCAGCCCCUGGGGGUGGAGGAGACGGAGCAGAGGUAGACGGGCCCGAAUCAGCGCCAGCAGAGGAGGAACGGGCAGAAGAGUGUCGAGGAGGGACGAGAGUCGGCCCCUGGGGAGUAAUCUCCCACUCGCUGUCACGCUCCCUAAACAAACCCACUUUUUCUAAGCAGGAAAUGUCUAAGGGCUCUAUUUGACAGGCUACAUGCAAAUCAUGGUUAGAAAGAUCAAGCAAAUACAGGUUAAUAGCCAGAUGGGUAAUAUAAGACGCAAGAAUCAGGGGGCACUUCUUUUUAGUCAAAAUAGAUUUGAAUUGAGAAGCGAGCCAGCACCCCAAAUUAACCUUAAUGUUGUUGUGCAUGACGGGAUUUUUAUAUCAAUGCAAGUUUAAAUCCAAUUUUUAUACCCGUUAGUUGCAAGUAUAUAUGCCGAAAUUGUAAUGUAGGGUAUGUAUCGGGUCGAUCCAACAAGGAGCAAUUUAAACAAGUACUAGGCCCUUAUUUUUCUCUAUUAUUUAGACUUACAAUAAAUUUGAGCAGAGAACGUAUAUUGCUAUAGUCUACAAAUCUAGUUUAACAAAUGCUAAAUGCAAAUGGAAAAUUUUCACUCAAGGAAGACUCUAGGGAUGUAGAUUCCACUUUUGGCAUAAACGCACAAAUGAAUGGAUUUACCUCUUGUUAUUAUUCUUGUUUAACCAGAGAUUCAUUUUCAAAAUUACCAAUUCUCAUUCUCAUGAUGAAAUGGCCUAAAGUAGUUUAGUUUUCCCUAUUUUCAUGGUGAAAUACUAGUUCUACUCUGUUUUCUUUCAUGAAAUGCUAAGUAAUCCACUUAAGUGUAUCUCUAUUUUCAUGAACAUACAACUUAAGCUCUACUCAUGUGUUUUCAUUGUUACUACCAAUUCUCAUUGAAAAAUAACAACUAUAAACAUGCUAUUGGUGAUCAAUCAAUAACAAGUAAUCACAACUACACAAGUAAACAAGUUAAUACAAGAUAUAACAAGUGUAAAUCACAUGCAAUUCAUAUUAUUUAGCCAUAAGUUUCAUCUACUCCCUAGAUAAAGAAAAUUAGCUACUCAUGAAUGAUUUAACAAUCAAACUCACAAGUUUAUUAAUGCAAAAUAUCAUAAAAUACAAGUACAAGAAAGAUAAAAGAAAACUUAGCCAAUCAAUGAUGAAACCCUCAAAUUUCUGCUAUGUUCUUGUACAAGAUGAUUACAAUUGAAAACUCCAAAUGCUUCUUUAAGAACUUCUAGCUAGAGAGAAAAUGUUACAAGAUGAAAAACUCCCCUACGUAUGGUUGUUUUGACCUCUCCCAAUGUCUCUGCAUAAAAAUUGCUCAAGAGCUUCAUUUUUCCAAGUCAAAUUCCAUCUUUUGAUUUCCAAAUCUCAACUUUGUUAAGAUAAUCAAGAACCAAUGUUUUUGACUUGAAAAUAAGCCAUAUUGUCUGCCCUUUUGUCUUCUGAAGCAUGUGCACCGAAUUCUCUUGUAACUUAUAGCUGGAAAGUAGUCUGAACACAAGAGAAAUGGCUGAGCAAAUUGCAGAUUUUCAGCUACAAAACGCGACUACAUAAAACGCGGCAUCAACUCGCGUUUUAUCAACUCAAGUUUUCAACUUGGCCUUGUUUCAACUACGAUUUUCUCUAUGAUGAAGGCUGAAAUAGUUUUUGUGCAAAACACAAAAAUUGUAUCCCUUUGAGUUAGCUUUUCAAUGCUUCAAACAUCAUCCAAAUCGGAGCUUUGUAGCCUGAGAUAUGAUCAAAAUACUAUCACCUGGUCAAACCCCUGUUUCGAUUUUCGACCACCGAAUGCAGCUUCUGUAUUCCGACGUUUUGUCCAUGAAAAGAGCAGAAUUGGAUUUCAAUGUCUUCAUAACAAUUGUAGGUCUCUUUCUUAGCUUUAAAAUGGUAUAAAGAUCACCUCAAUUGGAUAAGUGUAGCUCCAGAAAUAGUCGAAAUACCAAACAAUGUCAAAACUGUCUUGAACCGCAUUUCUUCACUUAAGCGUUUUUCACUUCAUUUCUCUUUUAACCACUUGAAUUCAUCACCAAUUAUCUAUUUUUCACCUAACUUGACAUCUUUUGGUGAUUGAAUCAUUAACCUGCAAGAAAAUGAAUUUUUUCCAUUAAAAUCAAUAGAAAUGCAAUAUUAGGCACUUUUACCAAACAAUGUAUAUUUUUACCAAAACCUAUUUAUUUUAGUUAUAAAACUAAAUAAUCAAACCAAAAUCAACUAAUAAAAUGCACUUAAAAAUACGUAAAAUAAAUCCUUAUCAAAUACCCCCACACUUGAAUCAUUACUUGUCCUCAAACAAUAUAAAAUUCCAACCAUCAAUGAUCCAAAAAUUGAAAAUAAACAUAUGUAGUAUUUCAAUCCCAUUUCCUUGAAUCAAGGUAAAUAACCCUUAUGUGAUCUUUUCAUUAACUUCAAGUACUCAUAAUAUCAAGCAAAGAAGAACCAAAUGUACCAUAAUUUUACCAAUUCAACUCAACUUCUUAUUUUUAUCCAAUUUCGCAAGCAAGCAGCUCCUAUAGUCAAUAAAGAUGCUAACUAAUCUCAUGAUCAACUUCUUAUUUUUCUUAAAGAGGGAUUUAUUUUACUUUUUUUUUUCUUUUUCUCUCUUUUUUUUAUAUAUAUUUUAAGGGUUAAAUACUACUUAAGUUGUGAAAAAUGUCUUUUGACGCGAAGAUCGACAUUUUUAGAUGAAAAUCCCCGGUUACUCAACAUUUCACAUACUCAAGUUGCUUUUCAUACUCUUAAUUUAAGUACCGUUUUACGCGAAAGUCGACAUUUGUAGAUGAAGACUCCCGGUUACUAAGUACAAAAACUAUUGGAGUAGAAUAACCCUUUUUUUUUAAAUGAAUAUAUAUAUAGAAAUAAUAAAAUUUCCUCUAAGAAUAAUCAUGAGAAAAAUAUGACACUUAUUGACCAUAUUAAUUUCUUAACUUAUAAAAUCAGAUACAAAGAAGAAUUUUCAUCAAACAUGCAAAAUGUAGGCAUAAUUUUCUCCACUUUAUUAGAUAUACUUUCCUAUAGAUGUAAAAAUUAUAAUCACAUAAUAGUCAUUUCCAAAUUAAAUGAUAAAAAAAGUUUCAAAACCACAUAUAUUUAUUUCAAAAGGAUAAGUGACAAAAUUUUAUUUAUUUAUUAUGAUUAUUAUAUAUAUGUAUAUGUAUAAAGUUUUGGAAAAAUUUUGACAGAAUCUCCCCUUAAAAGUGGACUAAACUCCCUGCCAGCAACCCAUAAGAAACAAAAUUGAAGCACAAGAAAUAUUGCCAAUAACAUAACUAACAUCAAACACAACUAAAAUCACAAGUACCACACAUAUUUUCCCCCCACACUUAAAAUACACAUUGUCCUCAAUGUGUAGGGAAGGAAAGAAACAAAAGAAGAAAAGAAAAGAAAGAAGUACUUCCCAAGUCAAUGGCUGAGAUCCUUAUCAGCCACUAAUCACGAACCACUGUCAAAAUACAAGUACCUACCAAAUAGAAAACAGAAAAAUAAAAUGAAGUUAAACAAUUUAAGGUCCACAAGUUAAGACAAUAAGGCAAGCAAAUCCAGCAACAAAAGAUGGCAUCUUCAGUGUGCCAAAUCAGUCAUCCCCCUCGGCAUCAUCGUCAUCCUCUACAUCACGAUUGGGCGGUAGAUGAAUGCCCAAAUGAUCUUCAAUUCGGCUUAGACGAUUCCUAACGCCAGCAAACUGGUAUGCAAAGUCGUCCAUAUGAUCAAAAAGUCGCUGCCAAUUAGUCUGUGGUAGAGGAGGAGGUGGUGCUGCAGUAGAUGGUCCAGUUUCAUCCCGACCAUGUCUAGCCUUUUGUCUCCGCUCCUGAACAGAACGUGGAACGUCCCCUGUGCCAAUACCAAGCCAGCGGAGAGUAGUGAUAGAUAAUUCAGCUCUCGGUGGAACAUACUCCCGUCGCAUGCCUUCCAAGCGAACCUCAAAACGUGGGAAGAUCAAAGUUAGUAGACGAGGAAAGGAUAAUUUGAAAGAAGUUGUCUUACGCCUCGCCGUAGACCGAAUGUGGCUAAUGAUGAUGUUAGGCAGUGAAAUGCGAGCAUAUGGAGACGUCCGGUUAUGGAACAUAUAAUCCAAGAAAUAGAUAUAGCUCUUACGGACCUCCGUGUGCCCCGUUUUCUUUGGAAUGACAUUAUGAGCCAUCAUAUAAAUGAUAAGACGAUGACGAGGUUCGAAGACAUUCGCCACUAUGGUCUCCUUUCUUGUAGAGUGAAAAGGUUGGUACUCGAGACCAAACCUAGCCAUGGCCAACGAGGGAUCCUACCUCCUAUUCAGGGGAACAAACUCCUUCUUCAAAUCUACUGGACGUCCGUCAUCCAUACACCCCAAAAUAGUGGCCAAAUCUUGACGUGACAAGACGAUUCGUCUUCCACGCACCCAGGACUCAACCAUUUCUCCACUAUGGCACGCCUUACUCUCAAUGUUGGCGUAGAAUUCUCGCACCAAGUCGGGGUAGUAAUGGUUUGAAAGGGUGAGAAUCGGAACUCAUCCAAGCUGAGCAAAAGCAUCUAAGAUGUUGUACAUCAUCUCAACUGGUGGACUAACGUGCAUCUCAAACAAAAAUUUCAAAUUAGCAUGCUCCUCAUGCCACUCCUGAUUCCUGCGAGUGUUGAACCUAGCACUGUCAAAUACCGAUUUUUCCGCUCCACGAGAGGUGCCCUCACCAGGUUGAUGGCUAACUGGUGGAGGAGAAGGUGAACUCUCCUCCUCAGACACUUUCAUCUCUUCAUUAACCUCCCUCUCCUCACUACUAGAGGAUGAAAGUAUCGCUCUUCUUCCCCUUGGCAUAGUACCUAAAAAAAAUAUUUUAAUUAUCCAUAUGUACUACAACUCAUUAUUUGGCAACAAAAACCCAGAAUUAAUCUCAAAUACAUUACCUCAAAUUAUAAUCAUUCAAUGAUCAUACAAAAAGAGACAUAUUUUCUGUUCAAAAUUGCCCAAAAUUACCAACUUAAACAAGAUAUGUUUCAAUUAUAAUUUAAUCAAUGAAAAUAGCAUCAAUCAUGAUUAUAGCCAUCUAUAAUCAACAAUAAUAAUGUGCAAUUAGCUAUAACCAUAGUUAGGCAAAAAUAAAACUAAUUAACUCACAAAAUCAACCAAAUUGUUCACUAUACACAAUGCACAUGCUCAAACAUCAUCAACUAACCAUUCUUAACCAUAAUUAAUAAUCACCAAUGGCUCAAAAACAUCCUAAAUCCAUUUUUCAAUUUCCUCCAAAUAUAGCAAUUGUGAAUUUUUAAAGCAAUAAUGACCAACAAAUUGUUACAUUUAAGCAUAUAAACAUGCUUAAACAAUCUUAAUAAGCAUGAACAAAUUCAAAAAUAGUCAUAUACAUCAUCAAAUUUUCUAAAUUAACAGAUGUCAGAAAGCUCAGGAUAAAAAAUAUGAACUUCUAAAAUCAAAAGAUUUGAUGAAGAAACUUGCCUCAAUCACGUAGAAGGAUGUUUGGUGAUGCUAAAAAUGCAAAAAGCCCUAUGAAACAACCUCCAAUUGACCUCCAAUUGAAGAAAUUAGAGUUGAAGAACCCUAACCUUCAAUCCUUCAAAAACUGAAUUUGAGGUGUUUUUCUUGGAUUUUAAUCGGUUAAAAAGGUUGUAUGAAGCUUAAAAGGUGUUGGGUUGAUGUUUUAUAGCAAGAUUAUGGAACAAAAUUGAAGGUUUGUGAGUUGGGUAGAAAAGAAGAGAAAAAAAUGCGCCUGAAAUUUCAAUAGAGGAAGGAAAAAAAUGAACUGAAAUCGCGUUUUUGGAAGCUAUAUUCGGACAUAGAAAAUGCGACUGAAAACGCGCAUUCAACUCGCGUUUUUGAAGUCGUGUUUCCUUCACAAAUGUUGCAGCAAUGAAAAUGCGACUAUGUUGGUAAACGCGACUCUGAGUCGCGUUUUUUAAGUCGCGUUUUUGAAUUUUGAUCCAGGCUUGAAAACGCGAUUUCCAUCAAAACGCGACUCAAAGUCGCGUUUUGAAGGCGCGUUUUCUGUUCUGCAGGUGCAGAAUUGAAAACGCGAUUCUGUACAAACGCGACUCGGAAGCACAUUUUUGUGAAAAACGUGUUUUCUGCUACGAAUUUUAGCAGAAAUUCAACUUUUACAAAAUUGCAAAUGGUACCCCAAUCACUCAAAAUUCAUCCUAGAUCAUUUGUUUGCCAAAUUUACCAAUGUAUGCACAUGUAAAACAUUGAAAACAUGCAUUUUACCCCUUUUUAGCGAAUCAAAAGCACCUUUAACGCAAAUCAAGGGCUUGAGUUGUUUGAUCAAAGUUCGUCUUUUUCUUCUCAAAUGGUCAUCUUUGCUUCCAUAUGUCCACCCUAUAACACAAAAAUAACAAAUCAACUAAAAUAUAUAUAUUAAACACAAAAUCAUUACAAAUUAACACAUAUAAUAUAAACAUUGGGUUGCCUCCCAAUUAGCACUUUUGUUUAUAGUCGUUGGCUCGACUCUCCUAUAGUUUUUUUAUCUUUCUAUUGCGUUUCCUAAGGAGUAAAUUACUCCUUUAGGAACCUUUUCUCCGGCCAAAUAGGGCUUCAAUUUUUGACCAUUUACUUUGAAUGGAUCACUAUUUUCUCUUUUUAUUUCCACUACUUUAUAAGAAAACAUGCGAACCACUUCAAAUGGCCCUGACCAUCGAGACUUAAGCUUUCCAGGGAAUAAUUUAAGCCUUGAGUUAAACAAUAACACAUUUUGCCCUUCUUGAAAAUGUUUAGGAAGAAUGUGUUUAUCAUGCCAAAAUUUCACUUUUUCUUUGUAAAUCUUGGCAUUCUCAUACGAAGUUAACCGUAAUUCCUCCAAUUCGCUUAACUCAAUCAUUCUCUUUUCACCUGCAGAUUUAGAAUCAAAAUUAAUAGCUUUAACGGCCCAAUAAUCUUUAUGUUCUAUUUCUACAGGUAAAUGACAUGCUUUCCCAUAAACAAGCUUAUAUGGAAACAUUCCCAACGGCAUUUUAAAUGCCGUUCUAUACGCCCAUAAAGUAUCUUCAAGCUUGUUUGACCAAUCCUUUCUCGAUCGAUUGAUCGUUUUCUCCAAAAUGAUUUUAAUUUCUCGGUUGGCCAACUCCGUUUGACCAUUGGCUUAAGGAUGAUAGGGGAGUGACUUUUUAUGCCUGCAUCCAUAUUUAAACAACAAAGUAUCAAUAAUUUUAUUACAAAAAUGCUUACCUUCAUCGCUUAUUAUUGCCUUUGGGACUCCAAACCUGCAAAAUAUGUUCCGUUUAAGGAACUUAAGCACAACUUUAGCAUCAUUAGUUUGUGAAGGAAUGGCCUCCACCUAUUUAGAAACAUAAUCAACUGCUAAAAGGAUGUACUUAUUAUUAUAUGAACUAGGAAAUGAUCCCAUAAAAUCAAUGCCCCAAAUAUCAAAUAACUCAACUUCCAAAUACGUAGUCAAAGGCAUUUCAUUCUUUCUUGAGAUAUUACCGGUUCUUUGGCAUUGAUCACAACUUUUAACCCAAUUUGUAGCAUUUUGGUACAUAGUAGGCCAAUAAAAUCCAGAUUACCAUAUUUUUGCUACGAUUUUAGAUGUGCUAAAAUGACCUCCCGUUUCAAGUGUAUGACAAUGCAUUAAAAUACUAUGUACCUCAUCUUCCAGAACACAUCUUUUAAUUAUUCCAUCUGCACAAUGUAUGUAAAAGAAUGGUUUCGGCAUAUUCACGAGAGUCGGCAUAAUCCCGAUCAAUAAAACCAAAGGCGAGAUUAAAAUCAGUGAUGGAGUGGUGGAACUCUUGACCCAUUAAUCGAAAACGGAUGAUGUUGGGAUAGAGACUGUAUAACCGGUGGGAAGGUCAAAUUCGAAUGUGGCAUAAAAUUUCCUAACCAACUCAACAAAGGCUGGACAGUCAACAAUAUUAGGAUAGGGAUGCCACCCAAUGGUUGUGAUCAAACAGUCAAAGUCAAUCCUAAUAUUCAGAAUACCCAUAGUGGCGGCGUCCAGAAAUCGACAGGGGGUAAUCCGUCGUUCACAACAAAUAGCAUAUCGCUGCUUGUCGGCGAUUUUGGUGAACGUCAAGUUACCCUCAAAAUACGAAGGGUCAGAAAUAUAGACGCUCUUUUGCCUCCUAAGACGAGCCCUCCUCCCAGAGGAAGAAGGGUCGUGCGAGGGAUCAGAGGCGGGAGUGGUGGGUUGGGAAGUGGUGGCUGUGGAGGGUCUAGGUGUCCUAGACCUAGAAGAGGAUUUGGGUCUCACCAUGGUCACUAACAAGCAACCCAAUUAACAGAAAUAAAAUUGCCAACAAAUAGAGGAACAAGUAAAUGCAGAUCAAUAGAAAUCAAUAUCCUCUAGUGAAGUCAACAAUCAACCCAAUAAGCACUGAUAUCUCUCAAUUUAAAAGGCAGAAGCAAAACUAAUUCAACCAAAAGCGCAACAGAAGCUCCAAUUGUAACAGCAAAUUCCCAAACAACAUAGCUCUCAGUCGAGAGGUAGAUGACCGCAACAAAGCCGUUAAUUCAACCAAAUGUAACAAGUAAAAUAACUGUCAGAGGUACCUCGCAAAUAUCAACCCCAAAGAUGCAAUAAAAGCCCCAAACAAAUCAAUCACGUUAAAAAUCAAGCAAAUCACCCCCGCCAGUGCAAUGUAGUGCAACCAAUUAAGAAAGUGGCAACAAAUUCCAGCAAUUUAUGAUCCAGAAAAUUAACUAACGAUGUAGAAACUUCAAUACCUCCACCUAUCAAAAAUUGACAGGUAGUGACGGCGCGGUAGCGGACGGCAGCAGCGGCGCUCCAUUGGCGGCGGAGAGAGAGAGUCGUGAGGGAGGCGCGCGGUGCCUGGGUUGCGUGCUUGGUGCGCUUGGGCGUGUGGCGAAGCGGGGAGAAGGCGACUGCGAGUUCAAGAGGCGGCGGCGUGGGCUGGUGGCGCGCAAGGGGGGUUCGGUGGCACGCGCGGUAGGAGUCGUGCGAUGGUGGCAAUCGCGACAAGGAGAGAAAGAGAGACCGCGGCGUGGGUAGCGGUGGUGGAGGAUUGGGCGAAAGAGGUGGCGGCAGCGUGCGAGGGAAUUGCAGCUAAAGAGAAGGGGAAGGGAAUUGGGGGAGAAGAAAGAAAGAAGAGAAGAAAGAAAGAAAAAAGAAAGAAAAGAGGAAAGAAAAAGAAAACAAAAGAAAACAGUUUUUUUUCUUUUUUCUUUUUUUAUUUUUUACGAAAUCUAAAUUUUAAAAUUUGAAAAUUAAAAUUGAAGGUUAAAACAAAAAAUAUUUUAUUUUAAUUUAAUUUUUUUUGUUUUUGGGUCGUCAAACACGGCGUUGGCACACCAAGAUUGGAAAAAGUAUUCUGACCUUGGGAGUUGCUUUUCGCAAUUUAACGCAUGCCUUCCUCGCGUGGACACGCCAAGAUCUGGAAAAGUAAUCUGAUCUUGGGGUGGCUUUUUUUUUUGCACAUUAAUGCGUGCCCUCCUUGCGUGGGCGCACCAAGAUUUCUUGACCUGCUUGCAUUGCGAACAGUAGAGGUUUUACCAACAUGGCGUGGGCACACCAUGUUUUGCAAAAGUCUCCUGACCAUGAGGUUGGGGCUUACAAGAUUAACGCGUGCCCUCCUUGCGUGGGCACGCCAAAAUUACCUGUCCUGGUCAUAGUGGGGGAAAAUAUCAAGAUCGACUAUACCCAAGUGAGAAACAACAAAUUUAAAGCAUUGAACAACGAAAAUUAAACAAAAUCAAUAUUUGUGUAGCCUCCCAAAAAAGCCUCUCUUUAACGUCUUUGGCCAGACGUAGCCCAGAAUUUGCUUAAACUAAGCAAGCCGGGUCUUCCAGUUGCAUCAUCUCCACCUGUUCAACUGGAAACCCUUCAUAAUAUGACUUGAGACUGUGAUCAUUCACCACAAAUUUUUUCUCUAUUUUGAAACUUUGGAUCUCCACUACACCAUAGUGAAAGAUAUUAGUCACAACAAAAGGACCGAUCCAAUGAGAACGUAAUUUAUCUGGAAAUAGCUUAAAUUUCGAGUGGUAUAGUAGAACUUUUCUCCCGCAGACGAACGUCUUCCUAGAGAUUUUUUGGUCAUGAAAGAUCUUAUUUUUUUCCUUAUAAAUCGCGGCAUUCUCGUAUGCUUCAUUUCGAAUUUCCUUUAACUCUUGUAAUUGCAACUUCCUUUGAAUUUCGUCCUCCUCAAUGUCCAUAUUACAUUGCUUGACUGCUCAAAAUGCUUUAUACUCGAACUCGACGGGGAGGUGACAUGGCUUCCCAAAUACCAACCGAUAAGGAGACAUGCCAAUGAGUGUCUUGUACACCGUCCUAUAUGCCCAUAAUGCAUCUUCUUGUCUCAUACACUAAUCCUUUCUAUCGGGACAGACCAUUUUCUCUAAAAUCGACUUGAUCUCUUGGUUCGAUGCUUCCGCCUGACCGUUAGUUUGAGGAUGGUAGGAUAUGAAAACUUUAUGCAAAAUACCAUAUCUCCUAAAAACUGUAGCAAUCGUCUUGUUACAGAAAUGGCUAUCUCGAUCACUUACAAUCGCUCGCGACAUCCCAAAGCGGACAAAAAUAUUAGACUUGACGAAUUCUGCAACCACUUUGGAAUCAUUAGUGUGGGUGGCAUUUGCUUCCACCCACUUCGAAACAUAGUCUACUGCAAGCAAUAUAUACAAAAAACCAAAAGGCGAAGGAAAAGGACCCAUAAAGUCGAUACCCAAACGUCAAAAAUUUCAAUGAAGAUCAUUGGGGUUUGGGUCAUUUGAUCCCUACGAAAAAGAUUACCUACUCGUUGACACUUAUCACAGGACUUACAAAAUGAGUAGGCGUCCUUGAAGAGGGUCGGCCAAUAGAAACCACUCGCCAACACUUUACGAGCCAUUCUCUUUGGUCCGAAGUGACCCCCACAUGCAAAAGAGUGACAAUUGGUUAAUAUUGAGUGAAAUUCAUUCUCACCUACGCAUCUUCUGAUGACUUGGUCUACACCACGCUUCCAGAGGUAAGGAUCAUAUCAAAUAUAGUACUUCUCGUCACUCCUCAAUUUGUCCCUCUUCGCUUUAGACCAUCCUGCAGGGAACUUGUUAGUGACUAGAAAGUUAAUAAUAUCCGCAUACCAAGGUAAUGAUAAAUUAACAGAAAAUAAAUGCUCAUCGGGGAAAGCUUCUCUCAGUGGGAGGUCAUUUUCGACGACUUGUACUCGACUCAAGUGAUCUGCUACCAGAUUUUUUGCCCCUUUCUUAUAUCUGAUCUCCAGGUCGAAGUCUUGUAGCAAUAAUAUCCACCUUAUCAGUCGCAGUUUUGCAUCUUUGUUGGUCAACAGAUACUGUAAUGCUGCAUGAUCAGAAAAGACAAUAACUUUAGCAUUUAGUAAAUACGACCGAAAUUUCUCUAAAGCAAAAAUAACCGCCAAAAGCUACUUUUCGGUAGUUGAAUAGUUCAGUUGAGUUUCGUUCGAAGCUUGAGAUGCGUAGUAGAUAGCAUGGGUUGCCUUUCCCACUUUUUGACUCAGCACCGCGCCCACUGCAUAAUCGCUGGCAUCAUACAUGAUCUCGAAUAGUAAAUUUCAAUCAGGGCGUUGGAUAAUAGGUGACGAGGUCAAUAUUUCCUUCAACCUAUCAAACGCCCCUUUGCAUGCUUCAUCAAAUGCGAAGGUCACAUCUUUUUGCAAAAGCUGGAACAACGGUGUUUCAAUUUUCGAGAAAUCUUUAAUGAACCUUCGAUAGAAACCUGCGUAACCCAAAAAAAAAUGUACUUCCCGCAUACUCGCGGGGUAAGUUAAAAUAGAUAUAACGUCUAUUUUCGCCUUAUCAAUCUUAAUACCCCUGGACGAUAUCACAUGACCCAAGACUAUCCCGUGUUGACUAUAAAGUGGCAUUUUUCUCAAUUAAACACGAGAUUAGUUUCUAUACACCUUACUAAGAUUAAUUUCAGGUUAUUUGGAGAGUUAUCAAAACUUUCACCAUACACGCUGAAAUCGUCCAUGAAAACCUCAAUAAUCUUCUCAACAUACUCUGAAAAAAUGCUUACCAUGCAUAUUUGGAAUGUAGCAGGUGUAUUGCAUAACCCGAAUGACAUUCGUCUGUAUGCAAACGUUCUAUACGGGCACGUGAAGGUGGUCUUUUCUCAGUCCUUGGGGGCGAUAGCAAUUUGGAAAUAACCUGAAAAUUCAUCCAAAAUGUAAUAGUAAACUCGACAUGCUAAUCGUUCUAUCAUUUGAUCAAUGAAAGGGAAAGGUGAUAGGUCGCAAUUUUGUUAAUUAUUUUAUAAUUAAUUUUCCUUAUUACCUUACCACAUGCAGAUUAAUUGUCAGAUUCUACUCAUUUUUUGCAUUUGUGCUUAUCGUAGGGAGUUGGAGAAAAAUAUGAUAAAUAGGUGCAAAUUUCGUACUACAAAUGCUGUUUGGCGUGAUCUCGUCAACUUAGGUCUUAACAUGUCCGGAAGGUGCGGGAAAGACCUUAUGACACCAACUGCCAAUUGGAAGUGCAACAUGGGAGCCGCGAUUAUUCCCUUCGUUGGUUAUCUAAUUUGAAUUAACAUGAGUAGUUUUAGCAUAGUAAGAAAAGUCAGAAUUUGACUAGGACUCCAAUUCUAGUGCUUUUGGAGUAGGGUCGGCCGCAAGGUAGAAAAAAGAGGAACAGACUUAGCUUAUGGGAGUUGUUCAUUGUUUUUAGAUUAUUCCCGUGAAACUCUGGCUAGAGGCUACAGAGAAGACAUUAGCCAAUCCUUUUGACUUAGUACUUUUCCUCUCAUUUUCAAUUAUUCGGAUUUCUUCAUUAUAUAGAGGAGAAUGUCUUUGACAAUUACUUCUGAAUUUUCGCGUGGAUUUUUCUCAUCAAAUAUGAACUAAAUCCCUUUUUCUAGUCAGGAAACAACGGAGGUUUUGGUUCAUCUAAAAAUUGUGAGAUCGAAUUAAUUUUAUUUAUUCCUCUUAUUUACUGGUAUUUGCAUAUUCUCUACUUGCAGUGCUUAUGGUUAUUUAAUUAAUUGAUUAUCUUGGAUACGGACAAUGAAUUGAUUCAAGAACCUGCUGUCAAUUGGAGCAUUAAAUCUGUAAUUGUUCAAUUACUUUAAAAUAGUGACAAUUGGCAUGAUUGGAUUUGUGACGGGGGAAUACGCGGACUAAUCUAAAAUAACCCUAGUAGUGCGUUAUUUGGUUAGAAUAGGACUCGUCUAAUACAUAAGGCAAUUGGAGAAUUAAAUCUUACUGGAUUGCCUAGAAUUAUUUCUGAAUUAGAGCAGUGAUUAAUGUGCGUACCUUAAUCACCGACACGGUAAGGAGAGGUUGACUGUCAUCGAAUGUUUGGCAGUUAUAACCAUUUAUUAGUAAAUAAUUGAAAUUACCUUUGCAUCGAUAAUCAAUUAGGUAAACCAUUAUUGAAGUUAUUUCUUGGCUAGAUCUUUAGUUAUUAUUAAUCUGAUUUUAGUAAAUUGUCAUUUAAUUUUUAGUUAACUAUUUGUUUUUAUUUGGACUGUUUUAAUUGUCAUCUUUUAUACGAAAUCACCCCCUUGUUACUUUGAAUUUCAAAAGAGACAAAUAUCCCCAAUCCCUGUGGAUUUGACUCUGUUUAUCACUAUCUACAAAAAUUAUAUUUUGUUUGAGCAGGCAUUUAUUAUUGCACAGGCUCGAUAACCUUUCAAUUUUUGGUGACGUUGCUGGGGACUGGGGUUAGUUAAUUUGUUUCUUUUUAAAUUCAUUCUUGUUUUAAUUUUUUGGUACUUUUCUAGUGUAUGCAUCGUUCUUCUCAUACAAGUGAAUUGAUUUUUGACCCUGAGGUAGAGAAGAUCACGCGAAGUUCACGAAAAGAGACUAGACAGCUCAGAGAGGAGUAAUCUAGUGCUGCAUCUCAGAGACUUGAUCCGAAAGUUGAAGCAACAAAUUCUCUUGGCGAUACUUUGAGUGAUCCGGAUCGAGAAGAAGUUACUAUGGCUAAUGCUCGAACACCAAGGGUGUUGGCUGCUCCGGAUCUAAAUCAGCAAAGCUUAUGCAUUACUUUUCCAAGUUUCAAUAAUAACACCCCAUUUGAGUUAAAAUCUGGUCUAAUUAUCUUUUACCAUCUUUUCAUGGUUUAGCAGGUGAGGAGUCUUAUAAGCACUUGCAAUAGUUCGAUGUCGUUUGCAACAGUGUGCAACCCCCAGAAAUUACAAAAGAACAGAUAAAAAUAAGGGCAUUCCCCUUCUCUCUGAAUGACUCCGCGAAAGACUGGCUGUACUACCUACCACCAGAUAGUGUCACCACUUGGGACCAGCUGAAGAAAAAAUUCCUAGAUAAAUAUUUUCCUGCGUCUCGUGGUACACGUCUAAGGAAGGAGAUAUGCGAUAUCAAACAGCAUCAAGGAGAGUCGCUUUAUAAUUACUGAGAGCGAUUCAAGAAGUUAUGCAUCAAGUGCCCUCAACACCAAAUAAAUGAGCAAUUGCUCAUCCAAUAUUUUUACGAGGGGCUACUUUUCAGAGACAGGACUAUAAUUGAUGCUGCAAGUGGAGGGGCGUUGGUGAACAAGACUCCUCGAGAAGUGUGGGAGUUAAUUGAAGGAAUGGCCGAGAAUUCGCAGCAGUUUGGUACAAGGGAGGAUGUUCGGACACACAAAGUGAAUGAAGUAGAAACAUCCUCUAUCCAACAGCAAUUGACCGAAUUAACAUAUUUUGUUAGGCAACUGGCUGUAGGAAAUGCACCGCAGGCCAAGGUGUGUGAAAUUUGUGCUGUCACGGGUCAUUCUAGAGAAAUAUGCCCGAUGAUUCAAGAAGAGAGUGUGGAGCAAGUCAACAUGGCUGAUCACGCGCCUGCGCCAAGAAAGUCACAUGACCAAUACUCGAACACGUACAAUCUGGGUCGGAGAGAUCACCCUAACUUCAGCUAUGGAGGGAAUAAACAAUCAAAUUUUGUACCGAACAGACAGUAAGGCUAUCAUCAGCAAUACCAAUCUCGGCCAGCACCCCCAGCACCUCCAAGCUCAAGCCCGUCUUUGGAAGAAAUGAUGAAGCAACUAAUUGCUAGCCAACAAAAGAUGGAAUCUAACUUGCAAAGUCAAAUCGGUCAGAUACAAACAGUACAAAGUCAAAUGGAUCAUAUAAAGCAAUGCAAAGUCAGAUGAGCCAGAUGGCAAUAGCAAUCAACCGUUUGGAAUCUCAAGUUUACGAAAAAUUGCCAUCUCAACUUGAGCUAAACCUGAAGAAUGUAAGUGUAAUGACCUUAAGGCGCGAGAAUGAAAUUCAGGAACCCGAACUCGUGAUUCCGAAGGAUAAAAACGAAGAUCGAAUUGAAAAAGAGCUUGAGGAGGAAGGAAUGAGAAAUGCAAAUCCAAAGGUAAUUCUUGAUUCUAUAAUUAAAGUUGGAACUAACUCACCACCUUUUCCAAGCAGGUUAGAGAAACCAAAGAAGGAAGAUAAGGAAAAGGAGAUUCUAGGUGUUUUGAAAGGUGGCGAUCAAUAUCUCUUUGUUGGACGUGAUCAAACAAGUGCCAAAACAAGAAGAAGUUGAGGGGGGAUAAGCAUAUUAUGGUAGGUGAGAACGUUUCAGCAAAAUUUUACAAAGGAAACUACCACCUAAAUGUGGAGAUCCAAGUAUGUUUACUAUCCCCUGUAAGAUUGGACAUUUUAAGAUUAAAAAUGUGAUGCUAGAUUUAGGGGUUUCUAUUAUUGUGAUGUCUAAAUCAAUCUAUGAUUCCCUAAAUUUAGAACCUUUAAAAGAAAUUGAGAUAAUAAUUCAAUUGGCUGAUCGUACAUUUGCUUAUCCGGAUGGAGUAGUUUAGGAUGUUUUAGUACAAGUAGAUGGAUUAAUUUUUUGAACCGAAUUUUAUGUGCUUUACAUGGAUGAUAGAAGUGUUCCAAAUCUAUCACCCAUUAUAUUAGGAAAGCCAUUCUUGAGUACUGCCCAAACUAAGAUUGAUGUUAGUAAGGGUACUCUCACAAUGAAAUUUGAUGGAGAAAUAGUCCACUUUAAUAUUUUUGAUAUAAUGAAAAAUCCUGUUAAUUCUCAUUCUGUGUUUGCUAUUCAUGCUACUAAUCUCUCUGUACAAGAAUUUUCUGAGUUUGCUUGUAGGGGUAAAUUCAAAAUUGUUACGAACAAAUAUCAUGGGAUGAAAGCAAUUUAUGAGUAGAAAAUUAAGGAAAAACAUUGCACUCAAUGACUAUUUGGAUCCCGGAGAAAGGCCACCGAUUACAAGGAAAAUUGAAUUACAUCCAGAUUGAAAAGUGGUGUUUAACGUCUAGGCAAAGACGUUAAUGAAAUGCGCUUAUUGGGAGGCAAUCUAAUUUCUUUUAGUUGUUUGUUCAGCUUUAUUUGAUAGUUUCAAUAUGUUUUCUUAGAGUUUUUUCAGAUUUCUGGUUUAAUUUUUCAUUUUUGACGAUUAGUAGGUGUCCCCCUGACAUGACGCGCCCGUGUCAAGAGGGCGCGUGGUAAAGUGCAAUUUUCAAGUGAUUCAUCAGAAGGGUUUCCACCCUCAUGACGCGCUCGCAUCAAGUCACCUGAAGAGCUCUUCUUCGAUCCUGGAGCGGACUGACUGACAGGACGCGCCCGCUUCAACUGGGCACGUGAUAACUUGAAUUGAACGGACAUUCAUCAGAAGGGUUCUUGCCUUUAUAAUGUGCCCACGUCAUGUUUGAGGGAAACUUAUGUAAAAAAAAAAAACCCCGAAACCUAUUUUCUUUUUCUCCUUCUUUCUUUCUUUCUUCCUUUCUUUUUCUUUCUUUCUCUUUUCUUUCUUUCUUCUUCCCUUAUUUCCCUUUCCUUUCCUUCGUCGGUCGAAACCCUACAUCCGCCGUCGCUAUAGGAAGUCGCACUCAACUCCCGGUCACCAGCCACUACAGUCGAGCGCCGCUGUUGUCCUCCAUGCUUCCUCGUCGCCAUGACACUGUACGUCGGAGCUCUCCUUCCCUCUGUGAUCCAUCACUGUCGCGCACUGCCAUAGCAACAUUUUCGCUCCACCGUUCCCACCUAUUCCAUAGCCGUCCGAAACCCUCCACCACGUAUUCGGGGAUGUUUCGUUGUCCGGUUUGCUUUCUUUGCUUUAUGAUCUCUAUUGAGGACAACGUCGGAUUUAGGUGUGGGGGUGAGCUGUGGUACAGCUAAUAUUUUUAAUUUUAGAUAUUUUUCUUUAUUUCUUGUUAUUUGUUCUGUUUUUCUUUUAUUUUCUUUUUACUUUUUACUUCUGUGAAUAUCAAGGAUUAAUGAUGGUUGUUUGGCUCCAAUUCUACUAUUGUCACGUUUUAAUAAUAAAAGUGUAUCAAGUUAAUUUGGUUGAAUCCAAAAAUAUCUCUUUGGUGAAUAUCGACGAUUGCGUGACUCCUAUAAUUUUUGAUUAAUUUUUUUAGGCAUAGGGAAUAACUGUUGGCAUUUUCAUGUGAAUUGGUCCGAUUAUUAACUUGAAUUCUCCAUGUUUGAAGAAAUGAGGCUAGCUGCUGCUAUUAUUUUUUGUAUUAUUUCGAGUUAUUUUGUUGCCUGGUUGAGAAUUAAAGUUGGAUGUACCCUGCUAGCCGUUACUGUUGAGUAAUCGGGGAUCUUCACCGAAAGUGUCGAUACUCGCGUCAAAAAGUGAUAAUUUCUAUGAGCACGUGGUCUCAUAGCGAUAGGAGUUGAGUAAUCGGGUUCCUUCAUCUAACAAAUAUUGGAGUUCGCGUAAAAAAACUCUAAUGGCUAGAGACUAAGUCUAUUAUUACUAUUAAAAAAAGAGAAAAAUAGAAAAGCGUGAUAAAAAGGUAAAAGUUGUGUCAAGAUGUGAUUAAAGUUAGCUUGCCUAUUUGUGGAUUUAAUGUUGAAAUUUUGGUUAAUAGUUGAAUUAUUUGCUGAUAAAUGUUGAGCGGCCAUUCUUUUUUCUUAGAUUAGUUUGCCUUAAAUUGAAGUUGUCCACGGUUUAAAAGCUACCCGGGGUGAUGUUUCUUGGAUCUUGACCAUUGAUGCUUGAUAGGUGUUUUUUUUUUGUAUCUUGGCAAUAAGGUAGAUGGAGCAAUCGCCAUAAUCAGAAAUUAGUGUCUGUUUCCUAUUCUCAUGCUUAAGGAUAAGCAUGGUUUAGGUGUGGGGGAAAUUGAUAGGUUGUAAUUUUGUUAGUUAUUUUAUAAUUAAUUUCUCUUAUUACCUUACCACAUGUAUAUUAAUUAUCAGAUUCUACUCGUUAUUUUUCUAGUACUUUUCUAGUGUAUGCCUCAUUCUUCUCAUACAGGUGAAUUAAUUUUUGACCCUGAGGUAGAGAAGACCGCGCGGAGAACACGAAAAGAGAUCCGACAGCUCAGAGAGGAGCAAUCUAGUGCUGCAUCUCAGAGACUUGAUCCGAAAGUUGAAGCAACAAAUUCUCUUGGCGAUACUUCGAGUGAUCCAGAUCGAGAAAAAGUUACUAUGGCUAAUGCACGAACACUAAGGGGGUUGGCUAAUAGUAUGAAGCCCCUGAAAAUUACAGAAGAACAGAUAAAAAUAAGGACAUUUCCCUUCUCUCUGAAGGACUCCGCGAAAGACUGGCUGUACUACCUACCACCGGUAGUAUCACCACUUGGGACUACCUGAUGAAGAAAUUCUUAGACGACUAUUUUCCUACGUCUCGAGCUCCAAGUCUAAGGAAGGAGAUAUGCGGUAUGAAACAGCAUCUAGGUGAGUCGCUUCAUGAUUACUGGGAGUGAUUCAAGAAGUUAUGCAUCAAGUGCCCUCAACACCAAAUAAGUGAGCAAUUGCUCAUCCAAUAUUUUUACGAGGGGCUACUUUUCAGAGACAAGAGUAUAAUUGAUGCUGCAAGUGGAGGGGCGUUGGUGAACAAAACUUCUCGAGAAGCGUGAGAGUUAAUUGAAGGAAUGACUGAGAAUUCGCAGCAGUUUGGUACAAGGGAGGAUAUCCCGAUACGCAGAGUGAAUGAAAUAGAAACAUCCUCUGUCCAACAGGAAUUGACAGAAUUAACAUCUUUUGUUAGGCAAUUGGCUGUAAGAAAUGCACAGUAGGCCAAGGUGUGUGAAAUUUGCACUGUCACAGGUCAUUCUACAAAAAUGUGCCCGAUGAUUCAAAAAGAGAGUGUGGAGCAAGUCAAUAUAGCUGAUCACGCGCUCGCGCCAAGAAAGCCAUAUGACCCAUACUCAAACACAUACAAUCCGGGUUGGAGAGAUUACUCGUACUCGACAAUUGUCAUCUCAACCUGAACUGAACCUGAAGAAUGUAAGUGUAAUGACCUUAAGGAGCGGGAAGGAAAUUCAGGGACCCGAACUCGUGAUUCCGAAGGAUAAAAAUGAAGAUCGAAUUGAAAAAGAGCUUGGGGAGGAAGGAAUGAGAAAUGCAAAUCCAAAGGUAGUUCCUGAUUCUAUAAUUAAAGUUAGAACUAACUCACCACCUUUUCCAAGCAGGUUAGAGAAACCAAAGAAACAAGAUAAGGAAAAGGAGAUUCUAGAGGUGUUUCGAAAGAUGGCAAUCAAUAUCCCUUUGUUGGACGCAAUCAAACAAGUGUCAAAAUGCGCUAAAUUCUUGAAAAAUUUUUGCGUCAACAAGAAGAAGUUGAGGGGGAAUAAGCAUAUUGUAGUAGGUGAGAACGUUUUAGCGAUUUUACAAAAAAAACUACCACCUAAAUGCGGAGAUCCAGGUAUGUUUACUAUCCCCUGUAAGAUUGGACAUUUUAAGAUUAAAAAUGUCAUGCUAGAUUUAGAGAUUUCUAUUAAUGUGAUGUCUAAAUCAAUCUAUGAUUCCCUAAAUUUAGAACCUUUAAAAGUAACAGGGAUAAUAAUUCAAUUGGCUGAUCGUACAUUUGCUUAUCCGGAUGGAGUAGUUGAGGUUGUUUUAGUGCAAGUAAAUGGAUUAAAUUUUCCUGCUGAUUUUUAUGUUCUAUACAUGGAUGAUAGAAGUGCCCCAAAUCCAUCACCCAUUAUAUUAGGAAGGUUAUUCUUGAGUGCUGCCCAAACUAAGAUUGAUGUUAGUAAGGGUACUCUCACAAUAGAAUUUGAUGGAGAAAUAGUCCACUUUAAUAUUUUUGAUACAAUGAAAUAUCAUGUUAACUCUCAUUCUGUGUUUGCUAUUCAUGCCACUAAUCUCUCUGUGUAAAAAUUUUUUGAGUUUGCUUGUAAGGGUAAAUUCAAAAUUGCUACGAACAAAUAUCAUGUGAUGAAAGCAAUUUAUGAGGUGAAAAUAAGUAGAAAAUUAAGAAAAAAUGUUGCACUAAAUGGCCAUUUGGAUCUCGGAGAAAGGCCUCCGAUUACAAGAAAAAUUGAAUUACAUCUAGAUUAAAGGGUGGUGUUUAGCAUCUAACCAAAGACGUUAAAAAAAGACGCUUAUUGGGAGGCAAUCUAAUUUUUUUUAAUUGUUUUUCAGCUUUAUUUGAUAGUUUCAAUAUGUUUUCUUAGAGUUUUUUCAGAUUUCUGGUUUAAUUUUUCAUUUUUGAUGAUUAGUAGGUAUCCCCCAGACAUGACGUGCCCGUGUCAAGAGGGUGCGUGGUAAAGUGCAAUUUUCAGGUGAUUCAUCAGAAGGAUUUCCACUCUCAUUACGCGUCCGCGUCAAGUUAUCUGGAGAGUUCUUCUUCCAUCCUGGAGCGGACUGACAGACAUGACGCGCCCACAUCAACCGGGCACGUGAUAACUUGAAUUCAACGGAUAUUCAUCAGAAGGGUUCUUGCCUUCAUGACGUGCCCACGUCAUGUUUGAGGGAAAAGAAUGUAAAAAAAAUCCCCGAAACCUAUUUUCUUUUACUCCUUCUUUCUUUCUUUCUUUUUCUUCUUUCUCUUUUCUUCCUUUCUUCUUCCCUUAUUUCCCAUUCCUUUCCUUCGUCGGCCGAAACCCCAUCUCCGCCGCUGCUCCCCCAAGUCGCGCUCAACUCCCAGUCGCCAGCCACUACAGCCGAGCGCCGCUGCUGUCCUCCAUGCUCGCUUGUCGCCAUGACGCUGUAUGCCGGAGCUCUCCUUCCCUCUGGGAUCCAUCACUGCCGCGCACUGCAGUAGCACCAUUUUCACUACACCCUUCCCACCUAUUCCAUAGCCGCCCAAAACCCUCCAUCACGUAUUCAGGAAAGUUUCGUUGUCCUGUUUGCUUUCUUUGCUUUAUAAUCUCCAUUGAAAACAAUGUCGGAUUUAGGUUUGGGGAGAGCUGUGGUACAGCUAGUAUUUUUAAUUUUUAGAUAUUUUUCCUUUAUUUCUUGUUAUUUGUUCUGUUUUUCUUUUAUUUUCUUUUUACUUUUUACUUCUGUGGAUAACAAGGAUUGAUGAUGGUUGUUUGGCUCCAAUUCUACUGUUGUCACGUUUUAAUAAUAAAAAUAUAUCAAAUUAAUUUGGUUGAGUCUAAAAAUAUCUCUUUGGUGAAUAUCGAUGAUUGCGCGACUCCUAUAAUUUUUGGAUAACUUUUCUAGACAUAGAGAAUAACUGUUGAAAUUUUCGUAUGAAUUGGUUCAAUUAUUAAAUUUAGUUCUCCAUGUUUGAAGAAAUGAGGCUAGCUGCUGCUAUUAUUUUUCAUAUUAUUUCGAGUUAUUUUGUUGCUUGGUUGAGAAUUAAAGUUGGCUGUACUCCGUUAGCAGUUACUGCUGAGUAACCGGGGAUCUUCACCGAAAAUGUCGAUCAUCGCGUCAAAAAGUGAUAAUUUCUAUAAGUACGUAGUCUCAUAGCGAUAGGAAUUGAGUAACUGAACUCUUUCAUCUGGCAAAUGUUGGAGUUUGCGUAAAAAUGCUCUAAUGGCUAGAGACUAAAUCUAUUAUUACUAUUAAAAAAAGAGAAAAAUAGAAAAGCGUGAUAAAAAGGUGAAGAUUGUGUCAAUAUGUGAUUAACUCAGCUUGCCUAUUUUUGGAUUUAAUGUUGAGAUUUUGGUUAAUAGUUGGACCAUUUGCUGCUAAAUGUUGAGCGACCAUUCCUUUUUCUUAGAUUAAUUUCCCUUAAAUUGAAGGAGUCCGCGGUUUAGAAACUAACCGGGGUGAUGUUUCUUGGAUCUUGACCAUUGAUGUUUGAUAGGUAUUUUUUUGGUAACUUGGCAAUAAGGUAGAUGGAGCAAUCGCCAUAGUCAGAAAUUGGUGUCUGUUUGCUAUUCUCAUUCUUAAGGACAAGCAUGGUUUAGAUGUGGGAGUAAUUGAUAGGUCGCAAUUUUGUUAGUUAUUUUAUAAUUAAUUUCCCUUAUUACCUUACCACAUGUGGAUUAAUUAUCAGAUUCUACUCAUUUUUGGCAUUUGUGCUUAUUGCAAGGAGUUGGAAAAAAAUGUGGUAAGUAGGUGAAAAUUUCGCACUACAAAUGCUAUUUGGCAUGAUCACGUCAACUUAGAUCUUAACAUGUUCGGAAGGUGUGGAAAAGAUAUGUGACACCAACUACCAAUGGAAAGUGCAACAUGGGAGCCAUGAUUAUUCCCUUCGUUGGUUAUUUGAUUUGAAUUAACAUGAGUAGUUUUAGCAUAGAAAGGAAACUUACUAACUUAUCUUUGUAUGUCAGCUCAAUAGGAAAGAAAAGUCAGAGUUUGACUAGGACUUCAAUUCUAGUGCUUUUGGAGUAGGGCCGGCCGCAAGGUAGAAAAAAGAGGAACAGACUUAGCUUAUGGGAGCUGUUCAUUGUUUUUAGAUUUUUCCCGUGAGACUCUGGUCAGAGGCUACAGAGAAGACAUUAGCCAUUCCUUUUGACUUAGUACUUUUCCUCUCAUUCUCAGUUAUUCGGAUUUCUUCAUUAUAUAGAGAAGAAUGUCUUCGACAAUUACUUCUGAAUUUUCGCGUGGAUUUUUCUCAUCAAAGAUGAACUAAAUCCGUUUUUCUAGUCAAGAAACAACGGAGGUUUUGGUUCGUCUAAAAAUUAUGAGAUCAAAUUAAUUUUAUUUAUUUCUCUUAUUUACUAGUAUUUGCAUAUUCUCUACUUGCAGUGCUUAUGGUUGUUUAAUUAAUUGAUUAUUUGGAUCCGGACAAUGAAUAGAUUCAAUAACUUACUGUCGGUUGGAGCAUUAAAUUCGUAAUUAUUUAAUUGCUCUGAAAUAGUGGCAACUGGUAUAAUUGGAUUUGUGUCAGAGAAAUACGCGGGCUAAUCUAAAAUAACCCUGGUAGUGCGUUGUUUGGUUAGAAUAGAACUUCUCUAAUACGUAAGGCAAUUGGAAAAUUAAAUCUUACGGGUGUACCUAAAAUUAUUUUCUCAAUUAGAGUAGUGACUAACAGGCGUACCUUAAUCACCGACACAGUAAGGAGGUUGACUUUCAUCGCUUGUUUGGCAGUUAUAACCUAUUUAUUAGUAAAUAAUUAAAAUUAUCUUUGCAUCAAUGAUCAAUUAGGUGAACCAUUGCUGAACUUAUUUCUUGGCUAGAUCUUUGGUUAUUAUUAAUCUGAUUUUAGAAAAUUAUUAUUUAAUUUUUAGUUAGCUAUUUAUUUUUAUUUGGACUGUUUUAAUUGUCAUUUUUUAUACGAAAUCACCCCCUGUUACUUUGAAUUUCAAAAGAGACAAAUAUUCUCAAUCGCUGUUGAUUCGACCCUACUUAUUACUAUAUACAUAAAUUAUAUUUUGUUUGAGCAGACAUUUAUUAUUGCACAGGCUCGACAACCUGUUAAUUUUUGGCGCCGUUGCCAGGGACUGGCGUUAGUUAAUUUGUUUUUUUUAAGUUCAUUCUUGUUUUAAUUUUUUGAUACUUUUCUAGUGUAUGCCUCAUUCUUCUCAUACAGGUGAAUUAAUUUUUGACCCUGAGGUAGAGAAGACCGCGCGCAGAACACGGAAAGAGAUCAGACAGCUCAGAGAGGAGCAAUCUAGUACUGCAUCUCAGAGACUUGAUUCGAAAGUUGAAGCAACAAAUUCGUUUGGCGAUACUUCGAGUGAUCCGAAUCGAGAAGAAGUUACUAUGGCUAAUACACGAACACCAAGGGAGUUGACUGCUCCUGAUCUAAAUCAGCAACGCUUAUGCAUUACUUUUUCAAGUUUGAAUAAUAACACUCCAUUUGAAUUAAAAUCUGGUCUAAUCAUCUUUUACCAUCUAAAUCUGGUCAUUUGCAACAGUAUGAAACCCCCAGAAAUUACGGAAGAAUAGAUAAAAGUGAGGGUAUUCUCUUUCUCUCUGUAGGACUCCGCGAAAGACUGGUUGUACUACCUACCACCAGGUAGUAUCACCACUUGGGACUAGCUGAAGAAAAAAUUUUUAGACAAAUAUUUUCCUGCAUUUCGAGCUAUAAAUCUAUGAAAGGAGAUAUGCGGUAUCAAAUAGCAUCCAAGAGAGUCGCUUUAUGAUUAUUGGAAGCGAUUCAAAAAGUUAUGCAUCAAGUGCUCUCAACACCAAAUAAGUGAGCAAUUGCUUAUCUAAUAUUUUUAUGAGAGGCUACUUUUCAGAGACAGGAGUAUAAUUGAUGCUGCAAAUGGAGAGGUGUUGGUGAACAAGGCUCCUCGAGAAGCGUGGGAGUUAAUUGAAGGAAUGGCCGAGAAUUCGCAGCUGUUUGGUACAAGGAAGGAUGUCCUGGCACGCAGAGUGAAUGAAGUAGAAACAUCCUCUAUCCAACAGCAAUUGAAGGAGUUAACAUCUUUUGUUAGGCAAUUGGCUAUAGGAAAUGAACCUUAGCCAAGGUGUGAAAUUUACACUGUCACAGGUCAUUCUACAGAAAUGUGCCCGAUGAUUCAAGAAGAGAAUGCGGAGCAAGUCAACAUGGCUGAUCACGCGCCCGAGCCAAGAAAGCCAUAUGACCAGUACUCGAACAUGUACAAUCCGGGUUGGAGAGAUCACCUUAACCACAGGUACGGAGGGAAUAGACAAUCCAAUUUUGUACUGAACAGACAGCAAGGGUAUCAUUAGCAAUACCAACCGCGGCCAGCACCACCACAACCUCCAAGUUCAGGCCCGUCUUUGGAAGAAAUGAUGAAGCAACUAAUUGCUAGCCAACAAAAGAUGGAAUCUAACUUGCAAAGUCAAAUGGGUCAGAUACAAGCAAUGCAAAGUCAAAUGGAUCAGAUACAAGCAAUGCAAGGUCAGAUGAGUCAGAUGGCAAUAUUAAUCAAUCGUUUGGAAUCUCAAGUUCACAAAAUAUUGCCAUCUCAACCUGAACUGAACCUGGAGAAUGUAAGUGUAAUGACCUUAAGGAGUGGGAAGAAAAUUCAGGGACCCGAACUCGUGAUUCUGAAGGAUAAAAAUAAAGAUCGAAUUGAAAAAGAGCUUGAGGUGGAAGGAAUGAGAAAUGCAAAUUCAAAGGUAAUUUCUGAUUCUAUAAUUAAAGUUUGAACUAACUCACCACAUUUUCGAAUCAAGUUAGAGAAACCAAAGAAGCAAGAUAAGGAAAAGGAGAUUCUAGAGGUGUUUCGAAAGAUGACAAUCAAUAUUCCUUUGUUGGACUCGAUCAAGUAAGUGCCAAAACGCGCUAAAUUCUUGAAAAAUUUUUGCGUCAAUAAGAAGAAGUUGAGGGGGGAUAAGCAUAUUGUGGUAGGUGAGAACGUUUCAGCGAUUUUACAAAGGAAACUACCACCUAAAUGCGGAGAUCCUGAUAUGUUUACUAUCCCCUAUAAGAUUGGAUAUUUUAAGAUUAAAAAUAUCAUGCUAGAUUUAGGGGUUUCUAUUAAUGUGAUGUCUAAAUCAAUCUAUGAUUUCCUAAAUUUAGGACCUUUAAAAGUAAUAGGGAUAAUAAUUCAAUUGGCUGAUCUUACAUUUGCUUAUCCGAAUGGAGUAGUUGACAAUGUUUUAGUGCAAGUAGAUGGCUUAAAUUUUCUACUGAUUUUUAUGUUCUUUACAUGGAUAAUAGAAGUGCUCCAAAUUCAUCGCCCAUUAUAUUAGGAAGGCCAUUCUUGAGUGCUGCCCAAACUAAGAUUCAUGUUAAUAAGAGUACUCUCACAAUGAAAUUUGAUGGAGAAAUAGUCCACUUUAAUAUUUUUUAUACAAUAAAACAUUCUGUUAACUCUCAUUCUGUGUUUGCUAUUCAUUCUACAAAUCUCUCUGUGCAAGAAUUUUUUGAAUUUACUUGUAGGGGUAAAUUCAAAGUUGUUACGGACAAAUAUCAUGGGAUGAAAGCAAUUUAUGAUGUGAAAAUGAGUAGAAAAUUAAGGAAAAAGGUUGCACUCAAUGGCUAUUUGGAUCCCGGAGAAAGGCCACCAAAUAUAAGAAAAAUUGAAUUACAUCUAGAUUGAAAAGUAGUGUUUAACGUCUAGCCAAAGACGUUAAAGAAAGGCGCUUAUUGGGAGGCAACCUAAUUUCUUUUCGUUGUUUGUUCAAAUUUAUUUGAUAGUUUCAAUAUGUUUUCUCAGUGUUUUUUCAGAUUUCAGAUUUAAUUUUUCGUUUAUGAUGAUUAGUAGGCGUCCCCCUGAUAUGACGUGCCCGUGUCAAGAGGACGCAUGGUAAAGUGCAAUUUCUAGGUGAUUCAUCAGAAGGAUUUCCACCCUCAUGACGCACCCGCGUCAAAUCACCUGGAGAGCUCUUCUUCGAUCCUGGAACGGACUGACCGACAUGACGCGCCCGCAUCAACCGGGCACGUGAUAACUUGAAUUCAACGGAUAUUCAUCAGAAGGGUUCUUGCCUUCAUGAUGUGCCCACGUCAUGUUUGAGGGAAAGGUAUGUAAAAGAAAACCCGAAACCUAUUUUCUUUUUCUCCUUCUUUCUUUCUUUCUUCCUUUCUUUUUCUUUCUUUCUUUCUUUCUUUCUUUCUUCUUCCCCUAUUUCCCUUUCCUUUCCUUCGUCGGCAGAAACCCCACCUCCGCCACCGCUCCCGCAAGUCGCGCUCAACUCCCGGUCGCCAGCCACUACAGCCGAGCACCGCUGCUGUCCUCCAUGCUCGCUCAUUGCCAUGACGUUAUACGCCAGAGCUCUCCUUCCCUGUGCAAUCCAUCACUGUCGCACACUGCCGGAGCACCAUUUUCACUCCACCGUUCCUACCUAUUCCAUAGCCGCCCGAAACCCUCCACCACGUAUUCAGGAAAGUUUCGUUGUCCUGUUUGCUUUCUUUACUUUAUUAUCUCCAUUGAGAACAAUGUCGGAUUUAGGUGUGGGGGGAGCUGUGGUACAACUAGUAUUUUUAAGUUUUUAGAUAUUUUUCCUUUAUUUCUUGUUAUUUGUUCUGUUUUUCUUUUAUUUUCUUUUUACUUUUUACUUCUGUGAAUACCAAGGAUUGAUGAUGGUUGUUUGGCUCCAAUUUUACUAUUGUCACGUUGUAAUAAUAAAAGUGUAUCAAGUUAAUUUGAUUGAGUCUAAAAAUAUCUCUUUGGUGAAUAUCGAUGAUUGCGUGACUCCUAUAAUUUUUGGUUAAUGUUUCUAGGCAUAGGGAAUAACUAUUGGCAUUUUCAUGUGAAUUGGUUCGAUUAUUAACUUUAGUUCUCCAUGUUUGAAGAAAUGAGGCUAGCUGCUGCUAUUAUUUUUUGUAUUAUUUCGAGUUAUUUUGUUGCUUGGUUGAGAAUUAAAGUUGGUUGUACUCCGUUAGCGAUUACUGCUGAAUAACCGGGGAUCUUCACCGAAAGUGUCGAUCCUCGCAUCAAAAAGUGAUAAUUUCUAUGAGUACGUGGUCUCAUAGCGAUAGGAGUUGAGUAAUCGGGCUCCUUCAUCUGUCAAAUGUUAAAAUUCGCGUAAAAAGGCUCUAAUGGCUAGAGACUAAAUCUAUUAUUACUAUUGAAAAUAAAGAGAAAAAUAGAAAAGCGUGAUAAAAAGGUGAAGGUUGUGUCAAUAUGUGAUUAAAGUCAGCUUGCCUAUUUGUGAAUUUAAUGUUAAAAUUUUGGUUAAUAGUUGGACCAUUUGCUAAUAAAUGUUGAGCGACCAUUCCUUUUUUUUAAAUUAGUUUGCCUUAAAUUGAAGAGUCCACGGUUUAGAAGCUAACUGGGGUGAUGUUUCUUGGAUCUUGACCAUUGAUGCUUGAUAGGUAUUUUUUUUGGGUAUCUUGGCAAUAAGCUAGAUGGAGCAAUCGCCACAGUCAGAAAUUGGUGUCUAUUUGCUGUUCUCAUGCUUAAGGACAAGUAUGAUUUAGGUAUGGGGGGAAUUGAUAUAUCGCAAUUUUGUUAGUUAUUUUAUAAUUAAUUUCUCUUAUUACCUUACCACAUGUGGAUUAAUUGUCAGAUUCUGCUCAUUUUUGGCAUUUGUGCUUAUCGCAAGGAGUUGGAGAAAAAUAUGGUAAAUAGGUGAAAAUUUCGUACUGCAAAUGCUGUUUGGCGUGGUCGCGUCAACUCAGGUCUUUACAUGUCCGAAAGAUGUGGGAAAGACGUGUGACACCAACUAUCAAUUAAAAGUGCAACAUGGGAGCCGCGAUUAUUCCCUUCGUUGGUUAUUUGAUUUGAAUUAAAAUGAGUAGUUUUAGCAUAGAAAGGAAACUUACUUAUUUAGUAGGUUUCCUUAUCUUUGUAUGGCGGCUCAAGAGGAAAGAAAAGUCAGAUUUUGACUAGGACUCCAAUUCUAGUACUUUUGGAGUAGGGCCGGCCGGAAGGUAGAAAAAGAGGAACAGACUUAGCUUAUGGGAGUUGUUCAUUGUUUUUAGAUUAUUCCCGUGAGACUCUGGCCAGAGGCUACAGAGAAGACAUUAGCCAUUCCUUUUGACUUAGUACUUUUUCUCUCAUUCUUAAUUAUUCGGAUUUCUUCAUUAUAUAGAGAAGAAUGUCUUUGACAAUUACUUCUAAAUUUUCGCGUGGGUUUUUCUAAUCAAAGAUAAACAAAAUCUCUUUUUCUAGUCAAGAAACAAUGGAGGCUUUGGUUCAUCUAAAAAUUGUGAGAUCGAAUUAAUUUUAUUUAUUCCUCUUAUUUACUGGUAUUUGCAUAUUCUCUACUUGAAGUGCUUAUGGUUGUUUAAUUAAUUGAUUAUUUUGGAUCCGGACAAUGAAUUGAUUCAAUAACUUACUUUCAAUUGGAGCAUUAAAUCUGUAAUUGUUUAAUUGCUCUGAAAUAGUGACAACUAGCAUGAUUGGGUUUGUGUCAGGGGAAUACGCGGACUAAUCUAAAAUAACCCUGGUAGUGCGUUAUUUGGUUAGAAUAGGGCUCCUCCAAUAUGUAAGGCAAUUGGAGAAUUAAAUCUUACGAGCGUACUUAAAAUUAUUUCUCAAUUAGAGCAAUGAUUAACGGGCGUACCUUAAUCACCGACACAGUAAGGAGGGGUUGACUGUCAUCUCUUGUUUGGCAGUUAUAACCUAUUUAUUAGUAAAUAAUUGAAAUUACAUUUGCAUCGAUGAUCAAUUAGGUGAACCAUUGCUGAAGUUAUUUCUUCGUUAGAUCUUUGGUUAUUAUUAAUCUGAUUUUAGUAAAUUGUUAUUUAAUUUUUAGUUAGCUAUUUGUUUUUACUUGGACUGUUUUAAUUGUCAUCUUUUAUACGAAAUCACCCCCUUGUUACUUUGAAUUUCUAAAGAGAUAAAUAUCCCCAAUCCAUAUGGAUUCGACUCUACUUAUCACUAUCUACAGAAAUUAUAUUUUGUUUGAGCAGGCAUUUGAUCAAUAGUAAGCUCGACAUGCUAAUCGGUCUAUCAUUUGAUCAAUAAAAGGGAGAGGGAAAUGGUCCUUUUUCAUGACGGCAUUUAAUUUCCGAUAGUUGAUAAACUGCCACCACCUGGUGGAUUUUCGAACUGGCACGAGUUCAUCCUCUUGAUUUGAUUCCACCGUCACUCUGCCUUCUUCGGGACCACCUGUGCUGGACUCACCCAUGGGUUAUUUGAUAUUGCGAAUAUGAUCCCCCACCUCCAGCAGCUUUAGAAUCUCUUUCUUUACAACCUCCAUCACGAGGGAAUUUAGCCUCCAUUGGGCCUGCCGCACGGGUUUAGUUCCCUCCUCAAGUCGAAUCCUAUGCGUACACACCGCGGGGCUAAUUUCUUUGAUGUUGGCAAUGGUCCAUCCUUUCGUUUGCUUAUGUUCCCUAAGAAGUUGAAUUAGCUUGUCUUCCUGAACUUUUGAUAAACUCACGAAGAUGAUCAUUGGGAGUGUCUCCUACGCACCCAAGUAUGCAUACUUCAAGUAUUUCGGCAGGAAUUUUAAUUACAAGACAGUUGCCUGCAUCACAGAUAGAAGUAACCUUUGAUGAGAUUCGAGUAUGAAAAUAGGCGCGAGGUUAUACCUUGGUUUCGUGGUUGGCAAUGAUUGCAAUGUUCCAAUCACACAUUUUAGCUCUUCACUCAAUUCUACCUCAAAGGUUGUCUCUAACUCGAAGUGCUUAGUCAAGGCGACUUCUAGCUCAUCCCUGCCACCAAUUUAAAAAAUCUCCUGUACCUCAGGGUCAAUAGCAUUUACAAAGAAGACAGCUGAAAUUUGAAUCUGAAGGAUAUUUCAUGGUCUCAAAAAUGUUAAAAAGAACAAUCUCGCCAUCAAAUUUCAUAAACAGGGUACUCUUAUUAACAUCAAUUUUGGUCCGGGUUGUGUUAAAAAGGAUCUAUCUAAUAGUAAGGGUGAUGGGUCGUGGGAGUGAUCAUCAUCCAUGUCAAGCAUAUAAAAAUCAGGUAUGAAUACCAAUUCAUUAAUUUUGAUCAAAAUAUCUUCAAUCAAUCCAUCAGGGUAUGCAUUGGUUCGGUCAGCCAGUUGGAUUAUUAUCCCAAUUUCUUUUAAAGUGUCUAAGUUCAAAGAAGCAUAUAUAGACUUUGACAUGACAUUAAUCGAAACUCCUAGGUCUAACAUGGUCUUUCCAAUCAAGGUAUUACCUAUCCUACAGGAAAUAGUAAACAUACCUGGGUCCCCACAUUUCGGUGGGAGAUUUCUUUGUAAGAUUGCUGACACGUUCUCCCCCACUAUGACUCGUUCAUCUCUUUUCAACCGCCUUCGAUUGACGCACAGUCCCUAAAAAAUUUUGCAUAUCUGGGUACUUGUUUAAUCGCAUCCAGCAAGGGAAUGUUAAUUUUCACCUUGCGAAAGAUCUCCAGGAUCUCUUUCUCAUUGUCCUGCUUCUUUGGUUUCUCCAACCUACUAGGAAAAGGAGGUGAGUUAGUCUUAACUGUAAUUGUUGGGUCCGGGAGUACCUCUGGAUCUUUGUUGUCCCUGCCCUCUUCUUCAAGUUCUUUCUCAAUUCGUUCAUCGUUCUUGUCAUUAGGAAUCACGGGUUCGGGUCCUUGGAUUUUCUUUCCACUCCUUAAGGUCAUUGCGCUUACAUUCUUCGGAUUCAAUUCGGAUUGAGAUGACAACUACCCUUGAACUUGGGACUCCAAAUGGUUGAUCGUUAUGGCCAUUUGAUUCAUCUGACUCUGCAUUGCUUGCAUCUGUCCCAGUUGAUUACUCAUACUUUGUAGGUUAGAAUCCAUCUUUUGUUGAUUAGCAAUUAAUUGUUUCAUCAUCUCUUCUAUAGACGGACUUGAGUUUGAAGGGGGUGGUGGCGGACGAGGUUAAUACUGUUAUUGGUACCCUUGCUGUCUAUUUGAUGCAAAAUUUGACUGCCUAUUUCCUCCAUAGUUGAAAUUAGGGUGAUCUCUCCAACCCAGAUUGUACGUAUUCGAGUACGAGUCAUAUUGCUUUUUUGGCCUAGGCGUGUGACCAGCCAUGUUCACUUGCUCCGCACUUUCUUCUUGAAUCAUUAGGUACAUCUCUGCAGAAUGAUCCAUAGCAGUGCAAAUCCCACACACCUUGGCUUGUGAUGCAUUUCCUACAGCCAAUUGCCUAACAAAAGAUGUUAACUCAGUCAAUUGCUGCUGGAUAGAAGAUGUCUCUAUCUCAUUCACUUUGCGUGUCGGGACAUCCUCUCUCAUACCAAACUGCUGCUAAUUCUCGGUCAUUCCUUCAAUUAGCUCCUAUGCUUCUCGAGGAGUCUUGUUCACCAAUGCCCCUCCACUUGCAGCAUCAAUUAUACUCCUGUCUCUGAAAAGGAGCCCCUCGUAAAAAUAUUGGAUGAGCAAUUGCUCGUUAUUUGAUGUUGAGGGCACUUGAUGUAUAACUUCUUGAACUGCUCCUAAUAAUCAUAAAGCGACUCUCCUAGAUGCUGCUUGAUACCGCAUAUCUCCUUCCUUAGACUUACAGCUAGAGACGCAGAAAAAUAUUUGUCUAAAAACUUUUUCUUUAGUUGGUCCCAACUGGUAAUACUACUGGUAGUAGGUAGUACAACUAGUCCUUCGCGAAGUCCUUCAGAGAGAAGGGGAAGGCCCUCAUCUUUAUCUGUUCUUCCGUAAUUCUCGGGGGCUUCAUGCUGUUACAAAUGACAUUAAAUUCUUGCAAGUGCUUAUAAGGCUCCUCACCUGGUAAACUAUGAAAAGAUGACAAGAGAUGAAUUAGACCAGAUUUUAAUUCAAAGAGAGUGUUAUCAUUCAAACUUGGGAAAGUAAUGCAUAAUGACUGCUGAUUUAAAUCAGGAGCAACCAACUCCCUUAGUGUUCGUGUAUUAGCCAUAGUGACUUCUUCUUACUCCGAGUCACUCGAAAUAUUACCAAGUGAAUCUGUUGGUUCAACUUUUGGCUCAAUCUCUGAGAUGCAGUACUAGAUUGCUCCUCUCUGAGCUGUCUGGUCUUUUUUCGUGUUCUCCACCAGUCUUCUCUACUUCGGAGUCGAAGAUUAGUUCGCCUGUAUGAGAAGAACGAGGCAUACACUAGAAAAAUACCAGAAAAUCAAAACAAGAAUGAACUUAAAAAGAAACAAAUAACUAACGCCAGUCCCCAACAACGACGCCAAAAAUUGACAGGUGUCGAACCUGUGCAAUAAUAAAUGCCUGCUCAAACAACGUAUAAUUUUUGCAGAUAGUGAUAAGUAAGGUCAUAUCCUCAGGGAUUGGAGAUAUUUAUCUCUUUGAAGUUCCAAUUGGUAAUGGGGGGGUUUUAUCGGAAAAAGCUAAAAGCAAUUGAGCAAUCCAACCAAAAACAAACAAUUAACUAACACGAUUGUAGACAUGAAUUAAAGCAACAAUAGACAAAUUCUAGCCAAGGAUACAACUUCUCAGACACAGUCCACUCAUCCGAUCAGUGAUGCAAGGGAGGUUCACUUAAUUUAUUAAUAGGUUAGUUAUAGUUGCCGACGAGCUCUGACGACCAGCUUUUCCUUAGUUUAUGGGUAACCAAGGUAUGACCAUUAAUUACCCCCAACCAGGAAACACUUCUAGGUACGACUGUAGGAAUUAAUUUCAUAAUUGCAUUAAAAAUUAGAAAAAUCUAACCCUAAUCAAUAAUACGCUAUGAGGGUUAUUUAGAUCAGAUCGCACAUUCUCCUAGUGUGUAUAAACGCUAGUUGCCACUGAGAUUAAUCGAUUAAACAAUUACGAAUUUAAUUGAUUAAUUUAGCAGGAGAUUAAUAAGUCACCUUGAAUAUCUGACCCAUGACAUCCAAUUAACAAAAUAAUCCCAUAGAAUUUCAAAUAGAAAACGUGCAAAUACUAACAAAUUAAGAAAUGCAUGAAAACUAAUUCGAUCUCGCAGAUAUUCGGGACUGCAUCGUCGCGUUGAUUCUUAACUAGAUGAAAAGCUUAGCCACGCCUCAUGAGAAAGUGUCCACGCAAUUCAAUUGAUUUCAAAAACAUCUCUUUUUUUCUAAUAAUCAAUAAUAAUAACAAAGCUGUGUUCCAAUAGUCCUCAUAGAAGAGACAGAAAAAAGAAAAAAACAAAGGAGCAAGGAAACAGCCAAAGCGAAAAGAACGAAGCCGUCCCCAUCAAAGAAAGUUUUUUUGUUUUUAUCUAAACCUGUCCUCACUGUUUCCGAAUCCCCCCAGGGAUCAAUUACAAAAGAGUCAUGUUUCUUCUUGGUUUCCUCCUACCAACGCACCACAAGGCCACCAGAAUAGGAAACUUUGUCCUCCAAUUGAAGUCGGCUUGUAACUUCUGCAUAUUUGCACAUCUCAUCCUUCACUUUUCAGGAUUUUGUACUCCACCCCUGCAGUUAUGUCCAAAUGCCAAUUAUAAGUAGAAUCUGACAAUUAACAACAUAUUUGGCACCAAUAAUGAGGGAAAUCAACCAGAAAAUGACUAACAAUUAACACCCUAUCAAGAGGCCUUGAAAAUACAUUGGUGAGAUCAUUAGAGCGAUUAAACACGAGAGUGAGAGCAUACACAUGAGAAAGUGUGCGAAGUAAACUCUUUCUCUUCAUUAUUAAAAUCGUACCUUAUACUUCACCAUGACUAACAAGGAGGAGCGAGCUCCUAAGCUUUUGAUCUUAAACUUUUUACAGAGGCAAUAAAAGGAGAAUUGGGACGCAUGAUGGACCAAAAACUCGAAUUGAUGCACCAACGCAUUGACAGUUUGGAGUUGUCACGAGGGAGUUCCAAAGGCAACCAUGGAAAGGCUUAUGCGCAUGAGUUUAGCGACUCUAACUCGUACAACGACUAUGAAACUAAGCAAAGGAGGUCCGAGCAAGAAACUAGACCACCAAGCGACAACAUCCAAGGCAUCAAAAUGAAAAUUCCUCCUUUCCAAGGACGAUCGGACCCCAAUGCAUAUUUGGAGUGGGAGAAACGGAUAGAGCUCGUCUUCGAUUGCAAUACCUACUCGGAGGAGUAAAAGGUAAAGUUGGCCGUGGUUGAAUUCACCGAUUAUUCCGUUGUGUGGUGGGAUCAAAUCUCCACUAGUCGAAGGAGGAGCGGGGAACCCGCCGUACAAACAUGGACCAAGCUAAGGCGUUUAAUGAGGAAGCGUUUCGUACCAAGCCAUUACUACCGUGACUUGUACCAAAAGCUUCCAACUCUUAAUCAAGGAGCUCGAAGUGUUGAGGACUACCACAAGGAAUUGGAAAUACUCAUGUUGAGAGCGGACAUCACGGAGGACCGAGAAUCGACAAUGGCGCGCUUCUUGAACUGUUUAAGGACCGAAAUUGCUAAACAAGUGGAAUUACAACACUAUGUGGAACUUGGAGACUUGGUGGAGAAAGCCAUCAAGAUUGAGAGGAGGAUUAAGAGGAGGGGUCAGCCUCAGAAUUACACCAACUUCUCACCCUCUUAUCCUCGAACUACACCACCAAAGAAGGAGGACAAAGGUUCCAUCCCCUCAAGACCAAGGUCGGAUAUGACUAAGUGGGAGUAUAAGACAAUACCAAGAACUGCCAUUGAAUCGAGCAUGGGACGGAAUCGAGAUACCAAGUGUUUCAAGUGUCAAGGUCGAGAGCUCAUCGCUAGUCAAUGCCCGAACCAACGCACUAUGAUCAUCUUGCCAAAUGGUGAGUUUCUCACCGAUGAUGAGGAUGAGAAAGAGGAAAUGCCAUCACUUGAUGAAGAAGAGGAAGCAUUGCCCGUCAAUGAGCAAAUUGGACUCGUUGUUAGACGAGCCUUAGCACCCAAGUAAAGGCCGCCGACCAUGCACAAAGGGAGAAUAUUUUCUACACCUGUUGCUAUAUCAAAGGCAAGGUAUGUAGCUUGAUCAUAGAUGGAGGAAGUUGUGCUAACAUAGCAAGUGCACUAAUGGUGGAGAAGCUAGCACUUCCAACUCUACGACAUCCGACACCAUAUCAUUUGCAAUGGUUGAACGAUAGUGGAGAUGUGCGAGUGACCAAACAAGUCCAAGUACCUUUCUGAAUUGGAAAGUAUGAGGACGUGAUACUAUGCGACGUGGUCCCGAUGCAAGCAUGUCACGUAUUGUUGGGAAGGCCGUGGCAAUUUGACAAAGGAGUUACCUUUGAUGGCAUUACCAACAAGUACUCUUUCAAGCAAGGCGACAAAAGAAUUGUGCUUAUACCACUAACUCCUAGCCAAAUUCGUGAGGAUCAAGAGAGCUUGACAAAAGAAAGUGAGCUAGUGAGUGAGAAGAAAAAAAUAGAAAAAGUCGAGAGCUCAAAAGAAAAUGAUAAGGCCGAGAAAAUUGAGAGGAAAAAGGCCGGCCAAAGAGGAAAGAAAAGAGAGAAGGCAAAAUCAACUGAUAAAAGCCAAUGUAGUGAGAAAAGUUUUAAGUCUUAAUACACCUUUUUUGUACUUUUGUGCAAAGAGAUAUUGGUUAUUACAAGUGAUCUUACUAACACUUUACCAUCAAGUAUUGUCUCUCCCUUGCAGGAAUAUAAUGAUGUUUUCCCGAUGAGAUUCCAAAUGGACUACCACCAAUUAGGGGAAUUGAACAUCAAAUUGACUUGGUUUCAGGUGCUUCACUUUCUAACAAACCAGCCUACAAAAUGGAACUAGAUGAAACCAAGGAGCUACAAUGCCAAAUUGAUGAACUUUUAACAAAAGGAUGGAAGCGGGAAAGCUUGAGUCUGUGCGCGGUUCCUGUCAUCUUGGUGCCUAAAAAGGACGGAAGUUGGCGAAUGUGCACUGACUGUAGGGCCAUCAACGCAAUAACGGUAAAAUAUCGUCACCCUAUUCCUAGACUCGAUGAUAUGUUAGAUGAGCUAUAUGGUGCUGUGAUUUUUACAAAAAUUGAUUUAAAGAGUGGUUAUCAUCAAAUUAGGAUGAACGAGGGAAAUGAAUGGAAAACGGCUUUUAAAACCAAACAUGAUUUGUAUGAGUGGUUAGUUAUGCCAUUCGGCCUAACUAAUGCACCUAGUAUAUUCAUGAGAUUGAUGAACCAUGUACUUCGUCCAUUUUUAGGGAAAUUUGUAGUUGUAUAUUUUGAUGAUAUCUUGAUUUAUAGUAGGAGCCUAGAUGAACAUGUUGAGCAUCUAAAGCUUGUUCUUGAUGUACAUCGAAGGGAAAAGCUCUACGCUAACCUUAAGAAGUGCUCCUUUUGUACUGAUCAGCUUAUCUUCCUAGGCUUUGUUGUGAAUAAAUAGGGAAUCAAGGUGGACGAAGAGAAAGUCAAAGCCAUUCGAGAAUGGCCGACUCCAAGCAUGGUGGGUGAGGUAUGCAGCUUUCAUGGUCUCGCCAGUUUCUAUAGACGGUUUGUCAAAGAUUUUAGUAUCAUUGUUGCACCUUUAAUUGGUGUGAUUAAGAAAAAUGAGAAAUUUGUGUGGGGUGAUGCUCAAGAACGUGCAUUUCAAAUGCUUAAACACCAACUCACACACGCACCACUACUUGCAUUACCAUGUUUUGAUAAGAUGUUUGAAAUAGAGUGUGAUGCAUCUAGGGUGGGUAUUGGAGCUGUCUUAAUGCAAGAGGACAAACCAAUUGCAUACUUUAGUGAAAAACUUAACAGGGCAAUUUUGAAUUAUUCUACUUUUGAUAAAGAAUUGUACUCUUUUACUUUUGAUAAAGAAUUGUACUCUUUAAUUCGUGCUUUAGAGACUUGGCAACAUUAUUUGCGAUCAAGGGAAGUUGUCAUACACACUGACCAUGAAUCGCUUAAUCACAUUAAGUCACAACACAAGUUAAAUAAGCAUCAUGUUAGGUGGAUUGCAUUUAUUGAAACAUUUCCUUAUGUGAUUAAAUAUAAAGUGGGGAAAACUAAUGUUGUUGCUGAUGCACUAUCACGUCAUCACUCUUUGCUUACUCAACUUGAUGCGAAGUUACUAGGAUUUGAGUUAGUUAAAGAAUUAUACUCCAAUGACCCGGAUUUCUCGGGUAUUUAUGCUUCUUGUGGUUCAGCAACUCAAGAUAAAUUCUACCUCCUUGAUAGAUUUUUCUUCUAUCUCAAUCGACUGUGUAUUCCUAACUGCUCUAUUCGUUCCUUACUUGUUAGGGAAGCACACGGAGGUGGCCUGAUGGGACAUUUUGGUGUGGCUAAAACCUUAGCUAUCCUUCAAGAACACUUUCAUUGGCCAAGGAUGAAAUGACAUGUGGAACGAAUGGUGGCUAAGUGCAUCACUUGCCACAAAACUAAGUCUAAAGUUCAACUUUAUGGUUUCUAUAGUCCUUUACCUAUACCUAAGGAACCUUGGACUGCUAUUUCCAUGAAUUUUGUUUUGGAGUUACCUAGGUCAAAGAGGGGUAAUGAUAGCAUCUAUUUUGUUGAUAGAUUUUAAAAAAUGGCACAUUUUAUACUAUGUCACAAAACAGAUGAUGCAUCUCACAUUGCUGACUUGUUUUUCAAAGAAAUCAUUAGAUUGCAUGGCAUGCCUGGGACCAUUGUCUUUGAUAGAGAUGUCAAAUUUUUGAAUUACUUUUGAAAAACUUUGUGGGAAAUAUCGGAUACUAAAUUGCUCUUUUCUACUACUAGUCACCCACAAACUGAUGGCCAAACUGAGGUCGUCAAUCGCACCUUGUCUACACUCUUACGUGCCAUCAUUAGGAAAAAUAUUAGAACUUGGGAAGAGUGCUUACCCCAUGUUGAGUUUGCAUACAACCGUACGGUGCAUAGUUCUACCCGUUUUUUACCAUUUGAAAUAGUCUAUGGUUUUAACCCUUUAACACCACUAGACUUAUCACCUUUACCUUCUUCUGAGCGAGUUAACUUAGAUGGUGUUAAACGGGCAGACCUUGUAAAGAAAUUACAUGAGCAGGACUGCUUAAACAUUGAGAGAAUGAUGGAUCAAGUUGCCCAACGGGUUAACAAGGGACGCCAAUGUGUGGUGUUUGACCCUGGUGAUUGGGUGUGGUUGCACCUGUGCAAGGAGAGGUUCCCUGUCCAAAGGCGCAAUAAACUACUCCUACGAGGAGAUGGACCAUUUCAAGUCAUCAAGCGCAUCAAUGACAAGGCUUACAAGCUGGACCUUCCCGGUGAGUACAAUGUGAGCGCUACAUUCAAUGUCUUUGAUUUCUCUCAUUUUCUUGCAGACGAUGAAGCUGAUUUGAGGACAAAUCCUUUUCAAGAGAAGGGGGAUGAUAUGAACCAAGAGACACCAUUGCGUAAGGUUUGAGUUCCCCUAGGACCCAUGACGCGAGUUCGACCUAAGAAGAUGCGAGAGGAACUUCAAGGGCUUGUUUGUGAGGUGCAAAGCCAAAAAAUUGUCCCCAAGACCAUUGAGGGACUUGAGCAUGAAGGAUUGAAGGUCGUCCAUGUUGUUCAAGUCAAGGAGGACCACGAUUGACCUCUCCCUAGUUCGAGUAUUUGUUUUGCCGUUUAUUUAGUUAUUUUGGAGUCUUGUUUAGUCAUUUCAAUUCAAGGAAUAAUUCGGCCAGCUUGCAAGCUAGAAGAGCCGAUUCUAGGAUUCCUAAAAUGUAGGAACCUUGUCAUGUUUAGCCUAUUCCGUUUCACUUUAGAUCUAGCCUUUUCCAUUUCACUUUAGGUCUUCUACUUGUAUGGCUAUAAAUAGCCUACCUAGGGUCAUGUUUUACUCAUUCAAUUAAUACAUCAGAAAUUGAGAGUUUCUUGGUCUUCUCCAAGACUUCUUGAACAUCUUAGAGCUUUCGUUAGGUGUUCACGACUUAUCAAUCUAGAAUCGCACUAGAUUGUGGCGUCCACUACCUUCAUAUCAAAGUUCGUUAACCACGUGAUUAACGGGUUGAGGUCUUCCGCUUCAAGUUUGGUACUGUCUUGUCGAUCCUGAGUCUAAUCUCUUACGGGUUUCAUCACAAGGUUGGCGACGUUUGUAUCAUUGUGGGUUGUUACUCUUAAAGGGACACUAUUUCUCGUUAGUAAUAUAGUUUACAUGGUAUAGAUUUUUUCUUUUUUUCUCAUUUUGGUCAGUCUGAUACUAUUUUCUUGAUUAUUGAAUAUUGAUCAGCACAAACUGAAAUCAUUCUUUUUUGUAUGCUUGGUAGAUGCCAAGAGGUGUACCUGUUGCAACUGUUGCAAUAAAUAAUGCCACAAAUGCAGGUCUAUUGGCAGUGGGGAUAUUGGGGGUUGGUGAUUUGAAUCUACAAACAAGGUUGGGCAGUUCUGCACUUUUCAUCCCUUCACAUACACAGAAGAAAGGAAUCUUGAGGUAAAUUUAAAAGAUUUAGUGGUCGAUAAUAACGUCUUUGUUAAUUGUGUGAAGUGGUUAAAUUUAUGAAACAAUUUCAUGUUGGUGCUUCAUUUUGUAGAAUGGCCCAAUAUCUAGAAGACAGAAGAGACGAGGUGUUGGCAAAGGGAAAAGAGCUCGAGGAAGGGAGCUGGGAGGAUUACUUAAAUUCUCAGAGAUAAACAGCUAACAAUACUGUGGCUUACAAGAAUCUAUGUGCUUGCAGUAAACAUAAACCAGACUCAACGUGACUUUUUUUAUUGCAUGUUUGGAAGUGCAAAUGAAGGAACCAAAUUUUCUGUACGGGAGAUAGAAGUUAGAGUACUCAAAUUGUUUCAUGAUAGUAUUUUUUGGGGGUUUUUAGUGUUUUUGGGAUCUUGCGGAACAUUUCCAUCAGCAGCCCCCACCCUAACAUCUCGAUUUUUUUUUAAAAUUUUCCUUGGAUACAGUAGCAUUGCCAUUUCCUUUAUUACCUUUUUUAGAACUGAGGUUAUUUCUUGUUAGGUAAGAAAUCCUCGAAAAUAACUCUUAUCUUUUCUCCAAUUUUCAACUUAUUGUGCUGAACAAUUAAAUACAAAAUGAGAGGAGCGACUUUCAAUUCAAUCAGAAUUAGAGGAGCGAUUUUGAUGUAGUAUUUCUUCGAUGCCAUAGUACAUGAUGGCAUUUGGUAUGAUACUGGAUUUACUUCAUCCAGUUACAUUGGGAUUAUGGGAUAGUGAAUCACCAAUCUUCGGGCACAACUCCAGUUGCACUUGCUUAGGAUUUAGAUACAAUUGGAUCUAAAGUAAACUACUCAACUUCAAUGGGCUGAGUACAAUUGCUUAGGAUUAAGUGAUAAAGUCAUCACUCAUCCCAGGCAGCAAUAACCGGUAGUGAACUCUUUGAUGGGAAGGGGGUUAAUGGCGAUGUGUAAGAAUAACCUACUCCCAGUUCUUGCACUAGGAGGAAUUCAGGGGGAGGAAAGAUUCGGGCAAAGUUUAUAUUAUUUGAACCCUAAAAUACGAAAACUCAUACAUAUAUGGCCUCGAAUUAAAAGCAAAUGAAAAGUUUCGAAAGCUAUUUUUGCUAAAAUCAUAUAAGAUAUUUUGUUAAACCGGCCAGACUGCAGCAAUUAGCCGAUGAUCAAUUAGCUGAAGAUGCACUUUGUCAUGAUCGUAUGUAUAUGAUUUGUUGAACUAAUCACUAGCUUAAAAAUAGAGGCACUGAUACAAUGCAUUAAAAGUUUGAAUUUUAUUAUAAAAGAAAACUCUAUGGAGCCUUUAGGGUAUCAUUCGCUCACAGUUACGAUAGUAAUUUUAAACUUUAAUUUUUGAAAUUAUUACAAUUUAACGAUAAAAAAAAUAAUUAUCACUACCGAUUCGUGUUCGUGAAAGUCUCGUUCGAAACCUUAAAUGAACCGAGUUCGAACGAACUUUUUUGUUUGAUUAACAAUCGAGCGAACAUGAGUAUGUUCGCGAGUUUUAACGAACGUUUGCAAACACAAACAUGUUCGCGAGUUUUAACGAACGCUCGCGAACAUGGACAUAAUUAUCAUUUGACAAAUUUUAGGAUUAAUUUUAUGACUGGACUUUUAUAUUUGGAGGACAAAUUGCUCUGUUUUAUUUGUUGUUUUUAUGUUAAUAUUAGUUAUAUAGUUAAUGAAUAAUAGAAUUUAAUCACUUAGUGCUUUAAUUAUUUUUUAGAAUGGUUAAUGAUUUGCAUGACAUAUUUAAGGGUUAAAAUAAUUUGAAUUCGAGCAUUUCAAGCAUGUUCGCGAACGGCUCGUUUAUGUUAAACGAGCCGAAUACGAACUCGAACUCGAACACGAACUUUACUUAAUGAGCCGAUCACGAACACAGGUUUGGAGUUCGAAAUUAACGAACGAACACGAACGCUAUUCGAAUCGCUUAACGAACAGAGUUCAAACAUAAGAUACUCGGUUCGAUUCGGCUCGUUUACAACUCUAAAUCUAACGAUGAAAAAUUGAGAGUACUAUACCUAAAAGGAACAUUUGAAUCUCCCCAUAAAUAUCGCCUCCCUCCAACCGGAGAAAAGAAAAAUGAAAGAAAUUGCCAAUGCUUAUACCCUUGCAUUGACGCUAAUUCUAACCAUGGUAUUGGCUAUCGUGCCGAGUGACUUGAAAAAACUAGUAAGCCAAUAACUUUUUCUAAUUAUAGUUGUGUCACAAUAGUUAGUGCUGCUACUGUUUCUUGUUUACAUUAGUUUCAAUUUGUAUCAACAUAAGUUAGUUUAGAUAGUAAAAAUAAGUCAUUUUCUUAUAAAAGAUUGUAUGUUUGAAUCUCGCUGAAAUUGUUAACAUUUCGUACACAAACAUUGAAACUAAUGACUGCCAAUCAAUUGCAGCCUUUGCAGCUUAUGUGAUGUCGUCGUUCAAAGAGGAGAAAGGAAGAGGUCUGAUUUUGUUACCAGACCGCCAUUCUUCUCUCCUUGGAAAUGCUUUCCUCCUCUCGUCGUUCAAAGAGGAGGAAAAGGAACGAAGUCUGAUUUUGUUGCUAGACCACUGUUGCUCUUUCCUUGGAAAUGCUUUCCUUCUCUCCCAUAGCCAUAGUUUCUGUUCUUAAUUUCUAAUAGCCUGUGAUUCGGGUUAGACUUGUUCAAUAUCAAAAUUACUACGCCGGGACCAAGUCCAUUAUUAAGACAAGUCAAGGGGUUUUUUUUUUAUUUGAUUGAUUUAUUCAUUCCUGUUUGCGGCAAGAAAUUUGUCCAACAUUGAAUAUUAGAUUUAUGCCAUAGCUCAUCUAAUCUAAUAAGGAAGGUUACCUACGGUUUAGGAUUCUCAUAUUGCCGGUCGCGUCAGAUAUGCGAGGUCGACUUAACUAUUGUGAUCAAAACAAAUAUUGACUAGAAAUUGGACCGGCUUCCAAUUUUCCGCACACAUUUUUUUUUCUCACGUAGAGGAAACACAAAAGAGACUAGGAACAUGCAUAUAUAUUACUUCAAGAACUGAUUCUUGAUGUUCUAACGUAAUUCCCUUGAUUGAGAUCGAUUCACAAAAUGUCAACAUUUACUUAUUCAAGUGGUAGAAAAUGGUGUCAGAUGAAUGAAAAAAUUAUUAAAUAACUAAUUUUUGCAAAAAAAAAAAAGAAAGAGAAAAAUAAUUUUUUUUUGCUCACAUCAUAUCAUAAAUUUGAUCACAAAAUGAGCUGUGAUAUUAGUCUGAAUUUUUUAUUCUAAAUAAUCUAAACACAAUACUAUAUUUUCCAAUUACUAGUAUAUCCACCUCCAGGAUUUGUAUAUGUCUGGAUUCUAGGUUCAACAACUCAACAGUGGAUUGCUUCAAACGGUAACAUUCAAAAAUUGAAAUAAGAUCUACUGGUGUUGCCUGUGCCUGUGCCUGUGCUACCGUUUGAAUUGCUAUUUUUUUUGAAGUUUUUGUAAAAAAAAAAAAAGAUACUAUAAUAAUUUAAUGUAUGUAAAAUAAAAAAUAAUUUCAAAAUAUGUUCACAGAAAAUAUAAAUCUUAGAAAAUAGCAAUCCAAUGCGGCAAACCGACAUGGAUCCCGUGCAUGUUUUAGCCCAAAGAAUUGGGGCCUCUAUAGAUUUUUAUCUUACUGUAUUAUUGCUUUCGAAAAGCGUGACAGCAGGCAAAUAAUUGUUUAAUUUUCCUUAAAAAGGCCGUAAAAAGGUCAAAUACAUGAAGUCGCUGUUACACGAAUGAGACUAAUUCUAUUUUUUUUUUUUUGUGAAGCAAGAAUGAGACUGAUUCUAAUGUUUGAUAGAAUAAUGCAUGACCGGACCCGGUUGAUUUUCAAGUUCAAGCAUUUAUCUAUCGAUCGCGUGUUUUCCAGUUUGGACCAUUACUUGUCAAACUUCAAAGCGCGGUUCGUCAGUCAACUCCCUGCACUUUACACCACAUCUACCACCUUUAACUAAGGCUUUAACUUUGCAUGAAUUCUCAAUAUGGAAAAUGCAUGUGUGUAUAUAUAUGUCCCUCCUACUCCUGUGAUCGUCAUUAAUUCCAAGUCCCAAAACACAUCCCAAUCACUUGCUCUUUUCAGAAAAUCCUAAACGUUUCCUCUGACGACACGAGGAGAAUAGAAGAUCAUCAUCAUCAAGAGUAAUUACAGCAGGAAAAGACAGAUUUCCUGGUUUUGCUCAUCAGAAUUAAAGAUGGCUGCUUCCCAACGUAAUUUCUUCUCGAAGAAAACAUGCAUUUUCAUGGGUGUAACGUUGUUCAUUACAUUAAUCAGUUUUCAAGAAGUUGGAGCAAUGAGGCCACUACAGGGCGAUUUGUGGUUCAAGAAAAACCUCAUUAUUCAAUCUCUUCCCAAGGGUGGUCCUGUGGGCAAUCCGAGUUCAAAUCCUUGCACAUUCAUUCCCGGAACGAGCCACGGACGUUGUACUUUGGCUCAAAAUGAAGUGAACUCUGGUGCCCAUGCGGGGAAUGCACCCCAGGCCUUUCCAGAGGUCAUGGUUCAAUCCGGAACAGCUUCCAAAGAGCAUGGUCCUGAUCCUGAACAUUCAAAGAAAGAUCAAUCAAGUUCUUGAUCAGCUUUACCAACCAUAAAGAUAUUUGACAAUAAUUUUUUAAAAAUAUCAGUGUAAAUUUUGUAAAGACUCUCAAAUGUAGAUGCUCACGGACAUGGUUACUAGUCUGGGCUUCAGACACUUUUUUUUUUUUUUUUUUAACUUUAUUCAUUUGUACUCGAGGAUCAACCAUCGAUGUCCUAAUAUGAUGAUCCACAGGAAGUGUCCCUUUGUCAAGUGCAGCCAAGCUCAGGCAAAAAAGAAAAGAGAGAAAAAAAAUUUUACAAGUACAUAUAAUUGCAAUUCAUAAUGCACCCCUUUACUUUUAAUAUCCCACCAAAAUUCCCUUUCCCUUGCCUUUGCUCGGUUGUCAAAUUUUGUGUAUUUUACAUGCCGCGUAACUUUAUUUGCACACGACGUAACUUUGUUUGCACAACGUGUAACUUUAAAAUAAAAUUUUGUAAGCUCCACACACGUUGUGAAAAUCGAUGUACAAGAAGUGAUGUGAACCCUGCAAUUUUUUGUGGUCAAAUCCUGACCAUCAACUGUUAAGGGACGGUCCUUCUGUUGACCGUCCCUGCCCCUUAUCCCACUUCAAUGAAGUCAGGCCACAAUUUUUGGACCCAUUCUUCCCCAUCACAAUACUGUUCACAUGAUUCCAUCCUCGAAAGCAAGCAAGAAAAGGCUGGCUUGCCCUUUUGUUCUUCGGGCUCUCCAUGCCAUGACGAAUUUAAUUCACAUUCUGAUUAAUUUCAAGGUGGGAUCUUGCAAAAUUUUAAGUCCGGACGAGAAUUUGAAUUUUUCUAAUAAGUCUGCAGGAAAAGUAGCUAAUCGUAAAUGAGUAUUGAUGUGAUGAGUGUGAUGACGAUUAGAACUAGGAGCUCUCGUCAUUAUCUUUUAUUUCUUGAUUUUCACGCAUCUAAGGAAUGAUAAGUUGGGGGGAUGGGUUUGGUGAAAGUUUAGUUCCUAAGAAAGAAACGUAUUGAAUAAAUAUAGGAAGUUAAUGAUAGAUACGGUUAUUGAAAUUUCUGUGAGUAACUAAUUUUUUUUUUCAAAAUCUUGCAAAUUUUACAAGACACAAAAUGCAAGGAAAUUUUUCAAUAUUCUGAAUAGGCAAACAUGCAUUAAGAGUGCCAAUUAAGAGUGCAUUUUCUGCGCUGAGAUUAUAUAUGUAAAGAUUAACAUGCAAAUGUAUGGAUUUGAAAAGUAAGUAAAUGUAUUCGGAUAAUAGAUUAUUUGAGAUAAUAUUUUGAAAAAAAAAAUACUGUAAUAUUUUUUGAUGUGAUGUACAUGAGAUAAAAUGAUAAUUAAAAAAAUAUGUAAACAAAUAAAAAUCAACAAACAAACUAGAAUAAGUAAAAUUUUUGGGAGCUUUGCUUAAAAAUCUAUUUAAAAUCAGACUGAUAUCAACUGAUAACAAGUAGAGGCCUCAUCCCUUACGGCACUCGUCACAUUUGUACAACGUUUUGAUGAUUUGAUUCGAAUAUUAGUAAAGAGUUAUUGACCCACCCAGAUUCGCUCCAAUAGUUUGUAGAAUCCAAACAAAGGGUUCUGUUGAACUGUUGAAAAGGGUAGAAGAAAUACCACCCAACUUCACAGCAACGGCAUGUUCUUGAGUUUGACCAACCCCAUUGACCAACUCAUCAGAUCAAGAAUUUCCCUCUACAACCCCUAAAAGGUUAGGGAUGAGUGGAGCGCUCGAAAGCGGGUUUUAAGUAGUUUGCUUUUUCGGUGACAAUGGCUCGUUGUCUGAAGGUGUAGCAGUUUCAGAGUAUCGUUUCAGAGUCGUACCUUCUGCUAGCUGCUCGGAUGAGGGGUAGCAGUGGUCAUCAGAUGGAUCAUUCCUGAGCUGUUCACGGCUAGAUUUUGGUCCCUAAAAAAUGUACAAUCCAAAUUACUUCUUGUGCCUCAUUUUUAAUAACGCGUGUGGGACUCACAAAAAUUUGUUCUAAAGUUACACGUUGUGUAAAUAAAGUUACCCUGUGUGCAAACAAAGUUACGCGGUGUGCAAAAUGCACAAAAUCGCUAGGAACGGUUACACCCUGCCAGUGGUCCUGUUCAUGCAAGACUACUGGAACUAGGACUAGUACUACUAGCCUAGGACCCGCGCAGGGAUUUAUAGGCAUAUACCCCAUCACCCAUUGCUCCUCCCAUGGCUAUUUGCUAGCUAGAAUUUCCCAUGCAUGUGAACAUUUUUUAAAAAAAAUAAAUUUUCAUUAUCAGCAUCUAAUUUGAAAUGAAGGACUAGGACUGGGGUCAGUUUGAAUAGGAGGUUAUUUAGGAAAAAAAUUGAACACUACACUUUAUAUAAUAUAAUAUGAUGCAUGUGGGAUAAAAAAUAAUUUUAAACUGCAUUGCAUGAUGUAACUAAAACAUUUACAAUCCAAACCUAGAUUUAUGUGUUUGGGUAGCAGAUUAUUUGAAAAUUUUAUUUGAAAUAAAAUUAUAGUAGCACUUUUAGAGCGAUAUAAUAUGCGAGAUAAAAAGACUGUUGAGAGUAUAAAAAGUUAGUUGAAAGACAUGUUAUUGAUGCAGUUAAAUAAUAAAUGAAAAAAAUUAAAUUCAAAUAAACCCAUUUGAUGUGUUUAAAUAGCCAUUAUUUGCAAAUGUUAUUUUACAAUUGUCUCAUAAAUACAUUUUACAACUACCUUUUUUGAUCUUCCUAAUCACUUUUUUUAUCUCUCACACAUUACAUGAUAAAAAAUACUAUAUUACUUAUUUUAAAUAAUAUUUUAUUUAAACAUACUCAAUGUGUAUAAACUAACAUUAUUGGAUGCAUGACUAUUAAUUUAUAUUUAAAUUUAAAUUUUAUCUUUUUUGUCGAUACCAAAGAGAUAGUCAAUGGAGAAACCAAAGGGGAUUGAAUUGCUACGAAACCAGCCGGAUGCCUGUGUACGCGCAGGUGAAAUUUUUAAGAAAACCUAUAUAAGAUUGCAAAUGGAGAGAAUUGAUCUAUCGACCUACAUCCAAUGAGAUCUUUAAAUAUCUCCCUAGUAGCCAACUCAAGCUUGGCUGACUUGGUUUAAAUUUAAAAUUUAAUUUUUUUUCACAUAUGACAAGUAUCAAAUGAUAUUAAUACAUAUAUUAUUAGUGUAUAUAAAUUUAAUCUUAUUUAUUAUAUUAAUAUGGAUGCGGUGAAAAAAUGCAAUAGGGUUUAGUAAUUGCAAAGGCUCUAUUAAAAGGUCAGAAAUAAACCCGUAAUCAUAGUUAUUAAACUCGGCCCAACGGUUUGAUUGGUCAACCCAGUGAACCGACCAUUAAACCAAGCCGGUUCGCUAAUUAGAUCAUUUCUGCAAGUCAACCGUUGACUGUUCAACCAAAUUAAACCGAGAACCCGGCCGGUUUUGAGGAAAAAAAUCUUACCAAACCCUUUGCUUGGAUUCGAACCUAGAUCUUUGUAUAAGUUUAUGACAUACUCACCAGCAGACCACUUUGCUGCAUGUUAGUUAAUUACCAUUCUUAAACUAUAUGAACGUUUUGUCAAUUUUAUCUUAAUUUUUUUUAUUUCUCCAAACAAAUUUAUUUGAAAUCUUUUAAUAAAAACUUAUGACCCCUAAAUUCUAUAAAUUAUAAAAUAGAUUUCAAAAUAACAUAUUACAUAAUUUAUUUUAAAGAUAAAUAUUGUUUUAAAUAAUUUUUGCACUUAAAAUUCGUAAGUAACCUAGAUAACUACACUAAACAUAUAAAAUUUUACACUUGAAGUUUGGUGGAUUACUAAUUAAAUUUAUAUUUUGCUGAUUCUUAUAUGAAUUAAAUAUUCUAUAGCAAAUUAAAUUAAAUGAACAUUUGUUAUGACAUUGUUUAUUACAAUUUAUAUCAUAUAUCCUAUAUCAAAAAUUAUAAGACAUAAUAAUUAAAUAUAUUUAGUGACCCACUGGUUCAACUACUCACUCACUGGUUGAACCAGUAACCCAUUGACCCACCUCCUUCGCCGGUCUCCUCUCCGGGCCGAGUUUAAUAAUUAUGCCCGUAAUCAUAAAAUUGAGUAAAUCUUGACCACAACAUAAUAAAUUCAGAUAUUUGUCCCUCUGGCGUUGUCUGAAUUUACUUUUUUGCCCCAAACUACUUUUGUUUGAAAAGAAGCACUGGAAGGCAUGGAACAUACACAGCAGUACUAGAUUUCUUAUUUACCAGGGCACAACUGUAGAAAUGCUCGGCAAAGUCAGAUCAUAUCCCACCAAGAAGCACAUACACAAUCUGCAAAAGAAUAGGUCAACAUAGUCUGUAGACACCAAAUUUUGGUGUAAUUUCAUUUACUUUUGAUUUUUAUUAAUGGGGUAUGUGUACACCUCUUGGCUUGUAAUAGAUAGGGCGUAGCAAGCAAUUUGGUCAAUUUUCCCUUUCCCCUUUGUUUUAGUUAGCAAACGUAAUGGUUGCAUGCCUAUGUGUUAUGUGUUAAAUGCUUUAUUAGGAUAUUGCAUCUAGUCGAGCAUGAUAAGUGCUACAUGAUUUAGGUGAUUUGCAUGUCUACUCGCUUUUUGUAGUAUAGAUGAAUGGAAUGGAUGAAUGUACAUCACCACACUAGUCCAAUGCUAGUUGUGGCUUCUUUUAUCGUUUCCACUAGUCCAACGCUAGUCGGAAUUCAUAGAAUGGGCUAGUCCAAUGCUAGACCCUUAGGGAUUUUCCCUCGUUAGUACAUCAUUUGCUUGUUCACCACAUAUCACGCAUUUUCCUUAGUUUUAUCAUUUGGCAUGAUCCUCGAACCCCUUUUCCCCUCAUUUUAGGUUUUGCAUCCCAUACUAGCUAUAGGGUUCAUUUGCUUGAGAGUCCUCCUAAAUAUGGGAUAUAGACGAGUGUGGCUUUCUCUAAGCCUUAGCACGCUUGUAUUCCCUCUAUAAAAGGGCAAAUUGAGUCACGAUUUAGGUCUCCCCGUCCCAAUAUGCAUGAAUUCCCUAGGCUCAUGCAUUCUAAGUCCACUCUAUCAUUACACUUUCACUUUUCCUCCCAUUUGCACACGUACACCUUUCUGUCCCUUCCCUUGCACACGACCAUUUUUAUCAUCACUCGCACACAUGCACUUCAUAUUAUCAUUGCACAUACCGUACCUUACCCACUCACGUGCACACUCUCACUUCCACAUUAUUGUAUUUUAUUACUUUUUCAAACUCAUGCCUUCACAUUGCAUACAUGCAUUCCAUUCAUUUGCAUCCCACUCGCAUUAUUCGUGACUUCUUCAAAGGAUCGUUAUUGGGCUUCACAAUUAAUGUGAUUGGCACCACUCAACCUUUGAAGAGAAAUUUCCCCCAAUACCCCUAGGUCUAGGGUUUGCAUUCAUGUAGUGCAUCCAAAUGUAAUAAAUUCUUUGGUUAAAACAAGAAAAUCUUUGAUUAAAUCAUGCAACUAGCCUUGGCUAGGUCAAAGGGGUGCCUUGGAUUUUAUCCUUGCCUUCCCCUUUGUCAAAUGUGACUCCCGAACCUUUUUCUUUGGUUUACGUGGACAAGGAGUCGUUUAAAAGGGGUUUCUUACUAUUUUUUCCUAUUUUUUCUUUAAAAAUUCAUUUUUUGGUGACUUGGUACACCUUAACUCAUUACCAAGUGGCGACUCCAAUUUUUAUUUCAAAAACCCUUUUUAAACUAUAAUUUUGGGUCAAAUCGUCGCAUUCUCAAACCCCCAUUUAGACCCAUUUUUCUUUUAAAUCACAAUUCAUUUUCCAAUCACAAAUUGAAUCAAAAAAUACAUUUUUUAAAACCAUUUAUUUAUUUAUCAAAAAAUGGGGCGCGACAGUUGGCGACUCCACUGGGGAUAUUCGAGAGUCCAAGCAAAUUUGAUUUAAUCAAUCUUUUUCUUCUUUUAACCUUUUCAUAUAUCACAUUUGGGUGUUUUAGGGUUGCAUUUUUUUUCCUUUUUUAGGAUUUUUGCAUCACUCGCGUUUCAAAUUACUCCCUCGCUCACGAAUGUAUGAUUGGUUGAUUGGAUGUAUGUUUACUUAUCUCGCGCUCGCAUUGCAUUUGGGGGGGGUGUGUGUCACCUUUAGAGCCUCGCGUGGUUCUCAACCCCUUCCCUCAAAAUAGGGAGCACUUCAUACGUGUACGUUUACUUAUUGUUAUCCCAUUUUAUUUUAUUUUCGUGGGCGUUUCCCACACCGCCUUGUAGGAUUAGGAUCGAUCGCCUUGGGUAGGCGGAUGGUGUGCGCUGCUGCGCCCAUAGCGCUACCUAAGGGAUCACUCGAGCCACCGAUCAAAGGCCUUGGGAGUGAUGACCCUUGGCCUUUAGGUCUGAAGGCUUGGGGACCUUUUAAACCUUAUCGAGUCUAGUCGCAUUAGUGAACCCCAACCUCAUGCAUCCAUAUUAGAAUUUUUCUAGGUUAGAGUCGGCCUCACCCUCUUUGAAGCACAUUAGGCACGAGGGAAGGGGUUCUACCCCUUUUACUUGCUUUAUUAUAUUUCUUUUCUAAAUUACUCCCAAUGUGUUAUGUGUACUAUCAAUUGCACUAACCAUUCUUUUGUUUUCUUGGCUUGCAUUCAUGUGCCUUAGCAAUAAGAGGCCACUUUGGCACUCUUUUAGUGACCUACCCCAUUAGAUAACUCACAUGUUUAAAUUUCAGUCAUUACACUUAAUUUUCAAUAAAUACAUUUCAUUUUUAGACUUUUUCCCCCCGAUGCAUUAUUCAUGUCCUUUAGGCCGUAUUUGUCACAUAUUUACAUCGUUUUAAUAAAUGGCAUCAUGCAUAAACCAUAGAAAGGGAAUGCCACAUAGGGAAUCCCGUGUUUAGGAAUAAACCACCUUGUGUUUCAGAUACUUAAUCCAACGAGACUUGCACGUUUACAUUUUGUACCAUCCAAAGGGGUAGUGCACAAGGUAAGGUAGGAUCCAAUCAUUUUCAUAGAGUGAUUUUUGGAAUAUGAACGUCUAAUAAUCACUUUUUUGGCCAUUUUAUCAAACUUGGUAAAAUUCCCUUGCGUAAAGGACAUUAAUUUGAAGAAAUUCACAAAUAAUGCCUCCUAUUGAGACAAUAAAUAAAUUGAGGCCAAAUCGUGAUUUUAGAAGGCUCAUAGACUAUUUUUUUGAAGCCACCAAUGGCCGGACGAUUCAAUCGAUCCAUUUUUGUCAAUUCAUAAUCAAUUUUGAAAAAACCAUUCAUUUGACCAAUUUACCCUUUUUAGGGUCAUUCGGUCAAUUUUUGAAUGAAUCAUCAAUUCAUUUGACCAAUUUACCCUUUUAGGGUCAUCCGAUCGAUUUUUGAAUUUCAUUCAAUUCAUUUGACCAAUUUACCCUUUGAGGUUGAUUUGGUCGAUUUUUGCAUAAAUCAUCAAUCUCUCUUCCAUUCAUUUGACCAAUUUACCCUUUUUAGGGUGAUCUGGUCGAUUUUUGAAAUAAAUCAAAUUUCAUUCAAUUCAUUUGUCCAAAUUACCCUUUUAGGGUAAUCUGGUCGAUCUUUGAAUAAAUCACCAAUUUCAUUCAAUUCAUUUGAUUAGUUAGGGCAAUUUUGUCGAUUUUUGAUAAAUCAUCAAUUUCAUAAAUUCACUGGUCCAAUUUACCCUUUUAGGGCGAUCUGGUCAAUUUUGAAUAGAUUCUCGAACUCAUUCAAAUUCAUUUGACCAAUUUACCCUUUUAUGGCGAUCUGGUCAAUUUUGAAUAAAUUCUCGAUUUCAUUCAAUUCAUUCAACCAAUUUCAUUUUUUUAGGAUGAUCCGGUCCAUUUUGAAUAAAUUUUUCAAUUUCAUUCGUUUGACCAAGUUCCUUUUUUAGGAUGAUCCGGUCAAUUUUGAGUAAAUUAUCAAAUGUCACUCAAUUCAUUUGACCCGUUUCCCUUUUUAGGGUAAUCCGGUCGAUUUUAAAUAAAUGGUCAAUUUCAUUUCAAACCCAUUUGACCAAUUAGGAUUUCAAUUUCGAAUUUCAAAAUGGAAAACCUAGUCGAUUUUGAGAAAAACAUCCAUGGCAUCCAGCCAUUUGAUCAGUUGGAGUUUUGACCCGGGCUUCACUGAGAAAAUUUGUCAACGAAUUCCAAUCUCUUUGAUAGGAAGUUCGUCAACGUCAAACCCGUACGUUUUUCGCAAAUUCUUGUAUCGAUCAAAAGUGAUCAAUCCCUUCGGACGAGGUCCUCAUUUUAACCAACGUCUCUUCUCAUUCCAAUGGGCCAAAUUUUUUUAAAAAUUAUUUUUCACUCCAUGAGUUGAUCGGAUCCAUCAGGUAUUGUAUAGUGCCUACUCUAGCGGAUUGCAUUUUCAUGCUAGGCCUACCCUUGGCACAAAAAGGGUUCCCCCAUAGGACAUGCAUACCGAUUUUGCAGUUUUGUCUACUAACUCUGGGUAUUUUUCUUUUGUUUUCCCCCUCCCCUGCAUUCAUAAAAAUUUCAUAAAACGUGAAAACAUGAAAUAAAGUGUGAAAACAAUUCUGAUCUGAUAAAAUUUGAAAAAUACUUGAUUCUUAGGCAGACCAUACAAUCUGAAGUCGAAAAUUCAUUUGAAAGCGCUCGUGCAAAACAUCUAAGGGAUUUCAUUGCUCAAAGAAAAAGGGGAUAUUAAGAGGGAAAAUGUGUAUACAUGUGCAAAGGAAUUUUGUAGAAUUUUUGGUCAUAUGUAUUGCUUUUAAUUUUUCAAACAUUGGCAUUGAUGAAGCUUUUAUUCAGACAAUUAUUGUUUUAUAUGUAUAUUCAUGUACAUUUCAUUCUUUAUUCUUACUCAUUGGAGAUUUCAUGAUGAAUUUUGAGAAAUAAGAUCCAAUUUGAGAUUUUUCAACCUAUAGCCUGAAGUUCACAAGUGUAUGCUUUCUAACUUUUGUAUACACUAGAUCGGUGAUCCAAGCUACACAAUAAGAGUGCUCAAAAUUAAAAGAGGUCACUCAAAAGGCCCAAUGAGAUACCUUUUCUCCUUCACUUAACCCCAAAAUAAAAUCAGUCACAUUGAUUGAUAAAUUGGGGCCAUCUUUGCUUGAAAAUAUCCAUUGUGUUUAACCGAUUCAGUUCACAUCUAAGUAAAAGCAAAAUGUGCAUUACUCUUGUUUGUUUUGAAAAUUUGGAAUGAUACUUCGAGCAUUCUUUUCUCUACCUAUACACAUUUUAUCAUUUUGCUCUCCCAUUUGAGCUUUUGAAAGAAUAAUUUCGUUUCAAAUAAGAGCCCUAAUGAUCACUAUCCUAUAUUGGAAAAUUUUCAAAUAUCCAAGAAGGGGAAUGGAUUUUCAAUGACCAUCUGGUUACUUUGAUUGUCAUGAAGUGUGAGAAUGAUACUUUGGCCGUCGUUUCCACAACCUAAACACUGAUCAUCCCUUGCAUCCUCAUUUGAGCUAAAAAUUGGUGAUUCUUUUCGAGUGCACAUAUGAUCGCACCCCACAUUGGGGAAGGAGAUUGGGGAAUUUUUGAAAAGAAGGAGGAAAAGCAAAAAUGCUAGAAAAAGGGGAAAGGGAACCGCAAAUUGGGGAAAUUUGAUUUCACUUGGGGUCCAAUUUUGAAAAAAGAAAAGAAAAGGAAGGGUUUUGUUCGACGAACCACUUAUGGAGAGUCUUCCUCAGUCAAUUAAUUCAGAUACAUGCCAAAAAUUUCGCAUUAAUGAAAGUUUCCUUUCAGAGUUAUUGUAAGGAACGGAAUAAAAGUCAGGCCCUCUUCUUUUCCAAUCGGACAUUCUAUCCCUAGUUAUCCCUUUUGAGCCUUCAGAAUAAAAUACUUCAUUUGGCAACCCCUGAGAAUCGCAAACCCCACACUGGGGCAAGUUGGAGUUGAAAAGAAAAAUUUCAAGAAGUGAAAAGUGAUAAUGCCGCAAAAUCAAAAGACAAAAGAAGAAAAGAGAACCUCAGUUCAAAAGUAAACUGGGGCAAAUUUUGUGAAAGUUCAAAAGUGGCAGAAGGCCGAAAAAUCAAAAGAAGAAAGAAAAUGAAAGAGAAAAAGCCUCAAUUGAGCAUAAACUGGGGCAAAUUCUGAUUUAACCCUAAAAUAGGGUUGGCGCAACAAUGCGAUCUCAGAUUCUUCAAACCAUAUUUAAAAUUUGCCUUCAAGCCUUAACUUUUCUAAAACACCACACCUGACCCCAUUACAAAAACCGAAAGUCCUGACUUCUGUUCUUUGCAAUGACCCUGUCAAGAAAAUUUCUGAUGCUGGAAAAUUUUAGCUGUAUUUCUGAAUUGCUUGAGUAUGAGGUUGACGCUACUCACCAUGUGAAAACCCCAUCAGCUCGAGGGGAAAGAAAAGAAGUGAAAGAAAAGCAAGAAAGGAAAAUGCAGAAAAAUUCGACACUGAGGUCCCUAGGGAAUGAUGAGAAAAUCCAAACAAAGUCUGAAAUCUUUUGAGUUCAAAAUAUGGGUAAUUUUGGAAAAAAGCGAUCUAUGGUGCAAUAUCCUUGAAAGUCUUAAACUAUCGUUUUCAAGCCACAUUACAAGCUAAUAAAGUCCAUCGUUGACUUAUUCUUUCAUGACAAUCCAAAGUGAGGAUCAUGCUCAUAAGAAAUUCAUCAAAUCAUUUGUGAUCAUAAGGGUAUAACCCGUUUCCACAUGUUUAGCUAUCACUUCUGUCCAUACGUUACAAGCCUAGAAAGCUUGUAUGUUGACUAAGUUUUCUUGAAAAAUAAGGGUGACAAACUCUUUGCUUUCACUAAGAUGUGAUGUUGAAUGCAUUACAAUUUUGGGCACAAAAGCCAAACAAAUUCUGACCUCCCAUUUCCUUAGCCAUUUCAAAAAAUAAUAAAGUCACUUGAUUGGUCCUGAAAGAUGAGCCAACCAGAAGUGGUGACCCGUUACCCUAAACACCAAUGCUAAAAGUGAGGAAGAAAUUUUCUUGAAUUUGGUGUUACUUCGAGGAAUUCAUCAUGAAAUUUCUGCAUUCAACGUUCAAAUGAUUACUUUCUAAAUUCUGGAAGGUGCGAUUUCUCUUUGUUCAAAUAAAUGGGGAAUCAUCUGAACAAAUUUUUUGCAAUCAAGUGGGCCCACACAUGGGCAAAUUUUCAUUUGAGAGAUUUUUGCAAUUAAAUAGGCCCACACUGGGGCAAGUUUUCAUUGGAGGGAUUUUGUAAAAUAAGCCCACACUGGGGCAAAAUUUUCCGCAAUACAUUUGAGAUUUUCGCCCAAGAGUCAAGCAAGACAUUUUUCGGACCAAUCACGCUGUUCUUUCCAAAUAAGAAAUUUGAAUGCAUGUCAUACUUUGAUGAACCCCUUGUACAGGUAUUCAUGGUUCAAAAGGACGAAAAACACCCAGUGAGGCGGAAGGCCGAUACUGCAAAGAGAAGCAAGAAGAAGGAGGAAAUGGACUUGACACUGAAAAGAAAAAAUCAAAAAUCAAAAAUGAAAAAAAAAAAUCAAAAUCAAAAUCAAUCAAUCAGAAAAAUCAGGAAAAAUCAAAUUCAAUUUCUUGUUUCUUGAAAAAUCAAAUUUGAUUUCUUGUGGGCAAAGCUUCAAUGCACGCCGCGCAUCAUUCUGUUCCCCCCUUCUCUUGACAUUCCAAACAUCACGUUGGGCCUGGACUUCGUGCCGCCAACUUCACAGGAUCACGUUGGGCCUGGAUUUCGUGCCGCCAACUUCACAACAUCCUGUUGGGCCUGGACUUGGUGCCGCCAACAUCCCAAAUAUCAAGUUGGGCCUGGAUUUCGUGCCGCCAACAUUUCAAAAAUCUUGUUGGGCCUGGAUUUUGUGCCGCCAACCUUACAAAAAUCACGUUGGGCCUGGAUUUUGUGCCGCCAACAUUUCAAAAAUCAAUUUGGGCCUGGAUUUUAUGCCGCCAACAUUCCAAACAUCCCGUUGGGCCUGGAUUUGGUGCCGCCAACAUCUCAAAUAUCACUACGUUGGGCCUGGACUUGGUGCCGCCAACAUCCCAAAAAUCAAGUUGGGCCUGGAUUUCAUGCCGCCAACUUCCCAAAAAUCAAGUUGGGCCUGGACUUGGUGCCGCCAACAUUCCAAAGAUCACGUUGGGCCUGGACUUCGUGCCGCCAACAUUCCAAAGAUCUCGUUGGGCCUGGAUCUUGUGCCGCCAACAUCUCCAAAAUCAAGUUGGGCCUGGAUUUCGUGCCGCCAACAUUCCAAAGAUCUCGUUGGGCCUGGAUCUUGUGCCGCCAACAUCUCCAAAAUCAAGUUGGGCCUGGACCUGGUGCCGCCAACGUCUCAAAGAUCUCGUUGGGUCUGGAUUUCGUGCCGCCAACUUCCCAUUGGGCAGGCUUGGGUUUAGUCCCACUGACCCAAUUCUUCACACUGGGGCAAAAUUUUCGGAUAAUUUUUCGUCAAGUCUCUCUCAGUCAGGAAAAAAAAAAACUCUCAAAAAAUCAAAAAAUAACAAAAAAAUCAAAAAAUCAAAAAAAAUCAAAAAAAAUCAAAAAAAAAUCAACAAAUCAAAUCAAGUUCAUCACGGCAGGCUCGGGUUUGAUCCCACUGUCCGAUUGUCGAGACAUUUCAUUUUCACAGCCACUGGAACGUGGAUCAGUCUCAUUAACACUUCAUUUCGCUUCUUUCAUUUGCAUAACCAAUAAACAUGGGUCAACCCCACCAAUACUCCAUCUCACUUCAAUUCAUCCCAUUUAAAUUUCUGUUCGGGUCUAUCCCAAUUUUAAAUUUCUGUCCGGGUUUAUCCCGUGGGUUUAUCCCAAUUUUAGAUUUCUGUUCGGGUCUAUCCCGUGGGUCUAUCCCAAUUUUACAUUUCUGUUCGGGUCUAUCCCGUGGGUCUAUCCCAAUUUUACAUUUCUGUCCGGGUCUAUCCCAAUUUUAAAUUUCUGUCUGGGUCUAUCCCAAUUUUAAAUUUCUGUUCGAGUCUAUCCCGUGGGUCUAUCCCAAUUUAAAUUCCUGUCCGGGUCUAUCCCGUGGGUCUAUCCCAAUUUUAAAUUUCUGUUUGGGUCUAUCCCAUUUACAUUUUUGUCUGGGUCUAUCCCAUUUACAUUUUGUUUCGGGUCUAUCCCGUUUAAAUUUCUGUUCGGGUCAAUCCCGUUUAAUUUCCUGUCCGGGGUCAAUCCCCAUCGUUCGAGUCGUUCACAGCCAAAUAACACAGGUAAGUAUUUGGUGUCUACUUCUUUGUCUCAAGUUUUUUCAAAACUCAGACAAAGAGGGGCAAACUGUAGACACCAAAUUUUGGUGUAAUUUCAUUUACUUUUGAUUUUUAUUAAUGGGGUAUGUGUACACCUCUUGGCUUGUAAUAGAUAGGGCGUAGCAAGCAAUUUGGUCAAUUUUCCCUUUCCCCUUUGUUUUAGUUAGCAAACGUAAUGGUUGCAUGCCUAUGUGUUAUGUGUUAAAUGCUUUAUUAGGAUAUUGCAUCUAGUCGAGCAUGAUAAGUGCUACAUGAUUUAGGUGAUUUGCAUGUCUACUCGCUUUUUGUAGUAUAGAUGAAUGGAAUGGAUGAAUGUACGUCACCACACUAGUCCAAUGCUAGUUGUGGCUUCUUUUAUCGUUUCCACUAGUCCAACGCUAGUCGGAAUUCAUAGAAUGGGCUAGUCCAAUGCUAGACCCUUAGAGAUUUUCCCUCGUUAGUACAUCAUUUGCUUGUUCACCACAUAUCACGCAUUUUCCUUAGUUUUAUCAUUUGGCAUGAUCCUCGAACCCUUUUUCCCCUCAUUUUAGGUUUUGCAUCCCAUACUAGUUAUAGGGUUCAUUUGCUUGAGAGUCCCCCUAAAUAUGGGAUAUAGACGAGUGUGGCUUUCUCUAAGCCUUAGCACGCUUGUAUUCCCUCUAUAAAAGGGCAAAUUGAGUCAUGAUUUAGGUCUCCCCGUCCCAAUAUGCAUGAAUUCCCUAGGCUCAUGCAUUCUAAGUCCACUCUAUCAUUACACUUUCACUUUUCCUCCCAUUUGCACACGUACACCUUUCUGUCCCUUCCCUUGCACACGACCAUUUUUAUCAUCACUCGCACACAUGCACUUCAUAUUAUCAUUGCACAUACCGUACCCUGCCCACUCACGUGCACACUCUCACUUCCACAUUAUUGUAUUUUAUUACUUUUUCAAACUCAUGCCUUCACAUUGCAUACAUGCAUUCCAUUCAUUUGCAUCCCACUCGCAUUAUUCGUGACUUCUUCAAAGGAUCGUUAUUGGGCUUCACAAUUAAUGUGAUUGGCACCACUCAACCUUUGAAGAGAAAUUUCCCCCAAUACCCCUUGGUCUAGGGUUUGCAUUCAUGUAGUGCAUCCAAAUGUAAUAAAUUCUUUGGUUAAAACAAGAAAAUCUUUGAUUAAAUCAUGCAACUAGCCUUGGCUAGGUCAAAGGGGUGCCUUGGAUUUUAUCCUUGCCUUCCCCUUUGUCAAAUGUGACUCCCGAACCUUUUUCUUUGGUUUACGUGGACAAGGAGUCGUUUAAAAGGGGUUUCUUACUAUUUUUUCCUAUUUUUUCUUUAAAAAUUCAUUUUUUGGUGACUUGGUACACCUUAACUCAUUACCAAGUGGCGACUCCAAUUUUUAUUUCAAAAACCCUUUUUAAACUAUAAUUUUGGGUCAAAUCGUCGCAUUCUCAAACCCCCAUUUAGACCCAUUUUUCUUUUAAAUCACAAUUCAUUUUCCAAUCACAAAUUGAAUCAAAAAAUACAUUUUUUAAAACCAUUUAUUUAUUUAUCAAAAAAUGGGGCGCGACAUAGUCUACCGAAUAUUUUCGACAAAAGGUUUGUAAACUACCGAAUAUUCACAUAAACAAGAUAUUAUUAGUCUGACAAAGUUAGAAUACUCCCUGUAUUGAAAAGAAAAAGACAUUAUUAGCCUUGUUUGGAUUGUCAUUUUCUCCAAAAAUUUUUUUAUAUUUUUUAUGAAUAUGUUUUCUAAUCAUCUUUUUACCUGAUACAUAUCAAAUUAUUACAGUAUAUUUUGCUACAAAAAUUUUAGAAAAUAGCAAUUCAAAUUCUUUUACAUCUUGCAUAUUCCAUGCAUGUGUAGGAUACUUCCCAAUUAUCUUGGUCAAUCUCAAUUAAUCCAAAGUCAAGCAUCUCUAUGCUGUUCUCCCUUUUUUUUUCUUUAUUAUUAGUUGGUAAAUUAGAUAUUCUGAGUGGGGUUCAAAGUUCAAACUGCAGACCCUUUUUUUUUUUAACUGCAGAUGUCAUCCUCCUGUCUACGACUCUACGGCAAUCUGGCUCCAUACUGUUGACUUGAAGGUUAUUGGUCUCUCUGUUGUCAUCUCAAUUUUGUUGCUUCGCAGGGUGCUAGUCAACGUUUCAGAAAUAGGAAAGAAGUUUGUUGGAACUGUUCCCGGCGGUUUUGUGCAUUUUGCACACCGUGUAACUUUGUUUGCAUAUGGUGUAACUUUAUUUGUAUAACGUGUAACUUUAGAAUAAAUUUUUGUGAACUCCACACACAUUAUUAAAAACAAGGUACAAGAAGUGAUUUGCACCAUACAUUUUUUUGGGGCCAAAAUCUGGCCGUGAACAGCUCAGGAGCGGUCCAUCUGAUGACCGCUCCUGCCCCUCAUCCAAGUUUGUUGGAUGGUUGAAGUACUUUGUACUGGUACUUUUAUGCUAGUGUGAUAGGGUAUUAUUUGUUAACAAUUUUAUUAUUAAUUUUUCCUUUCGUCCCUGUCAAAUAUUGUGGUAAUUGUUGAUAUCUACUCAUAUUUGGUAUCUGAACUUAAUUUCAGGGAGUCGAGCAAACAACUAUAAAAAAGAGGGACUUUUGGAUGCAAAUUUGGGAGACUCCAAAAGAAAGCCUCACAAGCCUGGCCCACGGAAUGCUAGAGACGGAUGGCAUUUCCUUUAGAAAUGUUUUGAGUAUUGGAGUUUUUGACUAGGAACAGGAAACUAGAAAAGAGGAAACAUUCAGGGGCCUUUGGACUUUCUUGCAGUUGUACUCUAAAUUCGGUAGGGACCACUUGGAUGGAGAGAGUCAAUUUUCUUUUGGCUUCCAAGGAACAUAAACGUACAGACGGCAAGAGUUUUUAGCCUUUAGCAUAGUUUUCAGUUUUUUUCUUCUUCGGACUGGCCUUUAACGCACGCCAGGUAUUCAACAAUAUUUCUUAAUGGGAAGAAUAUUUUUUUAUUCCUUAUUUUCUAGUAAAAAAUGCAAUGUCUUUGCAAUCAAUUAAUUUGCGUGGAGAUUUAAUUAUGCGACGUGGCUAAGCCUUCUAUCUAGUCAAGGGUUAACUCGACGGCGCAGUCCCGAAAAUCUGUGAGAUCUAAUUAGUUUUCACGCUUCUCUCAAUUUAUUAAUAUUUGCACGUUGUCUACUUGAAUUUUCAUGGGAUUAUUUUAUUAAUUGGAUGUCAAGAGCCCGAUGUUCAAUGUGAUUUAUUAAUCUCGUGCCAAUUUAGUAAGUUAAAUCCGUAAUUGUUUGAUUGAUUAAUAUAAGUGGCAACUAGUGUGUUUACACAUUAGGGAAACGUGCAAUCUAAUUUAAAUAACCCUCGUAGUGUGUUAUUGAUUAGGGCUAGGUUUUUCUAGUUAUUAAUGCAAUUGGGAAAUUAAUUCCUACGGUCGUACCUAGGAGUAUUUUCUGGUUAGGGGUGAUCAAUGGUCGUGCCUUGGUUAUCAAUAAAUUAAGGAAAAAUUGGUUGUUAGAGUUCAUCGGCGACUAUAACUAGCCUAUUAAUAAAUUAAGUGAACCUCUCUUGCAUCAAUGAUCAGAUAAAUGGACUGUGUCUGAGUAGCUGUAUCCUUGGCUAGAAUUUAUUUAUUCUUAAUUUAAUUCCUGCUAUAUUCGUGCUAGUUAAUUAUUUAUUUUGAGUUGAAUUGGUUAAUUGUUUUUAGUUUUAAUCCGAUAAAAUCCCCCUUUACCAAUUGGAAUCUCAAAGAGACAAAUAUCCUCAGUUCCCGAGGAGACGACCCUACUUGCCACUGUCUACUAUUUAGUAAAUUUUGUCAACUAAUUAAUUCUGGUAUAUCGGAUUAAGCAAAUUUUUCGAGAACAGGGUGAAUCAAGUAAUCUAUUGCACACCUAGGGUCCCUGCUCCAGUAUCUAGGAUUAAUUAUUGACUGCUUUUAGUGGUAUUUAGGUUUUAUUUUUAUUAUUGCACAGGCUCGACUCCUGUCAUAGUGGCAUCUUUUAUUAUUUUUUACCAGAAUGAUCGUACUUACUAGAAUCUCUAUGCAUAUGCUUUUUUCUCCCCCAAAUUAUGGAUAUCCACAAUAGUUCUGACAAAUUAACAAUAAAGGAAUUUUAAAGGAAAAGGAUAACAAACAACAUGUCCUUUGAGUUCAAUACAAAUAUAAAGAUAUGGAAAAAAAAACCCUUGUCACUAGAACUUCUUGACACUCUUACAUUAAAACAAGAGAAAAUAAAGAGAGUUACAUUUGCUAAGGGCUUGUUGCCUCAAAGGGUAAGACACAACCCUUUGGUUGUUCUUCUUCUUCUCCAAAGUCUUUCCCUUCUCUCAAGCUAAUUAGAACGUAAAAACCCAAAACUAUAAGAACUAGGUAGUAUAUAUUCUUGGCCUUGCAUUAUCGGAGCCAAAGUGUCAAAAAGAGAAGCUCCUAGAAUCUCCAAAAGUUGGUACAAGUUGUCCCUUUUUGUCUUAUGAAAAAUGGAGAAAAAAACAAAAAUCAUGCAAGUUGACUACUCGCAACUGCCGGAAUCCCUCGAACCAAUCCCUCGAGGGAUUCUCUUUUUUUUUUUGGCUUUUCAUCCUUGAAUUGUACCAUCUCUUUUAGAUAUUAUUGUGACUUCUCAAUCUUCUCAUCCUCGCUUUAGAUCACCAUUUCACUUCCAAGUGAACUUGAUCAUUUUACCUACAAAAUACAGAGAUUUUCCAUCUAAAAUGAGAAAAUCACAACAAAUUCUUCUAUCAAUUGACAGUGCAAAUUAGUGACAAACAAUGGACAACUUAUACCAUUUAACUUUACAAAUUGACUAAAAAAUAAUGUGAAACACAUUAAAAAAUAUCACAAAUUAGCCAUUAUCAACUGGAUAACACUACUUUUCACAAUAAAAUAUAUAGAACCCCUGAUGGAGCUCUAGAACUUCAAUAACUUCUGAAUAACCCAACUCUUCAACAGCUGCUAGAUAACAAUUUUUCUCGCUAUAUGUAUUUUACUCUUGAUGGAGCUUUUGAAUAUAUAGAACUUUUGAUGCACCUAAAAAUUUCCACUAUUCUAUAAAUCGAUCUAUUAGCCAUCUUUUUGGCUGCAUUUUCAAACGAAUAACAAAAAAUAUCACCUAACACAAUCUGCGGAUUCUUUAACCUUUUCGGAGAUAGAGGAAGCCGUUUGACAUACUUUUGAACUAAUCCACCCAAAAACUCCUUUUAGCAUAUCCCAUAGGGGUUAUUUAUGUGUUGGCUUGAAACUCUAACUAUAUAAUUGAUAAGUAUAUAGUUUGUAUGUUUUUAGUGUGUUUUAUUAGUUAGUUCUAGUGUUUUAACUACUUUUAUAGUUAAUUAUCUAAGUUUCUAGUGAAAAUAUGCAUUUUAUGGUUUGAAGUGUUAAAAUUGCAUUUCUAUGAAUUUUAAGGGUAAAAAGUUCAUGUUUUUGUAGGUUUAACGAUUCAAUCAUCAAUUGAAGAGAUUUGAGAAGAUAAUUGGAUGAUUAUUGAUGGUUUGAAGUGGUUUAAAGAAGACAUGAAGUGCAAAACAUUCAAAGGAAGAAAUGCAAGUGAAAACAGUUUUAACACCUUGUGGUAUUUUGGCAAUAUCGUGAGUGAUAAGCAUUGGAUUGAGGUGAUUCUUAUACCAUUUUGAAUAUAAGAGAUUAAUCUACAUUUGGUAUGAAGACAUCGAAGUCCAAUUCAAUCAUUUUCAUUGUCAAAAAGUAGAAAUAUAGAAGUGCAACUCUGCUGUCGAAAGCUGAAAUAGAGCUCUGACUAGUUGAUGGUAUUUUGGUCAUAUCUCGAUCCACAGAGCGCCGAAUGAGAUGAUUCUUGAGGUAUUGGAAAGCUAACUCAAAGAUAUAUGUUUUGUACAAAAGCUAGUUUUGCCUCCAUCAUUGAGAAAAUAUCAGUUGAAGUGCUGCUGAAGUGAAACCGCGACUAUCCAAUACGCGAGAUGAAGUAGCGUAUUUUUGAGGUCGCGUAUUCUCUUUUGUUUUCUACAACUUGCUCAUCAACUUGCCCUGCUUUCACACAACUUUUCCAGCUCAAUUCUAGCUAUCAAUUCCAGCUGUGUCUGAUUAAGAAAAGGUUGGAAAGUUAGAAAGACAACUGAUAAGAGUUUCAAGAGUCGAAGAUAACAACUAGAAACAACUCAUUUGGCUCUUGAAUCCUCUAUAAAUAGAGACCUUUGGAGAACAUUUUAACAACUUUGGAAGGUUAGAGGAACUCCACAAAAAUGUAGACUUUUACUAGAAUUUCCUUAGUUUAUCAGUUAGGAUAGUAUAGAGUAGUUAGUGUAGUUUUUCCUUCUUGUAUUUGUAGUUAGAUUUGGAUGAAGAUUUGAAGAGCAAAGACAAAGAGUUAGAGCUCACGUGACAAGGGUGACAUCUCUGUUAUCACUUUCUCUUUUAUAUUUGAUUUCAUGUUUAACUAUAAUACAAGUUUAGAUUUUUUUUCUUCAUGUUUAGUUAAAGUUUAUGCUUAGAGUUAUGGAUGAAUUUUCUUUAUCUUGUUAGUAAUAUUUAUUUGGUUGUUUGAUGAUAUUAUUCUGAGCAAGUUAUUUAUCACUUUUACUUUUCUAAUCAUGAUUAACUGGCCAUUAAUUGUAAUUAUCUAAAGGUAUUAAGUUUGCAAUGAGAAUUGGAAUUUAACAUUAGUUCAAGGAAGUGAUAAACUUAGGGAGUUCACUCACGAGAGCAGAGGAGUACCUUCGUGGCUUUUAAUGAUUUGUUUCAUGUAAUUUCAUAGAAGAAAUGAGCUUGUAGUUAAUUUCAUAAUCAUGAGAGUAGAUAUGGCUUAAUUGCAAGUAUAGUUGAUUUACUACGAUAGUAGGUUUCACAUAUAUUAGGAAAUUACGUCACGACUAGCCAAGAUAAUAACAUUCACUUAACUAGUAAUUUCAUUUGCAAGAGUAGUAAGGAAUUUCAUACCUGUAGAAGCUUUCUAGUGUUAUUUUUAUUACUUUUACUUCAUGAUUAUAGUCUAAAUAAUAAAGGAGUUCAAAAACCAUCGGUAAUUGAAACUCUUCCCUGUUGGCUCGACCUUUAAUACCCUAUACUUACUCUCGAUUCAUAUACUUGCGAAAAAUCACGUGUGGGGUAUUUAGCAUUUAUAAAUGUAAAACUUGACUGUGGAUGAACUAAUUAUUAUAUGUAUACCCUGCACACAUCAAGUUUUUGGCGCAGUUGCUGGGGAAAAUUUGUCAAUAUCAGUGCUAAGAACAACUUUAUUAGUUUCACUACUACAAAAAUAGUCUUUAGUGACACACCUAUUAUGACACUUUUAGUAAAAUGUCAUAAUAUAAUCUUAAUAUGACAUGCAAUAGGAAUGGUCAUUAAAAAGGAAAAAAAGACACCAUAACGACAUCGUAAUGCUAGAAACAGAUUAAAAAAAACAGAAAUUCUGAAACAAAAUGGCGCUCCACUAAGGUGCUUUUUUUUUUUCAGGAAAAUUUGUAAGCCUCUCUCCAGAACUUACCUGACCUCAAGAUCUACUCUUUCCUCCCCCAAUUUUUUCUCUCCGGACAUAACCAAUCAUCCCAAUUGAGCCAGAGAACCAAUCAUGCAUCAUCAUACACAACAUCCAUUCUCAUGCUUUUGCACCUUGUCUCAUCGCACUGUUUUUCACCUCUCUAAGUAACUCUUGGAUCUGUGGUUUGAUUGCAAAAAGGAAUUAGGGCAUUCGAACCUAGUGAUAAUUAGGACAUUUGAAGAUAGAGGAAGGCAAGAUUGUGGUGGCAGACAAACGGUUAGUCUGCAUUUGAUUUUUGAAAGUUAUUUGCUUUUUGUGCCUAAUUUUUCCAUCUCUUGAUUCAAUUUUCUGUUGAGUUUUCCUUGCAAAAAUAGGUUAGAAAUUUAGGUUUGUAAGGCUAACACCCUGAUAUUAAGUGGGUUAUUCUAUUUUUCAUGAGUUUGGACUGAUUUCAAGCAUUUAGUGUUAUAUUUUUCCGGCCAAAAACAUGAAGUCUGCUAUGUGUUUGCUGUUUUGCCAGAAAGAAACUUUUGAAAUAUAGCUGCCCCAUUUGAAUAGUUGUUUAACCAGUUUUAAUGCUACUGGUUGAAUUUGAAGAUGCUUAAAUUAUGUGCUCCUAAACAGGGCAACAUUGGGCAAUACUUGAGUUGUUGGUAAUUACCAAGUUCUUGGAUUCGGAUUCGGAUUCGGAUUGUGAUAAGAAACCAAAUAGAGUUUAAGAAACUUUAUUAGUCUAGUGUAAGCAUCUUAUUUUCAGCUUUGAUCAUUCUUCAUUUGAUGGCUCUUGGAAUUUGGUUUAUUUGUUCUUCCUUGUAAUUGGAUUUUGGGGUUUUGUGAGGAAGAUAGAGAGUCAUCAAGAGACUAAUAAAGUGCAGUAACAUACUUAAGAAAGAGAAAGAAUUAUUCUGCAAAAUUCUGAAAAAAAAAAGUUAAAGUUCCUAAUGGUUAUUCAGCCACAAUUUCAAAGUCUGUGCACUUGAAACCUCCUAAACUAUCUAGACUUAAGAGCCAUGACAAUCACAUUUUAAUUCAACAACUGGUACCAUAAUGCUACUGAAAAUUUCUUCCAAAAUCGGUGCGGUCUCCCUUGAUAAAGUUGUCCAACUGCUUUAGAGAUUUGUGUUCUAAAAUAUUUUGUCCUAGAGAACUUGUUCAAAUGAAAAGUGAAAUUACUAUUGUGCUAUGCCAGUUGGAGCGUGUAUUUCUACCAUCUUUAUUUGUUGUAAUAGUUCAUUUGACCAUUCAUUUAGCAACUGAGGCAAGAAUAAUUGGUACAGUGUACUAUCAUUGGAUGUAUCCAAUUGAAAGGUAAUUAUCAUAAGUUUAAAAUUUUAUCUUUUUUUUUCUUAAUGUGAUUAGUCUUAUUAUAACAUAUUAUUUUGUAAUUAUCUCAUGUACCUAUGCACCUUGAAGAAUUAUGUUUGAAAUAGAAGUCGGACUGAUAGUUAGAAUGCAAAAGAGUACCUAAUUAAUGAGUGUAAAUCACUGAAAUUUGGGUUGGUUUGUAGUAUUAUGUAAUGAAUUUCUGUUUAGGAGUUGCUCUCUUGUGUAUGAUUUUUACAAACUUUAUAAAAUUGAUACUUUCAAGGUUGGGGAUGAAGUUAUAAUAAGGAGCAUGAUUGAUCCAAACAGAAUUUUGGCUGUUGGAGAGGUUAGAAGUUUGGAUCCUACGGCUAAAGUUGGUGACACACCAUUGGGGUCACGUUGGUGUGAAGUUCAUGUGAAUGUGCCUGUGGAGAGUAAUAAAGAGUUGAUGAGGCCAUAUCGUAAUUUUCAAAAGAUUAGAGAUGCAAUUGGAGUGGCUAUUGUUUGGCCAACAAAUCUGGUACUCUUUUGUCAUACCUUUACCAUUUGUCUAAUGUAAUUAUUAUUUGUUUUCUAAUGUUAAAACUGUAAAACAAGACCUGUGUGAAUUGUAAUUUGUCUUGUUUGGUUUACAACACUUGUAGGUGAGUAUUGAAGAAAAUUAAAGCAACAUUGGGUCAAGUGGCAGUUUUUUGAAGGCAUCUUCCUUGCUUGGUAGUUGAGUUGAUGUCCUGUGCGUCCUUUAUAUGUACACGACUGAUUUAAAACCAUCUAAAUUAGUAUGUAAUUUGUAGACAUUUUUGGUGUGGAUUGUUUAAAUGAUGUACUUUUGCUCAAGUUUGGAUGAUUGUAUUGCUUCUGUUAUAUUAUUGUACUAGCUAUGUUACAAUCCUUCAAAAUUUAGGAUCUGAGAUGCUUGUGCAACAGGAUGAAAUGUGGUUUCUGAUGUUAGAUGAUAUGCAACAGGAAGUUGGAACACUUUAAUUUGGAUGCUAUACUGACAAGUAGAAAAUGUCAUAAAAGCCUGAUCUAGUUACUUGUCAAAAGUGUCAUAAUAUUUCUAUCUACUUAUACUAAAAAACGUCGUGAUAUGUUAUUGUAUCCCAGCAUUUCUUGUCAUUUGAAAGUGUCAUAAUAGGCAUAGAUAAUGACAUUUAAUAAUGUCAUAAUAAUGAUAAAUUGGGACUCUUAAAACUGUCAUAAACCUAUUGUGACGCUAGAAUGGAUGCCGCUUUCAGUAGAGCGUCAUUAUAGCCUAAACGUCAUGACAUAGAUAUAUAAUGACGCUUUUGAAUGUCAUAAAAGGACAUUUUGUAGUAGUGUUUAGACAUUUUUACUUGUUUUUCUUAUUUUUGCUGUGUCUAGUGUCUAGUUUGUUAUAUUUAGUGUCUAGUUGAGUCUUUAUUUACAUGUUUUAUAUGUGUCGAUUUAUCUAUUCUUCUUGACUAAACGUGUUUUUGAGUUGUUUUUGAAAGCAUGUUUAGGGGUUCAAUUGGAUAGUAGAAAACACGAGGAGACAAUGCUUGAGAAGUGGAAGAUCAACAACAGAUGGUUACUACAUGCAAAGCUCCAUGGAUAGAGGUAACCAUGAAAUUACUGAAGAUAUGUCUUUUGAAAUUAGUUUAAGGUGUUUAAAGUUUAAAUUUGAUGUUAUAACGUUAAAAAUUCAAAUGGACAGUAUUAUGAAUAUGCUUGAGCAAAAGAGGAAUAUUAAUGUUUUUAAUUCUUAUCAUGUGAUUUAUGACUUGUGUGGAGGUUAUCACGCUACUCAUACAUAUAGGCAAGUACAAAAUGUGGAUUAUGUUGAUGAAUUAGGGCAUUACAAUCCUUGUUUUGAUCAAUAUGGUGCUAAUUGGGAUAAUUCUCAUGCUUAUGAUUGGGAUAAUCAAAUGUAAUUAUAGUGAUUCUCCAUGUUUUUAUGAUUACCAACCCGAAUAUGUCCAAUAUGAAUCAAAGUCAUCUUGAGAAUUGGCAAUAGAGAGGUUAGUUAAUGCACCUUCACCUUCGGAAUUAGAAAGUGAAUCAUUAGCUAACGAUUCUAAGUCAUCUUGGGAGUUAGCUAUAAAAAGCUUAGCUAAUGCAACCUCCGACUGUUUUGAUAGGGUUGAGGAAAUGUUAGAUGAAUUAGCUUCUCACUUUGGUAGAAUACAAGACCAAUUGCAUGAGUUGUGUGAAGUUAUUUCUUCGAAUGAUAUGCACUAUGACUCUAGCAUGAAUGGUGAGUAUGUUGCAAGUGAAAAUGGAUUGCAUUUUUAUCAAAAUGAUGAAUCUAAUUUGUGUUUCAAUUAAAAAGAGUCCAUUACACAUGAUAGUACAUUUGGAGCUAAUCUUGAACCUCAAGAGGUGAGCCUUAAUAACUCAUUUUUCACCCCUCUUGAGGAAUGCAUUGAGAGUACAAGUUUUAAUUAUUCCCCAAGAAAUCCAUGUGGACGUUCGUUUGGUGAGUUCUCAAGUGGUGCAUAUUCAAGGUAAUAUCUAUGAAACACUUGAGAUAGGUAAGUCACUUCCAUCUCUCUUAUCAUUUGAAUAUGUGAUUUUUGUCAUAAAGUCACCUUUUAACGAUCCACCAUGACCUAAAAUGGUGGAUUAUUCAUUGACAAAGCCUCCUUGAAAAAUGAGGUUAAAUAGUCGAGCCAACGACUAUAAACAAAAGUGCUAGUUGGGAGACAACCCAAUGUUUGUUUACGUUUAUGUUAUUUGGCGUGAUUUUUAUGUUUAAAUUAUGUAUUUAAAUUAUUUUGUUGUUUUUCUUUUAUAUGAUUGGGAAAUAGAGGCAGAAGUGACCAAAUGAGGUGAAAAAGGCGAAGUUCGAUCAGGAAACUCUAUCCCUCGAUUUGAGUAAAAGUUGUUUUUAAUUUUUAUUAAGGGUUAAAAUGCAUGUUUUGAUUGUUUUACAUGUGCGUGCAUUGAAUACUUUGGCAAAAAAAUGACCUAGGAUGCAUUUUGAGUAAUUGGGGUAAAAGCAUAAUUUUUAAAACGUUAAGAAGUUUUUGUAGAAAACUGUAGAAUGAAGAAAAUGCGAGCGCAGAAAAACACGACCUCUAGUCGCGUUUUCAUGAGUCGCGUUUUCAUUUCUGCAAAAUAUAAGAAGAAAACAUGAGCCUCAAAACGCGACUUCAAGUUGCAUUUUCAGAAGUCUCGUAUUUGGUCCAGCAAAAUUAUAAUAGAAAACGCGAAUGACAAAAAUGUGACUUCAAGGCCGCGUUUUAUGAACUCUCGUUUUUAGGAUUCUUUUUAAAAGAAAAAUAUGGGUUCAUUGUUCAUUCUCUUCUUCUUAUUUUCCUUGCAUAUUUCCUUGUACCUUGAGUAGUUUGUUGCGUAUUUUCUAUAGGUACAUCACCAUCACAAAGGCGUAUGAGUCACGGAUCACCGUUAUAUGUUUAUUAAUGCCUUUGUUAUCACCUUUGUUUCUCAUUUUCCAUUCUUAGGUUUCUAUCACUAAUAGUUAUCCAAUGGUCCGGACCUCAUGAAGUUGUGGAGAUAAGUGGUCAAUGGCUCGUGAACUUCAUGCUUUGGUACUUCAAUCGCAACAAUAGGGGAAAAUUACUUUCUUUAUCUUGAUUCCCUUUUUACACAUUGAGGACAAUGUGCAUGUUAAGUUGGGAGGGGGGAAUUGAGAUUAUAUAUGUUAGUUGUGAUUGAAAAUAUUUCUUGCUUGAAAAUAUUCAGGACUUGUGCUGAAAAUAUUUUAGCACAUUCAGGACAUUCAGGACUUGCCUGAAAAUAUUUCUUGUGCUUUAAUUUGUUCAAAACUGAGUUUGUUGGCAGGGAGUUUUGUCUAUUUAUAAGAGGAAACUCUGCCAAAACUUUUCUAAAAUCUUGUUCAAAAUUGUAAAAUGCCCCCAAUUGUUUCAAAUUUUUUCAAUUUUAUCCAAAGGGCAACAAGUUUCAUACCAUUAGUAAUUCAAAUUUCUUCUACUUUUGAGAUAAAUGUAUGUGACUUGAAAGCUUCUUUUCUAAUUUAAUUUGGAAAUAACUAUUAUGUGAUUAUAAUUUGUACAUUUAUAGGAAAAUAUCUUGUAAAGUAGAGAAAAUUAUGCCUACAUUUUGCAUAUUUGAUGAAAUUUCUUCUCUUUACUUGAUUUUACAAAGUUAAGUGAUUAAUAUGGUCAAUAAGUGUAACACUCUUCUCAUGAUUAUGCUUUUGAGAGACUUACUUAAAAAAAAAGAAAAAGGAAAAAGAGAAAGAAAAAAAAGAUAAAAAAAAAAGAGAAUAGGACUUGUUCUACUCCAAUGGUUCUUGUACUUAGUAACCGGGAGUCUUCAUCUAUAAAUAUUGACUUUCACAUAAAACGAUACUUCGAAUUAAGAGUAUGUUAAACAAUUUGAGUAUGUGAAGUGUUGAGUAACCGGCGAUUUUCAUCGAAAAAUGUCGAUCUUCACGUCAAAAUGCACUUUCACAACUUGAGUAAUAUUUAGUUAUAUUGUAUGGAUAAAUCCCUCUCUAAGUUGAAUAAGAAAAUGAUCAUGGGAUUAAAUAGCAUUUUUAUUGGCCAUAUGAGUUACUUACUUGUGACAUUGGGUGAAGGGGACAAAUUGAGAUGAAUUAGCAUAAUUAGGGUAUAAUUAGCUUUCCUUUACUAGAUAUUAUGAGUACUUGAGGAUUAAUGAAUGAUUGCAUAAUAGUUAUUUACCUUGUUUUUGAGGAAAUGAAGUUGAAUGGUGCACAUAUGUUUAUGUUUAAAAUGUUGGAUCAUUGUUGGUUUGUAUUUUUCUUGCUUAAGGACAAGCAAUUGUUCAAAUAUGGGGGUAUUUGAUAAGUAUAUACUUUUCGUGUUUUUAGUGUGUUUUAUUAGUUAGCUUUAGUGUGCUUUAACUACUUUUAUAGCUAAUUAACUAAAGUUUCUAGUGAAAAUAUGCAUUUUGUGGUUUGAAGUGUCAAAAUUGCAUUUCUAUGGAUUUUAAGGGUAAAAACUUCAUAUUUUUAUAGUUUUAAGGAUUCAAUCAUCAAUUGGAGAGAUUUGAGAAGAUAAUUAGAUGAUUAUUGAUGAUUUAAAGUGGUUUAAAGAAAUCAUGAAGUGCAAAACAUUCAAAGGAAGAAAUGCAAGUGAAGAUAGUUUUGACACCUUGUGGUAUUUUGGCAAUAUCUUGAGCUACAAGCAUUGGAUUGAGGUUAUUCUUAUACCAUUUUGAACCAAAGAGAUAGAUCUACAUUUGUAUGAAGACAUUGAAGUUCAGUUCAGUCAUUUUCAUUGUCAAAAAGUCAAAAUACAAAAGUGCAACUCUGCUGUUGAAAGCUGAAAUAGAGCUCUGACCAGUUAAUGGUAUUUUGGUCAUAUCUCAGUCCACAGAGUUAGUUUGUUCUCCAUCAUUGAGAAAAUAUCGAUUGAAGUCGUGCUGAAGUGAAAACGCGACUAUCCAAUAUGCGAGAUGAAGUCGCGUAUUCUCUUCUAUUUUCUGCAAUUUGCUCAUCAACUUGACCUGCUUUCACACAACUUUUUCAACUCAAUUCUAGCUAUCAAUUCCGGCUAUGUCUGAUCAAGAAAAGGUUGGAAAGCUGGAAAAAUAACUCAUAAGAGUUUCAAGAGUCAAAGAUGACAACUAGAAAUAACUCAUUUGGCUCUUGAAUCCUCUAUAAAUAGAGGCCUUUGGAGAACAUUUUAACAACCUUGGAAGAUUAGAGGAACUCCACAAAAGUGUAGACUUUCACUAGAAUUUCCUUAGUUCAUUAGUUAGGAUAGUAUAGAGUAGUUAGUGUAGUUUUUUCCUUCUUGUAUUUGUAGUUAGAUUUGGGUGAAAAUUUGAAGAGGAAAGAUGGAGAGUUAGAGCUCAUGUGACAAGGGUGAUAUCUCUCCUAUCACUUUCUCUUUUGUAUUUAAUUUCAUGUUUAACUAUAAUACAAGUUUGGAUUUGUUUUUCUUCAUGUUUAGCUAAAGUUUAUGCUUAGAGUUAUGGAUGAACUUUCUAUAUCUUGUUAGUAAUGUUUAUUUGGUUGUUUGAUGAUAUUAUUCUGAGCAAGUUAUUUAUUACUUUUACUUUUCUAAUCAUGAUUAACCGGCCAUUAAUUGUAACUGUUUAAAAGUGUUAAGUUUGCAAUGAGAAUUGGAAUUUAACAUUAGUUCAAGAAGGUGAUAAACCUAGGGAGUUCACUCACAAGAAUAGAGGAGUAUCUUUGUGGCUUUUAGUGACUUGUUUCAUGUAAUUUCAUAGAAGAAAUGAGCUUGUAGUUAAUUUCAUAACCAUGAGAGUAGAUAUGGCUUAAUUGCAAGUAUAGUUGAUUUACUAUAAGAGUAGGUUUCACAUACAUUAGGAAAUUAUGCCAUGACUAGCCAAGAUAAUAACAUUCACGUAACUGGUAAUUUCAUUUGCAAGAGUAGUAAGGAAUUCCAUACCUCUAGGAGUUUUCUAGUGUUGAUUUUAUUACUUUUACUUCAUGAUUAUAGUCUAAAUAAUAAAGGAUUUCGAAAACUAUCGGUAAUUGAAACUCUUCUUUGUGGGAUCGACCCUUAAUACCAUAUACUCGCUCUCGACUCGUAUACUUGUGAAAAAUCGCGUGUAGGGUAUUUAGAAUUUAUAAAUAUAAAACUUGAUUGUGGAUGAGCUAAUUGUUAUAUCUAUACCUUGCACACGUCAAUAAUUUUCCUAUAUCUCUUAGUAUUUUGAAUGGUUCUACUAUCAGAUCUUAAAGAUUCAUGCAGAUGGUGUUUGCGAGAAUGCAAAAGGGAACCUUUUGGACCAAUAGGCAGUGCCUAGCUAUCAAAAUUCGUGAUAAUGCCUCACACAAACACACACACACACACACACACACACAUGUACAUAUACACAUAUACAGAUACAUAUGUGUGUGUGUAUAUGUAUUGGAUGUAUGAAAGAAACAAAAGAAUAAAUACUCCAGAAAAAAUUACUCCUCCCAUCCUACUUCGAUUAUAUUGGGGUUUUUCUUUUCAGAGUAAAUCUAACCUACUAUUUUUCUAAAAUAUUUUUACAUUAAUAAUAGGAGUAUGACUAAUCAUCAUACUUUACAUUAAUUAUAACAACAGUACUUAUGAAAAGUUACACUAGUAUAAAUCAAAGUAAUUAUUGAAUAAGAUAAGUUAUACUCACUAAUAACAAAAUACAUUACACAAGGAUAUUUUAGAAAAAUUUAAAUUAACUAAAAUUUUCAUUUGAAUAGUGAAUUAUAAUUUGAGAUGGAUGAAAAGAAGAAAGCAAGACUACCAAAGUGGAAUGGAGGGAGUACCAUAAGAGACAUAGCUUUUCUUUUUUCUUUUUUUUUUUUGGAACAUAAGAGACAUAGUUAGCAAGCCAUAUCCUUUACCAUCCUAAAAAUAUGCCAAACUCAAAAGCUUUAAAAAAAAAAACUUUUAAUACUAUUCAAGUUCCAUCUUCCCCCUCAAAUGGCUUUGCUUCUUUAAAGCAUUCCGUCAUUUGGACAUCUUCAAAGAAGCUUUUACUAAUUUCUCUGCAUUGUGCUGAUCCAAUUUUAAUUUAGAAAGCUUAGGGUCUUGAAUUGCUUCUUCCAAUCUGUACCGUGGAGAGCUUGACUCGAUCAAAGCCUUGACCACGAAACCAAUCUAACCAAAUUCAAAAAAAAGGAAAAAAAUUCGUAAAUAAUAUGCAUAUAUCUGAAUUUAUCCAAAUGUAAUUCUUGUAGAAAACAAUCUAUACCAUUGCAGUUGUGAAAAACAUCGUAGUGAUCAAGAACCAAAAUGAUCUAAGAAGUUCAAAUCGAGAUUCUCUAAACAACUCGAUUAGCUUCACUACCACUCUAAUCCCAACCUUUAGUAACAAAAUAAAAGGAAAGAAUUUAGUUUCAAUUAGACCCCAAAAAACCAAAAGAAGAAAAGCUACAAAAAAUUCAUUACCACAACACCUAGCACAUGUAUGGAAAAAUAGGUAAGUGAAUUAUUAAGCAAGCGAAUUAAGCCUUUUCAUUAGCUGGAUAACAUUUUCUGCAGCAGAUUUUAGUAAACUCUCAAAAGGACUGCAGGGUUUCAUUUGUUUUAUUAAGCGAUGCGAAAACUGCCUUUUCAUCUCCUACCACUACAACAGAAUUGGCCAUUUGCGGCACAUAGCUAAUUUGCCGCAAUAAAGUGGUAUUAUUUUGAUUAUGCUGAAAUAUUGACCCUGUACUUGGCUUUUCGUGGCAAAUUAAUGUCACAAUUAAAUUCCACCACUGAUUGCGCAACUAAACGAUGUUGUUGUUGUGAGCUAUCCAAGCAUUAAACGAAUAAUUGCUGAAUCAUAUUCAUGGCAAAUAAUCUUUCCAUUUUCUCAGUCCUUCCACUUCUUCUCCCCUCUCAAUUUUUCUAAAUUUCUUCUAUAGUCCGAGAACUCUAUGCCCCAAAUUUCUCUUCCGAAAACUUUCGAUUUUGCCUCUGCUCAUCCCUAAUUUCUCAUUCUAUCUCUCCAUUUCUCAUCAAACAGGUAAUUACUUAAUCCUUUAGCAGAUUGACACUAGAUGUUUUUACAAUUAAUAUCGAUGACGAGAAGCAGCAAUAGCACCUGAAGCAUUGUUUUAUCAAAGACGAUGCCAUGUUGUAUCAAAAUUGGUGCACUUUCUUGUUCUUCCGUUCUUAUCCAAGUCUCCACCGAUGAAACCAAUCUAAUUUGAGCGAAACUUUUGAAGCUGGAUUAACUUUGAAACUCGUGGACGAGUUAAUGAAGCAAGCUGGAUUAAUUGAAAUUUAUGAAUCUGGAUUACUUUUAAAACUCAUGGACGAGUUGAUGAAGAAAUCUAGAUUAAUUCAGUAAUCUCUUCUUUUAAUUUUUUUUAUUUCAUUAUUUUAGCUCCAUUGGUGAUUUUUGCUCUCAAUCUUUAUUCAGUUGAGGUUUGUUUCCCAACCUUAGAAGAUCCUUCUGAUGAUGCCCUAGUCACAGAGUUCAAAUCAAGGAAAGAAAUCUCUUUUUUUCGUCAUCAUUUUUAGUUUAUGUGCUUCUUUUACUUUUCAUUCGUUAAUGGAUUUUAUAAAAAUCAUGUUAUUACAGAUUCUAUUUUGCCAUUAUUGAAAUAUUUCUUGAAUACUGGCAAAUUAUUCAUUCUAGUCCCUUGACCUUUGCAACUGGGUCAUCUAUUUUCAUCUCCCGAUUCUACAUAAUUCAUAAUUUGUAAUUUGUAUAAUUUUUAAAUUGGUUGGAGAAUAAGAUUUUGGGUUCAAUUUGAUGGUUUUGAUGCUGGAUGCUUAUAAAAUUUCAGUUGAUGAUAUGUUGCGGUUGUCAGUGAUGUAUGUUAUUUGGAAAUUUCAUCUCCUGGCUCUGGUUGGUAAUUCUGUUUUCCCUAUCUCCAUUGCCUGGUAUGAUUGUUAGUCAGUUGAAAAGGACUUUUUUGUACUCAAGUCGUUUCAAGAACCAUUCCAUGUAUACUGCAGUUGCUAGGCCUUUUUUCUUAGUUCUAGAGUCCCCCUGGUGGCUAGUAAGUUCAGAGACAAUUCAGUAAAUAGACUUCUUUCUAUUAAGAAUUGUUAUUUCAGUAUUCUAGCUCUGCUAUGUGAUUUGUGUAUGAGACUGCAAGAAAUCUUGUAUCAUCAAAAUUUUUUACUAACUUCAUUAUAAAAAGAAAAUUCCAUUUUCGCCAUUAGAGGAGGAUCCAUGAAGUCAUCCGCUACAGCCCUAAGAAGCAAGAAACUGGUGUUGCUUAUCAAAUAGCGUUAAUCACAAUACCCCCCUUAAGAUUUAAUCUGUUUUGCACUUUACUCCCUAACAUUAUUUUUCUCGUUUUAUUCCCUAAACCAUUAGUCAAGUUUAACCUCGUAUGAUAGAAAUGUCAAAAAGACAUUUAUACCUCUAGAGGUUAACUCCAAUAAAUCUCCUAUAGCAUAUUUUGCACUUUAUCCUCUAAUAUCAUUUUUCUCUUAAUUUCACUGUUUGUCCCUAAAACCACUCAAGAUAGAUAAUAUUUAAAAUAUCAUUAUACGUAACAUAAUAAUGAAAAUGGAUAACUUCAAAAAUCUCACUCGAGGUUCCUGAAAAUUGCAGACAGCUCCUCUCUAAUUUGAAUAAUUACACUUGCACCCCUUGUUAUCAUGUUUCUUGUAACACAAAAAUCCAUUUGGCUGACAUCAGCCAAAAAUACCCAAUGAAUAUCUUAGAACCCCCCAGCACGCUACUCCUCUUUUUCUUUUUUCUUUUUUCCCUAAAGAAAAAGCCAUGAAUCUUAAGCCAACAUGGGUGUCCAGAUCCGUUUGCUCAUCAGUGUCAUCACAUUUAACCUAUAAACAACACAAGCAUCCUUUGCUGCCUCCUCCUAAGAAUCAUUGAAGUAGGCAGGAGCUUCAACAACAUCUUUUUUCCCUAUCAUUCCAAGGUAAGCCUGGCAAUCUCCUUCAUCUUGCAGAGGAUCGAGGAUUAUGGAGAAAAUCUCCUCAGCGACAAAUUGAUUCUUCUCAUUCUUAUAGUUGACUUGCAAUCACGAAUUUAUCAUCAGAGACAGCAAUGAUCUUGAAUGGCCAUAAUUCCAUUUCACUUUGAACAAAUAAAAUGCUGAAUAUUUCCCAAAUUAGUAUCUCCGCAUAUAUAUCUUUCAUAUUUUGCAGUUUGUUAGUACACGAAUAUCAACAUAAUGCAUUCCAUAACUGACAAUCCCUUGCCAAUACCAACUUGAAAUCAUCAAGCAAAAUUUUUGAGCUUCAUUUUAAUCAUAUGAGAUUGAUGGCCACCUAACUCUUCAAAUACCAAUCAUCUACAAAUUCCUCGGGCAUACUUAUCGCAUGUCUAUGUGGCCAGAGGCACUAUUAUUGAUAUCAAAGCGCAUCCCAUCUAUUCAUCACCGUCACUGCUAGGUAUGAAGUUCCUCUGCUGUAUUACUACCACCACCAUAUUCAAUUACUAAAGCAACCCUCCACAUAAAUCUACCAUCACCUCACUGACCUUAAACCCAAAUCGAAGAAACUGUUAUUUUUGUCCCUAGAAUGUAUAUUUCAUAUCUGCAAACACUAUAAUAAAGGAUAUGGCAAACGAUGCUAGAUGGUAGAGGGAUUUUAGGGAUUAAAGGGAGGGAGAAAUUAUAGACGUGAGGACACUUAAGAUGCCCACUAAAUGGAUAUGAAGGAGAAGAGAGAUAAAAAUGGACAUAAGAAGGGGAAAAGGUUAUUGGUGGGUCUGAGUAAAGGAGACCGAAACAGAGACAUAGGCAGAGAAUGGAUUGCAUAGCAGUAAUUGGGGUGGUAAGAAGUGGGGAUUGAAAAAGGAGGGAAGGAGAUAGUAGGUAGCUAAUUAUAAGAAAAGCGCAACCAUAUGCACAUUCAUAAAGAGGAAUCGACAACAUUCAAGCAUUUUUAGAUUUUUAAUAAUAAUUUUUCAAUAACAAUUUUUUUUUCCAUUAUUACAUGAAAUUGCCAAGAUAUUUCUAUCAAUCUAAAAAAUUAUAAUUUUGGGAUGAAUUUAGUUAAGAGCAUAUCUAUAAAUUUAUUAUUCUUUCAUUAAUGUAUUCGGAAUGUUGAUUUUUUAUAUAUUAUUUGCCCUGGAUGUUAUAAAAUAGUGGAGUUGAUUAACGAUUUUAGUGACAAAUUGGAAAAAAAUGAUGUUAAGGGAUAAAGUACAAAACAAGAUAGGGUAAUUGGGGAAAGGGGAAGGGUUGGGUUUGGUGGUAAGAUGGAAGGGGUUGUGAGGAGGAGGUCUUGGAUUCAAGACCUCCUACUUAUUUUGUUUUUUAAAAACAAGCCAGGAAAAUUACCGCAUUUAACUAUUAAGGGUAUAAAUGUCUUUUAUCAUUACCAUUACAUAAUGUUAGAGUCAACUAACUGUUCAGGGGAUAAAGUAAAAGAAAAAAAUAACAUUAGAAGAUAAAGUAAAAAAAUAGAUAUAUAUAUAUAUCUUAGAGGGAGUUUUUAUAAUUUUUUGUCAAUCUAGGGGAAGUUUUUAUAAUUAAUCCAAUCAAAUAUGCACAAUCGUGACUGGUAUGUUUAAUUAAAUGAUAAAGAAUUAGAAAUCCUCUUUGUCCAUAUUUAUUUGACCAAGCACAUGGUUUGAGAGUAGUUCAUUUAUAUGAUCCAUGACUCUUGACAAACUUUACCAACGUUACCAUGUAGACAAUGGAACUUUUAAAAGAAUAUUCUGACUAAAAAAGAAUCCAUAAUAUGCUAUUUAAGCUUAUAAAUUGGGUCAACGGCAAAGGAACUUGCAGAGGCCCCGUCCUGGGUUUAGACACGUGGCAACCCUGGCCUGGUCGAGCUGGGUCUCGACCUCAGGCCCCUGGCAACCGUCCUGGGCCGUAUCGUCACUAGGGGUCCAGAAGGGGCCAGGAGACCAUCCCGCAGAGGUCGGAGGAGAUCCCCCUCGGCGCGGGAUAAGGGUUAUCCCGAGCAAGUCCCGAAACGUACGGAGGUCGGACUCUCGAACAGGUAUAAAUGGUAAUGCUCACCACCUACACAAGGUACGCUCAGUAUUGGCACAUUACUUCCGGCCGCUUUACUCCCCGUAAAACUUCAUUUACCAGAGAGCUAAUUUGACCGUCGGAGUACCCUUGGGGACGACCUCGGGGCUCUCUUGUUAGAUCACUCUCAUAUCUGUCUUGCAAGCUUGGAACCAGCUCUUCCCAUCAGCACGCCGAGCUCGUCAGGUCAGCUCGGUCCGGGGAAGUUCAGCGCUUCUUCAGUUGGCGCCGCCUGUGGGAACGUAAGGUAAUCAAGACUGUGUUGAUGGCGAGAACGCGAUCCAGGCGAACGAUAGAGAACACCGACCCUGGAGCCGGCGAAGGAUCCCAGCGAAUGGAGGCCGAGGCGGCUCGGGGCGCCGGGGGCUCAGCCCUCUCAGGGGAGCGGAGGCAGCAAAUCUUCCAGUUUGUGACGGAGAACCUCCCCAUGCUGGAAGACAUUAUCCGGCAGGCGAAGGAAGGAGAGGGGGCUGGAGGCGCGCAGACCUCCAAGGCGAAGGCAAAGGAGAAGGAAUCACCUCUCGACCCCUCGGAGGAUGAGUCACGGGACCAGCCCCCUAGGAGGAAGCGGCUGCGGACUCCCCCUCGUCCACGGGCCUCGGUGGUCGGAGACAGCGAGAGAUACUCCCGCGACCGGUCCGCGGGGAGCCGUCCAAGAGACCCCUUCCCCCGAAAACCCACGCGGAACGGGCUUGAGCGUUCUCCUGUUCGGUCUGUUAAGAGCCGGCCUCGCGACCCCCCUUCAGUGGAAACCUGUCCGAGACGAACUCGACCAGAUCCUGCGACUACAAUUGUACGAGGACAACUACACGACCUCGCCCUUUCCCCGAGAGAUAGAGGAUUACCCACUACCCCGGAGGUUCAAGAUCCCGAGCAUUAAGACGUAUGACGCUUCAACCGACCCGGAAGACCACCUCUCGAUCUUCCUGACGCACAUGCGUGUGCAAACAGCCUCGGAUGAGAUCCGUUGCAAGACCUUCCCCAUGUUCCUGAAGGGGAAGGCUCGGCUCUGGUUCCAAGGUCUGGCACCAGGGUCUAUCCGGAGUUUCCCCGAACUGGGCAGACAGUUCGUAGCCCAGUUUGUUUUCUCGAAAACUUACUCGAAGAAUGCGACUCACCUAAUGGCUAUCAGGCAGAGGCCCGACGAAUCCCUGAGGAAUUUCAUGACCCGUUUCAAUGCGGAGAGUUUACAGGUUAGGGACAAAGACGAAAAGGUGGUCAUGGCCGCCUUCGUGAAUGGGCUCAGGGUAGAGGAGCUCUUCUACAAGCUGGCCGAGAAGCCUCCUGGAAAUCUGGAGGAGCUCCUGACCAGGGCGCACGCGGCCGCUAAUGCGGAGGAGGUUGGCCGUCUGAAGAAAGAGUCAGAUCGGGAGUUUGGAAAUCGGAGAGGACGGGGAAACCCCCCCGAGAUCAAGGAUGGUCCGACCAAGAAAAACGUCUUUGACCGGCUCUCGAGGGAGAAAGUCCUGCUCUGCCACCACUCCCGGAGAAAGGCUACACCCCCUUGACUCGACCCAGGGCCCAAAUCUUGGCUGUCAUGGAGGCGGAAGGCCUGGGAGGUCGUCCGCCCAAGAUGGGAAUACCCCGGAACAAAAGGAACCCGGACCGGUACUGCGCUUUCCAUCGCGACGUUGGGCACGACACGGAGGGGUGCUGGGCCUUGCGGAAGGAGAUUGAAGGAUCUGGUCCAACGCGGCUUCUUGGGACGGUUCGUGCGGCAAGGUCGCCCCGGCCAGGAGCCCGGGCGCACCUACCCCGGAGAUCGGGGUGAGAGCUGGCAUCGCGACCGUCCUGAGCAGCGUGACGCACUCCGGGGCCACUCUCCCGACCGGGACACCCAGAACCUAGCGGGGGUGAUAAACACCAUUGCUGGGGGCCCUACGGGGGGACAGCCAGGUAGCUCGGAAGAACCGGCGACCUCUCCUGAGGGGGAUGACUCCUUGAAACGCCUACGCAUGGACGAGGAGAUCACUUUCGGAUCGAGGGAUGCAGUUCCUCUAGCGUCCGGAAACCACGAAGGCCAUCGUGAUAGACAUUGUCACCAACAACUACCGGGUGAAGAAGAUGUACGUCGACCAGGGGAGUGCGGUCGACAUUAUGUUUUACCGAGUGUUCAAGGAGCUUCGGCUUGGAGGAACGGACAGCUGACCCCGGUUCGGACACCUCUGAUGGGUUCACCGGACCACCCAUCAACUCCGGAGGGGAUGAUCACCCUGAAUGGUCACGGUAGGGCAGGCUCCCAAAUGCCGGACCAUCGCUGUCAAUUUCGUGGUGGUCAAGCAACAAUUCCCCGUACAACGUGUUCCUGGGUCGGUCUGCCUUGAACGCUCUCCGAGCUAUCCCCUCAACGCUCCACCUCAGCGUCAAAUUCCCCACUCCGGAAGGGAUAGCCGAGGUGCGCGGUGAUCCAGAGGUGGCCAGAGCUUGCUACUUAGCCAUGCUUCAAGGACGGGAGAAGGUGGUCGCCCAGACGACCUGUCUGGAGCCCUACAUUCCAGGGGAGGAAGCCCGGCAGCUGGGCACCCAGGACGAGAUCAAAGAGUUCUCCUUGAGGGAAGACUGGCCCGACCAGGUGAUCCGCAUCGGCGCGCUGUUACCCCCUGAGGAGAAGGAGGGUUUGAAGGCCCUGUUAAGGGAAUACUCCCAGGUCUUCGCCUGGACAGUUGAAGACAUGUCCGGGAUUCCGCCCGACCUGGCAGUCCACCACCUCAACGUAGAUCUCUGCUUCAAGCCGGUGAAGCAGAAAAAGAGGAGAUUCGCCCCAGAAAGGAAUGAGGUGAUCAAGAAAGAGGUCGGAAAACUGCUAGAGACUAAGAUCAUCCUGGAGGUCUACUACCCGACCUGGUUGACCAACCCGGUAUUGGUUAAGAAGGAGGAUCAGACCUGGAGGAUGUGCGUGGAUUUCACAGAUCUCAAUAAAACCUGCCUUUUUCUCUACAGAGAAUUGACAGGUUAGUAGAUUCUACUGUGGAUUUUGAUGUUUUGUAUUUUUUGGAUGCCUUCAAGGGGUACCACCAGAUAGAGAUGGCUGAGGAGAACCGGGAAAAGACCUCCUUCAUCACCGAGGAAGGAACCUACUGCUACCGGACUAUGCCGUUUGGCCUGAAGAACGCGGGAGCGACCUACCAGCGUCUGGUCAACAAACUGUUCCAGAAUCAGAUCGACAGGAACAUGGAGGUCUAUGUGGAUGACAUGAUCGUCAAGAGCCGAACUGAUUAGCAGCUCAUCCUUGACCUGAGGGACGUCCUGGGCAUCCUGCGGGAGAGCCGGAUGCGAAUGAACCCGAAGAAAUGUACCUUCGGGGUCAGGUCGGGAAGGUUCUUGGGAUUCUUGGUGUCUCGAGAAGGGAUCCGGGCCAACCCGGACAAACUCCAGGCUAUCAUAGACAUGGCCCCCCCGAGGAGCGUAAGGGAGGUCCAGCGGCUCACAGGAAGGAUGGCCGCCCUGAACAGAUUCUUCUCGCGUUCCGCCAUUCGGGGGCUGCCCUUCUUCCGAAUCCUGAAAGCUCCCAAGGACUUUCAAUGGACUGAAGAGUGCCAGAAAGCCUUCGCCGACCUUAAGGCCUAUCUGGUUGAGUUGCCCACUUUGACCGCCUCGGAGCAGGGGGAGACCUUGUUCCUGUAUCUGUCCACUUGCAACGAGGUCGUCAGCCUGGUCUUGGUGCAGGAGGGCGGGGGGGUUCAGAGGCCGGUAUACUACGUCAGCUGUGCUUUACAAGGGCCGGAGACACGGUACACGCCGGCUGAAAAGCUGGUCCUUGCUUUGGUGCACGCGGCCCGAAAACUCCGGCCCUACUUUCAAGCUCACAGCAUCAUCGUCGUGACUGAUCAGCCCCUACAGCAGAUACUUACAAGACCCGAGGUCUCGUGCAGGAUGACCAAGUAGGCCGUCGACCUAGCUGAGCACGACAUUGAUUAUUGGCCCCGCACCGCUAUUAAGGCUCACGCCUUGGCAGACUUCCUUGCUGAGGGGGCUAGCUUGGCCAUGACUGGGCAGAACUCUCCGCCCAGUGAGGCGCGGUCGGGAGAAUCUUGGAUUCUGUUCGUGGACGGGGCCUCCAGCAAGGAAGGAAGCGGAGUCGGCCAGCUGCUUAUCUCGCCGAUCGGGGAGGAGCUGACCUACGCUUUUCGAUUUGACUUCCCCGUAUUCAACAAUGAAGCCGAGUACGAGAACCUGCUCACAGGAUUGCGAAUAGCCCACCAGAUGGGUAUAACCACGAUCAAAGUCAGGAGCGACUCCCAACUCGUCCUCCUCCAAGUCCGCGGGGAAUACCAAGCCAAGGAGGAUGUCAUGAGGAAAUACUUGGCCAAGGUACAGGAGGCAAUCGCCCUAUUCGACACUUUUGAAAUCGAGCGGGUGCCGAGAUCACAAAACAAGCGUGCGGAUGCCCUGUCGAAACUGGCGUGCUCCUCGUUUGCGCACCUGAACAAGGAAGUCUUGGUAGAGUUGGUCAAACAGAAAAGUAUCGACCAAGUCCAGGUUUUGGCUAUAGAUAGCCCGGCCACCUGGAUGACUCCUCUUAUCGACUUUCUCAGCUCGGGUGUCCUGCCCGGGGACAAGACAGAAGCUUGCCAGCUUCAAUUCAGAGCUGCUAAGUACGCCUAUGUCGGGGGAACCCUCUACAGGAGGUCGUAUCUGUCCCCCUGGCUAAAAUGCGUGACUCCAGAAGAGAGCAACUACGUCCUUCGUGAAAUUCACGAGGGCUUGUGUGCGGCCCAUGUGGGGUCCCGAGUACUGGCCAAAAAGUGCCUUCUCCUGGCUACUAUUGGCCAUCGGUGUUCCAAGAUGCCGCGGCCCUGGUACAGAAAUGCCAAGUUUGCCAGGUGCACGCCCCACUGUGCCACCAACCAACCCGGGAAAUAGUUCCCAUCCACAGUCCCUGGCCUUUCGCCCAGUGGGGGAUAGAUCUCCUGGGCCCUUUCCCCCGAGCCCCGGGAAGAUACGAGCACCUCGUCGUAGCCAUCGACUACUUCACGAAAUGGAUGGAAGCGGAGUCUCUGGCCACUAUCUCUGGGAGAGCAAUUCAAAAAUUCUUCUGGAGGAACAUAGUCUGCCGCUUCGGGAUCCCGCAUGUCUUAAUAUCCGACAACGGGGGGCAGUUCACCGACAACCCCUUCAAGAACUGGUGUGCCGAGCUCAGGAUCAACCAGCACUUCACAUCGGUCGGUCAUCCCCAGGCCAACGGCCAGGUGAAAAAUGCUAACCGAACCGUUCUCCAAGGACUAAAAACUAGGAUAGAACUGGACCAAUCUAACUGGUUAGAUGAACUCCCCAGUGUCCUCUGGACUUACCGCACUACGCUCCGGACGGCCACCCACGAGAUCCCGUUCUCUCUGACUUACGGGGUAGAGGCGGUGGUACCCGCAGAGAUCAAUCUCCCCUCGCCUCGGACACAGAACUUUGUUGCGUUAUCCAACGAGGAAGAGCUGAGGUGUAGCUUGGACAUGCUGGAGGCCAAGCGUGAGGAAGCAGCGAUACAGAUGGCUAAGUAGAAGAGCCAGCUCGCCCGCUAUCAUAACGUCAAAGUGAGGAACAUACAGUAUCGGCCGGGGGACCUCGUCUUAAGGAAAAACUCGGUCAGCCGAGCUCAUAACUCUAACAAGCUCGACCCGAACUGGGAGGGGUCCUACAAGGUCCUGGAGGCGAGCCGAGCUUGGUUAUUGCAAGCUUGCGAAACUAGAUGGAACAGAGGUACCCCGCACUUGGUACUACUCGAAUCUGCGAAUAUUCAUAGGGUAGGUUAGACCAGGGUGCUUGACUGUCUGUUCUUCGAAAUCCGAAUUUCAAUUUUAUUAUUAUUCAAUAAAAUUCGACUUUCAAGUUUUAAAUUCAUUGUGAUUGUUCGCCCUUUAAGUCCAACCUAUGCACUAGCACACUCAGCGCUCCCACGCUAAAUGUCCUAGUGGGGGGCUGGGGGGCUUGAAUGGGUAAUGGAUCGAACGCACGCCUUAAAGAGUUUUUGAGUGCUCGACCCCAAGAGGUCGGCACGGCUUGAAACCCUAGAAUCUGAGGGUUCAGCGUUCGACCCAGGAGGUCGACGGGAAUGCCUUUAAAGUGUGGUGUUCGACCCCAAGAGGCCGGCACGACUUAAAGCUGUAAAGUGUAUAAUCGACCCAAGAGGUCGGUACGGCUUCAAAGUUUGGACUGUACGCUCGAGGUCGGCACAGAGGUCCGAAAGUUCGACGGAGCUCGACCCCAAGAGGUCGGCACGAAUGGAUGCUCGACCCCGGAAGGCCGGCGCGUCUCGAGGCUUUGAAAUCUGGAAACCCGACGCUCGGCCCCAAGAGGUCGGCGCGACGUGAACUAUUUUGGGUUUUGUAGGAUUCGGGGAUUCGACGCUCGACCCAGGAGGUCAGCAAGAAUAUCCUUAAAGUUUGGUGCUCGGCCCCCAAGAGGUUGGCGCGUCGCCCUGAUGGGUCUAUUUGGUGCUCGACCCGGGAAGUCAGCACAUGGUUUUGAUAGUCUGAUUGACUUGGACAAUUUAACUGUCAGAUUAACAAGAGUAUAUACUUGGUACUCGACCCAGGAGGUCGGCACAUGGUUUUGAUUGUUAGAGUUGGGCGCAGGCAAGAACUGCAAGGUAAUUUCCUUCGAGUUUUAUAUAUGCAUUCAAAGCCUACCUAUUACAAAGCUUCCGAGUCGACAUAAGGUAAUUUCCUUCGGGUUCCGUGCAUGCAUUCAAAGCCUAUCUAUUACAAAGCCUACCGAGCUCUAAAAGGAGGAGGACUUAGCCGCGUACAGCUCGGACCCUCUUCUUCUUGCGAGUAAUUUGCUGGGAGCAGGGGCUAAGGUACACCUUAAACAUGUUGAGAGACGUAUGGUGAAGGCUAUUCAGAAAGAUAGCUGGGGAGGCCCUGGGGCAGGGGACCCACCCAUUCCGGAUGGACCUUCAAGAGCAUUUUCAACUGGAGCAUAGACACAUCCUUACAAGAAGAUGGAAAGGGUUUCUGGAGUGGUCGUUGCCCUAGGCUACCGGCUCCUUCUCGGGAGCCCUGCCAGGAGCGUCGUGCUCUUGCAGGGGAACUCCUCCAGGUCGACUCCCACAUCGCUCCUGCCUGUUAGCUCCUUCAGGGCAUGCCUCUUGCAAUACCUCUCGAAGAGCCAGUCUACCCUCUCCUCGGCAGCAGGAUUGUACUCCUUGAACGCGGCCAAGUCGAAGCCAGGCAGGCCGAGCCCCUUGACCCGGUCCAGGGCUCGCGUGAAGCCGAUCUGGAGGAUGGGCUGGUUGAGGAGAGCGACGUCCUCGGCAAACUGUUGGGAGGAGAUGAACUCCCGAAUAGCCUUCUUCCGCUCCCGGCUAACGGUGUCGGUGAGCUCGAUGGCGUGGUCCUUCCUCAACUUGGCCACGCCGGCCUUCUCCUGGUCGAGCUCCGACCUAGUAGAGGCGAGUUGGACCUGGUCUGCUUCCAACUCCUUCUCGGCCUGGCCCAACUUGGCCUUAAGGGAGUCCGCCUCUUUGAGGGCUUGGGUAAGCUUCUACUCUGUCUCCUGAUUCUUCUUUUGCAAUUUCUCCAAGUCGGGAGACAGUUCGGAGAAUCGGGUUGCCAAGGCAGCACCGGCGGCGUUGACUUGAGGAGGAAGGGGAGCAAGUCAGUACGUUACGCUAUCCAACCAAAACGCAGAGGCACAACUGGCCCAAGGGAUAGGGAACUUACUUGGGCCUGCGCGGUGUAAUAUGCGUCCAGGAGGUCGGAGGGGUUGGCCAGCUCCAUCCACCUCCUGUCGCGCGGGAGGACCGAGCCCGCAAUCAGCUCGCGAGCCACCUUGGGAAACUGGAUUCGGUCGUUGAUGGAGAGCCCCCAAGACGGACAGAAGUGGCGGGGGUCGUGCAUAGUUGAGGCCUGACCCGGCUUCAGGGGGGCUAUGUGGCGAAAGUGCCACAAGCUCGGGGGAGGCGACUCCCGAGCAUGCUCCUCCGCGGAGCCAACGCCCAGGUGGACUGGUCCUCCCGAUGUCAGCGGGAGGGGAGGGGGUUGAGUUGAGACCAGCGCGAGCUUCUUCCCGGGUUGGGAGGGCUCGUCCUCUCGACCCCUCUUUUGCCCGCUGUCUUCUUGGAGGGGAAUGAGGUGUUCUGCGCUUCACUCUGGUGGGCUUGGCCGCCCCCUGGGGUCGCAGCCGCCCCAGGAGCCUCCUUGGCAGCCUCUGGCUGAGGGGUGGGGGUGACCUCCUCCGUAGGUGCGCCCAGCAGUUUGGAAAGCCUCCUCACUGCGACAAACAUCGCCAGGUCAGUAAAGACAGGUCAAUACCAAAAGUCAUAAUAUGCACAUACGUAAAAGCAACGAGCUGCAGGGACAGAGUCAGCGUUACAGGCAUCGAGGUCGGUUUCGGAGGCCGCUACCUCUCCAGAGGACCCGGACAACGUUCCCAUCAGCCCGGCUGCAGAAAUCUGCUCGGUGGAGAACUUGGUGGCAUGGAGCUUCACCUUAGAGCUCACCAACUGGAUGAGGGUCUCUGAGUCCAGGUCCUCCGGGUAGGGAUCGGAUUUGACCUCUCCGACCUUCCACACGGUGGCGUCAAAACCGAUGGAUUUGACAAAGAAGAAAUCCCCUUUCCAGUUCUUGAUGGAAGUGGGGAACCCGUAGAACAGGUCCUGGGUGCCCUUAUCCCCCCGACCUUGGUUCCCGGUCCGACGGGAGAAGUAAUACCACCCAAGAAGGGAGAACUUGAGGAUGUAAGCAGCUCGGAAGAGGGAGAGAGAGUAAGGGAUGGAGCAGAUUUGGCAGUAGAUCAGGAACCCUAUGAUGAUCCUGAUCGAGUUAGGGUGAACUUGGGUGAUCCUGAGCCCCCAAUAGCUCAAGAUCUCAGCCAGGGCUGAAAGGAUUGGUAGUCGGAGCACCCCAAGCAGCUGCUCCUUGUAGAUGGCUACAAAACCAGAGGGAGGUCGGCUGGCUUGAUCGUUGGGCCCGGCAGCCCUUGGCUCAAAGGCCGGAGGGAUGGAGAAGGACCCGACCAACUCGCCACCGCCUCGAGUGAGAUGGUGACCUCUUCGUGGUCGGGGCGACCGAAGUCAAGCUCGGCAUCGUUCUCCUGCUCGGGGGAAGGAGUCCCCUCGGAGGAGUCCCUAUCCUCCCCAGCCCCCCCUGGGCUCCGCUAGGAGAGUCGUGCGGGGACUUGGGGGAAGGAACGGAGGUGGCCUGUUGCUCGAUGAGGGCAUCAAGCUCGGCCGCCUCCUCCAAGGCUCGAGCAGAAGGGGAAUGAGUGGAAGGAGAGCUCAUGAUGGUUAUGGGCCCGAGGAGGUCGGGAUUGGAAGCGGAAGAAGAAAAAAGAGGAGGGGGUGAAGACGAAAAUGAAGAUGCAGAUGGGGAGGAAGACGAAGAAAUGACAAUUUGGGGGGCUCUACGCCGGGAAGGGAUCCGAGGUGCGGUGGAAGUGACGCCGGAAUGAUCCGACAUAAAAAGCAGAGAACGCCUAAGGAAGAGGAAAAAGUGAAGGGGGAAGGGAAAAGACUUACUGAUGACCGGAGCAAAAAAAAGAUGAGGGAGUCGCCGGAGUCUGGGCACAGAGAGACGGAAGCCUUGUUACUGGAAAAUGGAAAUGCGCGAAGAAAGGAGAAAAUGGCAAAUGGAAUCGGUUAAAGUCCGAUGACUCCCAUUUAUAGGGGGUAAAAUGGGAGGAAAACGGUUGCUUGAAUUCGAACCGUCCCAUGUGAACGCAUUUAAUGAUGGUACGGAAGCCGAUAGGGUGUGACAGCUGAAAGGACGUGGGCGCGGUUUCCCUAUGACAGCACUGUACCGGAGGUGACCUUGGCAGAGUAGUGCGCGGCGCUGGCCUCCCACGUGGCAGGUGUAGAUUAGGUCUGCCUGACAGCCUUACCUAAUCUAGGGGGCUAGUGCAGAAGGCCCCGUCCUGAGUCUAGACACGUGGCAGCCCUGGCCUGGUCGAGCUUGGGUCUCGACCUCAAGCCCCUGGCAACCGUCCUGGGCCAUAUCGUCACUAGGGCUCCAGAAGGGGCCAGGGGACCAUCCCGCAGAGGUCGGAGGAGAUCCCCCUCGGCGCGAGAUAAGGGCUAUCCCGGGCAAAUCCUGAAACGUACGGAGGUCGGACUCUCGAGCAAGUAUAAAUGGUAAUGCCCACCACCUACACAAGGUACGCUCACUAUUGGCACAUUACUUCCGGCCGCUUUACUCCCCGUAAAACUUCAUUCACCAGAAAGCUAACUUGAACCGUCGGAGUGCCCUCGGAGACGACCUCGGGGCCCCCUUGUUAGAUCACUCUCAUAUCUGUCUUGCAGGCUUGGAACCAGCUCUUCCCAUCAGCACGCCGAGCUCGUCAGGUCAGCUUGGUCCGGGGAAGUUCAGCGCUUCUUCAGAACUCAAGUAUUUUCUUUUCUUUAACUUUUUAUGCAGUGACAGUGUAGUGGUUUUUUUAUAAUAAUAAAUUUAGAUAUAUGCCGCACUAACAAUUUUUUAUGAUUCUUUUACACUAACAAUUUUUUAUGUACUGAAAGUGUUUACUGAUCUAUCUCAUUUCAGCGAGUAUAUGCAGGUUUGUUGACCCUGUUUUAGCAAAUUCAACUAGUCUAUGAACAGAUUGGUAGCAGAAUCAGUAAGAGCAGACACCGGAAAUUGAGCAGCUUACCUGCUUUUAGUUUGCUAAUCCACUCUGAUGCUUCUUGACUAGAAUUUCUUUAAUCGACGUUUCAAACAUUUUCAGAAGUAUAUUUCCCCAUGGAUUAUUGUUUCCUUCGGGCUUCCGUGAAAGCUUUUAUCUUCUUUAUAUUUUUACUUUUUGGAUUCCCAUCUUCAUUUAAUCAAAUCCUAGAAUCUUUCGCUGCAAAUAUAUUUUCCAUUUUACCAUUUUUACUAUAUUUAAUGUCUUGCUUGAAUGUGCAUAUCUUUCUGGACCGAAAGAAUCUUCGUCUGAGAUAAUAUCUUUUCCUACCUUGUUGAUUUUAAUUUUUUUUCCUAUGUCACAUAUAAAUUAUACUUACAUUUUCCUCGAUUAAUUAAAUUGGGUAGUUAUAUUAAUGUUCUAUUACCAUUCGUUUCUUUUUCUCCAAUCCUCCGAAUUAUUUUCUUAAAGAACACUAUCGAUACGUUCAGAAUGUCAAGAGACACCUUGAUCUUUAAUGUUACUCAUUCCUUUUUUAUGCAUUAAAAAAAAGAAUUCAAUUGUUUGACUAGAAGGAUUUUUCACAUUCCCUGUCUUUAUAAAUACAUUAAUUAGGAUUAGUAAGAAAAAUGGGAUUUCAGGCGAUUAAAUUAUAUUAUAUCCUAGCAAAAUAUAGAUCAUAAAAUAUUCUGUUAAACUCUAUUCCCCUUCUCACCAAAAAGUUGUGUAUAGAUUAUUAAUGGAGAAACUGAUCACUCAUCAAGAGUCCAAGUAAGUUUCUUCAACCGACAGUAACUUUCAGUCAUUCAUCAAGGAGGUCGGUUGAGAAACUUUAACAAGCGAAACAUCAUCUUCCUAAUGCAGCAAAAUAGAGCCCUUUUUUAAAAAGGCUGCAAGGGAUGCCUAACGGCCCAUUACCAUCUAGGAAUUUUAAGCAAGGACAUGCAGCCUGGACUCAGAGUUGCACAAUGAUCAUUGCAUCCACUUCAUCUCCUACCUUUUUUUUUUUCCAAAUGGUGAAAGAGAUGACAACUUUUGUUCAACAUAACAAAUAAAUUUGCCAAUAAAGAUGGAGGGAAAUAUUAAAUACACUCUCUUCACCCCAACUAUUAAUUUUAAGAUUAAUCUUUCCUACACUGAUAGCGUAGCGUUAGAUAAAUGACAAUUAUACAAAAUUUGAAUUUGAAUUUGAAAUUGAAUUUUUGCACACAUAUCAUAAAUCAAAUGGUAAUAGUAUAUACAAGAUUUACUCUUAUAUAUACUGACCGUGUAUAUACUAUCACAAUUCGAUUCAUGACAUGUGUGCAAAAAUUGAAUUUUAAAUUCAAAUUUCACAUAGUUGUUGUUCAUCCAACGCUGACAGUAUAUGCACUGUCAGUGUAGCAAUGAUUAAUCCAUAAAAUAAAUGGUGGGAGUACGAUUAACAAAAAAUGAAGUGAGAUUAACAUUCUUGGGAUAGUACUUCUACUAAAUAAUACUUAUGAACAACCUUAAUGCUAAAAGAUGGAGCAACUCAAACUUUUUCUCAUCAUUUAGAUAAUUCAUCAUCAUUUUAGGUAAUGCAAUCAACACCAUUUUGCAAAUCUUGAGUAGGAUAACGGACCUCGGUUGGGUUCCUAUGACCGAUAUAGCUAAAUCAAGAUCCUCAUCAACAAAGAAAUGUGACUCCUUUGCAUAAAAACCUUUCAUCCACCUCCAAGUCUUCUUGACCUCCUCAACGAUUAGAAUCUUCAUUUCAGCAUCAGCUGGUUAGCAUUUUUCCUAGGCGAAUAUAUCAAACUCAUACACCUGAAUAUUGGCAUCUGCAACUUGGCUGAAUAUUGGCGAGAGUUUACUUCUUUUGAUCUCCUCAACCAUUCAUUUCAUCAAUAAUCAGACAACAUUUUUCGCAGCAGAUGUUAAUGAACUAUUGUACUUGUGCAUACUAUUAAAAUCACAGGGGGUGAAUUAUGCAACUCGAUCGGCUAAACGUUGAACUGUUUUUGGCUUCAUUGAUCGCUGCCUCAACGCUUCAGAAAAGCUGUUCAAGUGUCGUCUGACGUGAUGCACAUAUUGUUUAUGCUUAUUUGAGAGUAAGGAAGCAAUUAGAGACGUUUCUGAAACGAAGACAAUCCAAUACUCCCUUGAGCAUUUCCUCAAGGCUAUCCAUUUUUUUGUGUUGAUUGCUAUAUUUCAGUGAUUAGGAUAACUUUUUCAGUGAUUGGGAUCGGGGGCUAAUAUUGGUCAAGUUGCAUGGGAACGAAAUACGUACGGGGGGCAAUCUCAUGCCAUCAAAUUAAGGAUAACAGAUGUCCAGAAGAGAAUGGAUAUUUAGCUUCAUCCUCAACAGAUAUAGUAUCAAAUAUUCGAAUAUUUAGACUGAAAAUACGUAAAAUUAUAUUAGUUAUUUUUAACGUACUUUCAGGCUUUCUUCGGGUAUGCUUUAAUCUUUAAUGCAGAAUAUAGUUUUUGGGAUAUGCGGUUACAAUUAUUUUUUGGGAGGAAUGGUUUCUAGGUAAGCUUUUGCAAAAGUAAAUCAAGGUAAAUGAUCGGUGGCCGCAAAUAAUUGAAAGUAAAAGAAUAUUCUAGGAUUCAUCCUCCUUGUAUAUACCUUUUUGUCCCUCCUAAUUUUAACAUUUUAAAAGUUAAUACUACGGUAACAAAUUGGCAAUGGAUAAAAGGCAUUUAUCCCAAAGCCAAAACAACAUCAGAAUGGCUUAAUCAUCACAUAUUUUUGAUGUUUUCUCACUCACAACAGCACAAAUAUGUAAUGUUCCUCAACGAAAAUAUCCACGCAUUAAUCCUCAAUUUUACGCUUGUAAAAUAUGUAAUGUUCUUCUACAGAGUCAGAAAAUGGCGUCACGAUUAUAAUGUAAAAGCUUAUCAACUUUUCACUGAUCACCACAUAGAAACAUACAAGCUUAGAGCCGACUGAGCUUACUUGUACAUGAAAACUUUAUUGGAAAGUACAAACACCAAAUCCGAUAUAACAUCAUGACAAAGUAACAAGAAGUUACCCUUACCACUAUUUAGGGAGAGGACUUCUUUAGAAGUAAAUUCAUGGUUGAGAAACAAAAGAAAAGCACAUUAGAACAGUCAACAAGCAAAUCUGUUUAGAGACAUAUGAACCCUGGUGGAGUAUGCCGGCCACAAGCAUUCAUACUCACGGCAAGGGAAAGUGGGAGAUUAAAGUGGAUGCCCAAAAUAUUGGCUUUGAUGGCUUUGCAAAGGCAAACGGCUGCGUCGAGGUCAACAAGGCCAUCAAGGAGAGAGCAACAAGGUAUUGUUAUGAGAGGUCCACCGAAGAUCCCAAUCACACUCAGCAAAUUAGCACAUAUGCCGAAUUUCAAGGCAUCUUUUGGGCAAGUUGCUUGAGGAGGUAAUGGUGCGCAAUGGACACAAGCACUGACCAGAAUGAAAAAGGCAAGGUUAAAGGCAAGAAAGAGAGCUGGGGUUGUAGUGGCCUUGGAGCCCAUAUUCUCAAACCCCAAUAAUACCUAAGCACUCUUGGUUUAGUCAAGAAAGAAAGAUUUUUGCUGUGCUAUGUUUUGGAAGAAGUUGAGGGUUUUAUACUGAGCAAGGAGGGUCAAUUUCUUGGUUUAGCUGGCUACCGAAGCAUAGGUUUGGCAAACCCAUUGGAUGCGUUUAUCCCAGCCUACUAUAUAGUUCUAUACCAAACAUUAGCUGCGCUGUAAAGUUUCUAGUGGGUUUACUUAUUUCGUGCUUAAUGAAUUUAUUCCUUACAUGAUAGCUUGAACGGCAUGGCAAAGUUUUGUUAUUUAUGCAAUCACUCUACUAUUUCAAAGAAAGAAGGCUUGAAUGGCAUAGAGAUUCAAAAGUAACUUUAUUAGCCGUUUUUGCGCAGCUUAAUUUAUGCCUGACUAGUGUGCUCAAUUCAUUCUAACAGCGUCAUUUUGCAAUAACAGGCCAAAAAAAACCGUAAUUUGGAGCUAAACCCAGAAAAUGAGAAUAAAAGACUGUUCGCUAGGAGUGAUGUAAUACAUACAAUCGCACCAAUACAAGUUGGCUAUAUUAGUCAGGAUGGCUAUCAAUGUAAUGGUAGCCGAUUUAUAAAAACUCUUAUAAGUGACUUAUAAUUCUGAGAGCAUUGUCUUGACCCAUGAUGGUGAUACGAGUUGAACCCAUUCUAGUUUGAAACUUUCUAUAAAUUCACUUACUUUUGAAAUAAUAUACCAGAACUUUGAUUGAAGCUUAAACCCAUCCUAGUUGAAUGUUUCAAUCUUUUUUCUUUUCUAUUUAUUUUCGUUUAAGAUAAAACUUUAAGACGAGAGAAGCAAAUCUGAAACAAUUUUGCUAAUGCCAUUGACAUAUAAUGAACAGAAUUUGAAUAUAACAUAUUACAUCACGAAUUCCAGAUAUCUUAAUCAUUAAUUUGACGAACAUAAUGCCUAAGAACAAACUUCUCUGCACCAUUUUGAGGAUAAUUGCUCAACAUAUCUAAAAUAUCAGAGCAUGAAGCGGAUCAGCGGGAUAACCCACCAUGGUAUGCUUUCAUGAAGAAACAUUUCAAAUAGAUCCAAAAUGAUCAUCUUACUCCAAUUGUUCAAGAACUUCUGAACAACCCAGUUUUUCAGCAACUUCUGGAUAACACUAUUUUUCACAAUAAAAUGUGUUGAACUCCAGAGCUGCAACAACUUCUGAAUAAUACUACACUUCAAAAAUUUCUGGAUGACAAAUUUUCUUGCAAUGCUUAUUUUACUCCUGAUGUAGCUCCAAAGAUACAAUACCUUAUGAACAAGCCAACUUAAUUUUCAACAACUGCUGGAUAACACCUUUCACAGUUGAAAAUAUAGAACUUUUGAUGGAGCUAAACAUUUCCGCUAUUCUAUUAAUCGAUCUAUUAGCCACCAUUUUGGCUACACCAAAAAAUCGCCUAACACAAUUUGCGGAUUCUUGAACCUUUUUGGAGAUAAAGGAAGCCAUUUGACAUACUUUUGAACUAAUCCACCCAAAAACUCCUUUUAGCAUAUCCACAAGUUAUUUAUGUAUGUGUUGGCUUGAAACUCUAACUAUAUAAUUUUCCUAUAUCUCUUAGCUUGCUUCUCUGGGGUGAUCAUCAAACUGAUAUAUAUAUAUAUGGGUUCCCUUAACCAAGCCACUGCCUAUGAGUCGCCGGCUCAUUCUUCAACAGGCACGCGGUCAGAGCCCUGGGCUCCUCCCACUGCUUGGGAGCUUAAAAAGAAGUUUGAGCUCUUUUGGCUUACUUUUAGCCACGCAGGGCGGCUAUCCGCAUGUGUCCCAAAGUGACGUCCAUUUUUUGGUAAUGGGUAUACUCGAGAGAAAAGGUUUGGAAUUCGACCUCCCCCCUUAUACGCUCUAAAAAGGGGUCAUGAAACUCCCUUUUUGUUUAGGAUCCCCUUUCUACAUUCAAUUCUUUAUUGAGCCUGGUGUGGAAUCACCUUCAUUACACAUUCAUUCUUGGUCUGGCUGCUGGUCUAGCGUAUAUAUAUAUAUGGGUUGGAUCAGAGGUUGGUGAAGGAAUUUGGAAAGUCAACUUGAUUCGUUGAAACAUGAAACCGACUUUGAUUAAUUGUACAUGUACAUGUAAAAAAUAUUGGCACUUGUGCCAAAGAAAACAGAAGGUUACAUACAAAAAAUCCAACCCCCAUUGUCAAUAUUUAUGCACUAUUUCUGAUGAAAUGCAUCAUCGUUUGAGAUUUACUCUAACAGGUAAUGGGGGUCACUUGAUUAAGCGAUUAAGGUGCCAAAUAGGGUAAUAUAUCAUUAAUCUUACAGUUGGGUGCUCAUUUAACAAUGAGAUCACAACGUAUUAAAUCAUAUAGUGGCUGUGCAACAAAUUAAGAAUAUUCAUCCAACAGUGAUGUCACAUGGUGCACCAAGUCAUAUACUUCACUUGGAUAAAAAUUUGUUGAGUACAAUUUGGUAAAGCUUGAACCUUGCGACAUGUCCACUGUAUGUAUCUUGGACAGAUAUUGUAUUUUCUCUACUUUUUUAAGUUGCAAAAUGUGGUAUUUAAAGUUUGUAAAACCCAAUAUCUUUGUUGGAAAUUCAAAAGGUUUUUCAUUUGACACUUUCACCCGAAUUAAUUAAUUAAGCAGAAAUCUCAUUACCUCUUUCGCUGAUUCAUUCUUCACACUGUCACCUAUGCGAAGGGAUAAAUUUGUUUGAAUCUUCAUCCAGAAUCAUAUGCAAAGUACCUUCAUUGCACUUUUUAAAACAAAAAAUUUGAGCAGCAAAUUGCCGCUGAGAUCAAUUCUUCCUGUGCAGUAGUAGUGGAGGAAACGCAAUUCACAUUGACAUUCAGGAAAAUUUUUUUGAAUCAGUAGAGAAAUGAAAAACAAUGGGACCUGAAUUUUAAAUCCCAUUCAGUCAUAGAACUUUUUUUGGGUUAAUUCGUUUAAGCGGUGGAAUGAUGGAAUUUAAUAAGCAGAGGAGGGAAGGAGAGAUUUGAACUCAAGAUCUCUUAAGUAACAUAGUCAAUGAAAAUCCAUGCUAGAUAAAGUGGUAAAGGAAUUUUGGAAGUGAGUGUUUCGUAUGUAGUUUCUCAUGUUCCAAUUUUUAACACAUCCAGUAAUUCAUAUACUUCAAUAGUUCCCAUCUAAUACAGUCUCAAUUUUUUAACAUAUAAAUUACCUUUAUAGUUUCAAUUAAUUUGAUAUUAGACGUACUUUUAAUUUCAAAACUUGAGAGGUUAACUAUUUCAAAUUGCUGCAUAGAUUUCAAAUCAAAACAAGUAAAAAAUUCAAGUAAAUUUGUGCCUCAUUAAAUAUCUAUACAUCUGUAUCUAUACAUUUAUAGAUCCUCCUAUAUAUAAAGUAUGAGGGAUGAUUUUGGUGCUAAAUUUUUUUGUUACUUUGUUAUUAUAUCUUUACUCUUAUAUAGGUAAAGAUUCACAUUAUAUAAUCUCCACAAAGAAUAAUUUUAGUGACCUUCAUUAUCUUACUAUUUUUCAAACAAAAAAAUUCCAACAAUUUCAUGUUUUUCUUGGAAUAAUUAAAUUCUACAUUUUUUUAUCAUACGAAAGUUCUAUGUUUUUUCCUUAAUUUGCACACCCCUAGGAUGUGAUUUUCCCUUCCUAUGUAUAAUGUACAAGUCUUGGAUUUGAUGUUAAGAAAUUAUAUUAUCAUUUAUUAUUUCAAUUUUACCCUUGCAUGAUAGAACACUAUAUAAUGACAUCUCAUCUUCCAUACCCUGCAUUCAAGCAUAUUACACACAAUAUCUCUAACUUUUACAACUACAACUAGAAUAAACCUUCUAAAAACAACCAAUAACUUACUUUCAUUUCAAAAAUAAAAAAAGAUAUACUCCCAUUUAUAAGCCUAAUAAAAUUUCAAAUAAUCACUACUAAAUUAAUACCUUUUUCUUUAAGAAUAUUUUAUGUGUUAAGAAUUUUUUAUUAUGCAUGCAGAUAGUGUAUGCCUUUUCCACUAGUAAUAUAUAAAGUGGGAGAAUCAUUAUGUAAUAUAAACAUAAAAUAUCACUUUUUGAAGUUUCUUUGCUACCCUUAAUUAUAAGGGCAAAUUGGUCACCAUUUAAUGCAAUACAACACCCCACGAUCAGAAUUUUUUGCAUAAUAACUCUUUUCUUGAAAAAUUUUCCCAUAGUAAGACAAUUUGAAAUAAUAUACCAUUUGUAUUUGGUGCGACAUGAAUUUUUUAUGCAAAAGUUUAACGCAAUUAUGUACUUCAGCAUUAUCAUCACACCCCAUCUUUAAUCCUUACUCUUUUUUGUUCUUUAGCAUUACAAUGAUAACUUUUAAGUAUAAGGUGCAUCAACUCUACUUAAAGACAAUAAUUAUCACAAACUUUACUAUCUUGGUUUAGUUUUUUCUAUACAAAAAAAAAAAAAAAUCCAAUGGGUGACAAACAUUGUUUCAAUUUUGUCUUUUUUUUUUAACUUGAAAAUUUCAUUUCUGAUUUAACUUGGAAAUAGCUUUUUUUUUUCAUUGUUUCAAUUUUGUCAUUAAUUAGUGAAAUGGUCAGAAUAUAAUUUUUGUUUGUGAUAAUUUUAGAAACCUCCCUUGAGGUCUCUAACAAUUUUAGGAUCCUCUCCUUAGCUUUCAAAAAUUACACUCACUUUCAUUGUUUACGUUUCAAAAUAGGCUCAAUAGGCUACCAAUUCUUUCAAAUAUCCUAAACUAUCCUUUUUGUCAAAAAAGAUAAAAAGGAAAAAUAAAAAGAGCUUCGCUAAUUGCCUGUCUUCCAACACUAGAGGCAACAAACUCUUUCUGCCAAAAAUAAAAGCUUGGAAAAAAAUCAAUUAUGAUGAUUGCUUUCUUCUAAGCAACACCACCUCAAAAGCCAAGCAAACACCCCCAAUUUAAAUCAAAAUAAAUUCCAAUAAUUCGAGCACUCAAAAUACCGUAACCUAAUUUAUGUUCAGCAGCCCCAACCCUUACAUUUCCUACACAAGUCAAUUAAAUUCGUCACUUGGUGCUAAACUGGAUAAAACUCAACGUCAAAUUUUACUGAAAACUAAUACUUCAUCAACAACCAAUAGCGCAGCUCUUUCAUCUUCCUCUCUUUGCAGCCUCCUUUAUUUUUUUUUCAACCACCCAUUUCUAAAGCCCAUUCAUCACUCAAAUUCUUUACUUUGGACAUCACUAAGUUUUAUCACCAAUAAUCAACCAAAACUAGAUAAAACAAAUAGAUGCAGAAGAAUCAAACCCAUUACACUUAAAAUUAAAAGGAAAAAAAGGAUAAGCCUAAUCAUAUUUGCAAAAGAAAAAGAUGAAAAUAGAGAAAAAAAAAAGAAGAAAGGAAAGGAGGGGGAUAAAUAUGGACAAGGGGCAAUAAAUAGAAUUAAAGGAGGAAUAUUAGGCAGAGAGGAAUGGAUGGUAGAAAUUCGCCAAAAAAGGAAGUGGAAGAAAGAGUAAGGUAAAAAAGAAGAAGUGAGAGAGAGAGAGAGAGAGAGAGAAUAAGUCAAUUUUGGUUUUCCUUGGAAUUUCUGAAAUUUUCGAAAAAAAAUGUCAUUAAGUAUCCUAUAUAGGGGUAGUCGAGUACUUUUGAAGCAAUAGGGGAGAUAUGUGUAAUUUUGAAAUAUUAAAGGGAAUUUUGUGAAAUUGUUAGAAACCUCAAGGGAGGUUUUCGAAAUUACCCUUUUUGUUUUCAAGCUAUGAGAGCUUUUGAAUUUGAGCAUAUUUUUUUCUCUUCUUUUGUUCCUAAUGGUGGUAUUUAUCACUGCAUGAUGAUCCAAAUUAUUUAAAGCAUUUCAAUUGUUUUGAAAGAUUUUUUUAAACUUAAUGCAUUUUUCGAUAAAGUACUUAAGACUUGGUAUUAAACUUUGUUUUUCAAAUAUGUAUCCACAAUAAUCUCACAUGUUGCUAUUGAUUUUUUUCCCUUUUUUCCCUCCCUUCUUUCGGAGAUAUAUCUUGCUACAGUAUUGCAUUAAAUUCUUGCAGAUAAUUUGCUUUGAUAUUGUCUUCAACAACAUGCAUAGCUAUCUGUUUACUUGUAUGAGUAAUUUAGAAAGAAUAAAGUAUCUUUAAGAAAAGAAUGGAAGUCUUUGAUAAAAAUGAAAAAAAAAAGAAAAGAAGAAAAGUUUGAAAGUCUUAAGUGGACUAAAUAGGUUAUGUUGGGAAUAUGAUUUAGAAGUGUAUUACUGUGGGAAUGCUUUUGGAAAACAAAUUUAAUUUAGAAACAACUUCCUCACGCCAAUUCCACUAGAUACCACGUUGUCAUCUUCCCCUAACAAAUGUCACUACAACAAAAAUGAUCUUUCCUGACAUGUUUAUAAGGACACUUGCUGGUUUAUGUCAUUAUAGCACCCUAUUAUGACACUUAUUAGUAAUUCAAUAAUAUAUACUCUAAUUUUUUUAUUUUAUCAGAUAUAAAAGUAAUAAUGUACCUUUAGACUGCCUAACAUAACACUUGAAAAAAUGUGAGAUGUACCAAAAAAAAAAAGAAAGACACAAAACAUCAUCAUUUGAUUUUGGCGGAAGAUUCAUUUGCUCUAAAACACUCAAAAUUUUCAUUCUACCGGCCAAAACACUUGGUCAGAGCACUUGCUCAAAAUUUUCAUUUUCCAGCUCCACCAUUUCCAGCCCCCCCUCCCCCUCUCUCUGUGAAGGUGUUGGGUGUACUGCUCAGGCCAAGAAUAGGCAUUCAAAUGGACAAGGUCGCUGGCCUGUUAAAUCUGCUAGCUUCAUUUUGGAUUUGCUCAAGAAUGCUGAAAGCAAUGCAGAGGUUUGUCUAUGUAGGUGAAAGGCUUGGAUCUGGAUUCACUUUUCAUUUCUCACAUUCAAGUGAAUCAAGCACAUAAACAAAGACGCCGCUACAAGAUGAGAUUCGUCUCACUACUUUUUUGUUAAACAGGGUUCUUUGUUGGCAAGAACUCUUUGGGGUUUUUAGGAAUCUCUCUGCUGAUCCCUCAGAGGAUUUUUCUCCCCAACCCUUAUGUUCGAAGCCCCUCAUGCCUCUAGCCUCAUUGUCAAAACCUAGGCUUUGUUGCUCUCUUUUGGCAUUUGGGCUUUGGGGUUGGAGAUGGAGGUCUUGUGGUCUAGUAGUGUUGGAAUGGAAAGCCUUCUGAGCUCUGCAAUGGUGGCUUUGUUGGCUGAGAUUUCAACUUCGGUUGUAAAGUCUCUGUCUUGCCUACUUUUAGUGGUAAAUUCCAACUCCCUCUCUCUCUCUCUCUCUCUAUUUUAUUGCAGAUUUUUUUCCUUUUUUUAUGUAUAAACAUAUUUUCUUUGUGGGUUCUGUUUGUGGUCAAUUUUGAUUGACUUUGUGCAAAGAUUGAAUUUUUUUUAUGUAAAUUUGUUAAACAGGGUUCUGUGUUGAUCUUUGUGUUCAGUAAUGUUUUAAUUUUUGAUAGUGGUAUGAUGUUUUUAUUCUACUUUUUGUUCCUUACAAGGUCCUAAAUGUUUUUAUGCGGUUUUGGAUAAUGUCAGGGUGUUUCAAGCUUCUGAUCAGAAGAUUUUGAAUGAAAAAAUUUGGCCCUUUUUAGAAAGUAAACUUUUGUAGUAUAGAUAUGUAUACUGGGUAUUGAGAUGUGUAUUCUGCUGUCGGUGAUAAUUUUGUUUUCCUUUUGACUACAAAGUGGAAACAUAUGUAUUCUGGGUUUGGGUUUGGGAACUUGGGUGAAGCGGCACAAAUUUUCAUCUGUUUGUUCUCUUCUGGGGCUUUUGCAUUGCUGGUAUUGGUCAACUGAUACAUUAGUUAAAUACUCCUGGAGGGCUUUGCUAAUGCAAAAUUCUUAUUGAUAUCCAGUUAAUCUUCGUUGUCUUCAAGUUGAAAAUAAAAUAGUCAUUUUGAUAUGGGAUAUAUGCACCAUCUGUUGUAUCAGUACAAGGUAGAUGGCACUGGGAUUUAAUUGGUGCAAUUUUGCUGAUGUUUCUCUAUGCAUCUUGAUUACUAGCCAGUAUACUUUUCUUUCAUGACUUUAUUCAUCAAGGAUUUGUAUAACCAUAGGCCAGUAGUUUACUUAGAGUGAUUGAGGGAAACUUUUCAUCUAUAGGACAUUAGCCUUCUAUGGUCCCAACUCCCAAGCAUCAAGACACUUGCGUAAUGAUUGCUACUUAGCAUUGAAUGACUGUUAAUCUCAUAAAUUGUAUUGAUUUGCUUUGGGCCUUGAUUAACUUUACAUGUUUCAGAUAUCUAAAUCCUUUCUUAUUAUCAUUCUGUGACUGGCUUUGAAGCCCUCAGGGUAGGAAGAAAGCUUCAAGAAUUGAGGUAGUUAUUUGGCCCUGUUAAGUAGUAGGUCCGGUGACUUUUACAAACAUAAAUUUAUUAGGUGAUUGUUGGGUUAUGGCUAGCUCAUGUUUGAGGAGCUAAACAUGUCAAAGUGCUUGUGCCUAAUAACAGGUUAUAUAAUCUUUAUGUAACACACAUCAUUGUAAAAAAAGUUUGUUCAGAGGUUAUAUAAAAUUUUGGGGAACUUCCUACCCCCUCACUACUUGAGGUGAACCACUGUAGCAAAUCUGCAGAGGAUUCUGCUAAAGAACUUGGAGAGGAAAUUGAAGGUCUGAAGGUUGUCAUGAGAAGUGAUAUUUAGGUGAAAAUAUCAUCAAAGAUUCUGGAUUUCUAAUUUCUAUGUGCACCAAUGAGUUGGAAGUUAGAAAUAAUUCUUGUUACUGAUUUUCUACUGUCAGUGGUAUACUAUUCUCUGUACUUUAGAAUUUUAUCAGUCUUUCCCCUUUCACCUUUUCUUUAGCAUUACAUGCUAUGUUGUAAUUUUUGGUUGUAUGCAGUUCCUUUUGCAUUGUGGAUAUUGUCCUUGCAUUUUGUGAUGAUGGUAAUCCCAUGCAAUGUGCAUGAUGUCAUUAAUUCCAUUCUAGAGUGUAUUACCACUUCUAGUCCUGUUUGAGCACUAAGGGUGUUUAAUUUCUUGACAAAAGGAAGCAGACCAACCGUAUACAAGGACUAAAUUUCUGGAUAUGACUUUCAGUUUAUAUAAUAGAUUAUUAUUUCAACUUACACGUAGGUUGGACUUUCUGCUGAUUUUUUCUUAACUGUAUAUGUGAAGCAGAAAUUGAAGACGCGUGUGGUGAGGAAAAAUGUAAAUCCUGAGUGGAAUGAAGACCGUACACUAUCAAUUGCAGAUCCAAGCAUCCCAAUCAAGCUAGUAAGUAUCAUACUUUUUUUAAGUUUAUUAUAGUGGUGCUUUUUGAAUAAGGUGCAGUUAUGAACUGUAAAGUUUUUUGCCUUUUUCGAAAUUGAGAAACAUUGGGUUCAUUCUCAAUACAAAAUGAAUUGUAUGACGAGAGUUGUUGCACCACUGAUGCUCAAGUAGGAACAAAGUCUUCUGUUUGAAAUAACUUAUGUUGGAUUAGUGUUUGCAGUCCUUGAAAAGUUUAGUUUCUUGUUGCGAAGGCUGAAAAAUAAAAUCUACAUUAUGUUCUGCGAAGGAUUAAGGCAUAUUGAUCAUUGAUUGACUCUAUCCCCAGAUGCAUAGCUCCAGUUAGAUAAUUGGGUUCCUGUCAUCUGCGUGGUCAAGGUCCAAAUUUUUGCUGAUGCAUUAUUUACCAAUGUUUUAAAAACCAACCGGUGAAGUGAAAGGGUCGAGGUUCAACCGGUCGGACCGGUUUAACCUCGGUUCAAUGAAUUUUUUUAAAAAUAAUUUAUAUAAAUAUAUAUAUGUACAAAAUAAGACAUGUAAUGGACUAAUUUAAUAUUUUAUAUGAUGAAAAGUUUACUGUUUUUUAAUAACUUGGAUUUUUAAAAAUAAAUUUUUUAAAUUAUAAGUUAAAACAAAUAUAUUUCAUCUCAAUUUCAAUUAUAUCUAAAUCCAACCCCAAAAUAUCACAAUAUUUUGAAAUUAUACAAAAUUCAUGUAUCUGAGAAUUUAGAUAUUAUGAAUUUAAAUUUUAAUUUACGUUUUGAGAUUUAGAUAUUGCAAUUUAAAAAAGAAAAUUUGGAGUUCGAAGGAAAUCAAGAAAAUCGAAAAUAGAAAUGUAAACUUGAUAAGAAACAAAAAAUAAGAUAAAAGUGAGUGGUUGUGGCAUUAAAUAAUUUGGGUUAAAAAAAUUCUUUUUUAACUUUUUUCAAUUUAAUGGACAAAAACAAAAUUAAAAGAUGAAAGAAAACAUUAAUAAAUUAAAAAUAAAGAGGUUUGAUUAAAAAGGGAGUGACAAAGAAAAGAUGAUAGAGAGAGAGAGAGAGAGAGAGAGAGAGAGAGAGAGUUGAAAAUUAAAAAGAAAGAGCCAUGAGGGGAUGAGAUUUUGUAAGAAAAAUGGAAAAAAGAAAUAUGAAUAUUUGCUUUAUAUAAAUAAGUUAUAAAAAAAAACUAAUAAGAUGUGAUGGUGCAACGGUUAAUACAUUGGUCUUUUAUUACAAAGGUCUUGGGUUCGAAUCUUGAUUGUUGCAUUUUGCAAAACUAAAAAAAAAAAAAAAAAAAAAGGGAAAGCUGAAAACCGGAAAACCGCCGGUUCAAUCCGGUUCGGCGGUUUUCACGGUUCAACUGGUCUUUGACCGGGUUUCUAGCAAAGUCAACAAUGUCAUUGAACCGGACCGGUGCCAUGGCCGGUUCGCGGUUCAACCGGUCUAACCGGCCGGUCCGGUCCGAUUUUCAAAACAUUGUUAUUUACUUAAUUUUCUUACCAUGUUAAAGCUAAUUCAAUCAGCAUAGAUACUUAGCCUCGCUCUUAAUGGUGUGCAAUGCAGCAAGUUUUUGACAAGGAUACAUUCAGUCUUGAUGACAAAAUGGGAGAUGACAAAAGGAUUAGGCAUUUAUUUUCUAUCUAUCUAAAUUUGCUUCUUGGCUUUUACUUUAUUAGAUGUUUACUUUCAUUCCCAAUAAAGCUGUCUGAUAAUUAAAAAAAAAAGGAAGUGGAGCCCGGACAUUAGAUUAUUCUCAUCAAGUGGAAUCUAGGAAUGUCUGUCACAAAUAAUUAUUUGGCUCUCUAGCUAUAACUUUGGAGUUGCUUGCAACUUUAGCAUGACUUUGAUUCUUGUACUUGUUGGAUCUUUGAUUCCUAUUUUUGAAGCUUCGUUUCUGCUUAUAGCUCAAACUAAAAUAUUUAUGGUUAGGUCUAUUUCUUAUACCAAAGUACUUUGUGCACAGGUGGUACCAAUUAAAGAUUGAUCGUGUCUUUGUGGUUAUGACUGAAUGCUCUCAUUUGGUUCGAAAGUUUGGAAGCUAUUACAAGUUCUUUCAACUUUUUAUAUUAGAAGAGUCUUUUACUUUAAUUUUAGCUAGUGGCAUUGUUUAACAUUGCUAUUCUACUUUAAACAACUUUUUCAAUUAGUAUGUUAGUACUUGUUGUUGAUUUCUAGUUCAAUAAAUGAUAUUUGAGCAUUGAUUUUUGCUUUUAAAUUACUACAUGCAUUCUGUUCUUUGGGAUAGUUUUACAAGUCCUUUGUGUAUCUGAUUGACGGACUGUAUAGCAGGGAGCACAACCAAGUUGCUUCUUUAUUUAAAAAAAAAAAGAAAAAACUCUUGGCAGUUAAAAGUGUCCGCAUAGCUCAACAACUUCGACAAUAUCCUGACACUUUUGAUUGUCAGGAAAAGAAAUUUUUGUUGGCAGGUGGAAUGUUAUAACAGCAUAGUUUUCCUGACACUUUGAAUAGUACGAGCCUAUCCCCACAUUGGAAGGGACAACACUCGUCCGAGGUGUGAGGAAAGGUAAAGUGUCAGUUUAGAUAAUCUAUACUGACAUUUUUAAAUGCCGUUAAAGGUCAUUUUUGUUGUAGUGUGUCUGCCAAUCUUUAUGGUUUUGAAUUGUUCAUCAUAGUUUCAUACGUUGCCAAUCCUUUACUAUUGUUACUGUUUCAAGUUCUUUUCAGUGGCGGAUUUACACUGGGGGCACGGGCCUCCACUGCCCCCUUAAAUUUCUAUAAUAUCUAUAAAAAUUUGAUAUAAUUUCAAGUGUGCUUCUUGGAGUUUUGUAUAUCUAUUGAUUAUAUGCUUUUAAAGUUUUCUUUGAUUUUACCUAUUGUUAUAAUUAUCUUAGAAAGGGUUUUUUCAAUUAUGAAUAUAGUGAAGAAUCGGUAACAAAAUAGAAUGGAAGACACUUGGAUGAAUAAUUGUUUAGUUAUUUAUAUUGAGAAAAAUAUACUUUGUGAAAUUCAAAAUGAAAAGGUUGUAAACUGUAAUCAAAAUAUGAAAACUCGUCAUGAGCAAUUGUAAAUGAUUUAGUUUGCUUUUUGAAAUAAAAUUAUUAUUACAUUAAUAAUUUUAAGUUUGUCUUUUUAUGUUUUUCAUGAAAUAUAUACAUCAUUUGUACUUGUUGGUGAAUUUUUUUCCUUAAAAAACUAGAAAAAAAAAGUAGGUAAAAAAUUUUAGAGUUGCUUUUGCCCCUACUGAACAUUUUUUCUGGCUCCGCCACUGGUUCUUUUCAGUAUAACGUCCUUAUAAAAGUAAGUUAGACAAAACCAGGAAAUAUGAGAAACUGAUUGAGGAAAGAUGAAUUCAACUUUGUCUCCACUUUUGAAGGAAGGCCAAUGUGUAGGGGGUUAGGAUUGAACCCUCUGGCCUAUUUUGAGUCCCUGUAAAUUGUUUUUCUUUUACUUCUUUCUGUCGACCACCAAAGUAUGUAAAACUGCAAUAAGGUUCAAAUAUAAUUCAAAAAAUACGAGUUAUGGUCUUGGAUAAAUUUUUUCAGACCAAAUGGUUCUUUGGGUCUUUGCUUAAGUAAUCGUUACGAAGUGUAAUAUGGUAACUUUGUAUGUAGUUAACUAAUUUUUGCUUAAUUAUUUUCCCAAAAUUUUGGUUCACCUUUCUUAUAGGGACAUAGAUAUGAUUUCAUACUCCUAUUUGGAAGCCUAAUAAAAUAAAGGACUCUUGACUUGAAAAAAAGCUUUAUAAAGAAAUAAUUUUAAUAUAUGUAAUUUUUUAUUAAUUGUACACACAUUAGGUAUAUGCCUUAAUCGCAAUACAUAACAAGAGGUAACAGUGAUGGACACAUGAUUUCAAUUUUGAGGGGAAAGGGAAGGAGGAAAACAAUCAAACAACGAAUAACAAAAAAUAAUCAAAACAAAUGAUGCACGCUAACUUGAAAUCAAAGUCCUAAAACCAAAGUUUAAUAGACAAUAACUAUAUACUAAAUUUUUUAAUAAUAAGAGACAAAACAUAAAACAAAAGAUGAGAAUUAAUGCCUUUGGAUAGGGAGAAUUAAUGCUGGUAUCAGAGCCAGAGGGGGAAGUAGGGAGAUGGCUAUCUUUCUUUACUUAUUAUGAUGUUGUUAGUGUAGAUCUACAAGUUUAUAUCUUCCUGAUGAGAUUGUUUAACUUCAUGAUUGCCAUCUUUCUUUAUUGAUGAUGUUGCUAGUGUAGAUCUACAAGUUUAGAUAUGUCGGAUGAGAUUGGUUAACUACGUGAUUACCAUCUAAUGUAUUCAAACUUAUUAUAAUUUUGCUAGUAUUGAUUACAUGAUUUUGGAUUUGUCUAAAGGGCAUGGAACCUGUAAUUGCUAGCAUCCGGUCCAGGUAAGACCAUGGGAUUUGGAACUGUAGGGAUGUUAGGGUUCUUAGGGUGCGUGCUCCAGGAUGGUGAAGUGCCAAAAAUAUCAGAUCUAGUGUUAAUGGAUUUUUACUAUCAAUCUUAUGAUUUUGUUUGGAAAUAUGGCCAUCAUGCAUAGUUAAUCAUUCUCAAAGGAUUUAGAUCUAUUCUUGUAGCUUUAUUAUUAUCUUUAUUAUGAUGGAAAUAUGGUCGUCAUGUAUAGUUAAUCUUUUUCAAAAGAUUAGAUCUUUUCUUGUAGUUUUCACACUAUCCUUUAUAAUCUAUUUAGAAAAAUGGUUAUCCUCCAUGGAUCCCGAAGGAUUCUGUGCCAAAGGGAAGAGAAUUAUAAGUUGUUUAAAUAUUUAUUUAUUUACUUGUUUUUGCUAAUGGCCUCAUCUGUUAAAACAUACUUUAUUUCUCCUAGUUCUUCUUUAAACAACAAACCUUUAAAUGACCUUCAAACUAGAAUUGCUCGGAUAGAGCAAUCAAUCCUUAUUCAAAGAAAAUUAGAAAACAAAUCUUCUGAAUUUCAGAUUGACAAAGAAAAACUUAGAUCUGAAUUAUAUGCAAACCACAACUAUUUUAAAAGAAAACAAUUUUUUGAUAAAUAUUAGGGAGAAACCCGAAAAAAUAUACAACAAAACUUUUAUGACUUUUUAAGAAAAAUAAAACAAAAUAUUUAUUUCUUUGACUGGUAUGAGUCUCAAACAUUUCAAGUAUUCACAUCAAAAACUCAGGGUUCCACAUUAGAUCCCGUGGAUCCAAUCCAAACUAAGCCAAAAUUAGAAGAUCUAUCCAUAGAUCUGUCUCAAACAACCCAUACAAUAGAAUCCUCUCAUAAAUCUUCAGAAUUCUUAGAUCCAUCAAAAUUAAUUCAUAUAAAUCCAGCAGAUAUAGAUCUACCAAACUCUCCCGUAGAUCUAUCAAAACAAAUAGACUUACCAAAUCAAGAGUCUAUUGAAACUUCAAAACUUUUGAUAUCUGGUCAACCAAUAGAUAAUACCACUAGUCUUGAUAUUAGAAAAGACAUAGGAAACUUCUUAGAUAAAGGAUAUUCCACAAUAACUGUCUUAACCAAAACUCAAGAUACUGUCAAACCUAUCACUAUUAAAAAUCUUCAAACAGAAAUUGCUUCUCUCAAAAGAGAAGUUAAAAAUAUCGAAAAUACAGCCCAAUCAAAUACUGAAGAAGAUAUUAUUAAAAAUCCUUCUUAGUCAAACAUAAUAUCUUAUAAAAAACAUUUUGUUCUUAUAAGACUGGUUAUUAGUGACAAUUAUAUUACAGAAACAGAAGCUUUAUUUGAUAUAGGAGCUGAUCUCAGCUGUAUUCAAGAAGGUCUUAUUCCAAAAAGGUUUUUUGAAAAAACGAAAGAAAACCUUGGAGGAGCUAAUGGUUCCCAAUUAAACAUUCAGUUCGAACUUUCAAACGUUCAAGUCCAAUUUUCAUCUGUAUCCAUCAAAGAAACCUUCCUCUUAGCAAAAGACCUAAUCAACAAUGUUAUUCUUGGAACAACUUUUGUAACCAAACUUAUUCCAUACUUGACCACUGAUGAUGGGAUUAUACCCCAAAAAUACGGUCAAGAUGCUCUCCUACCAUUUUCCAGAAAAACAAUUCAAAAAACACUAAAUUAUCUGUCUCUCAAACAUAGCCAAAUCAAUUUCUUGAAAGAAGAAAUUGUCUACAAAAGGAUAGAUGAGCAGCUAAAGAAACCAGAAAUUCAACAAAGAAUCCAGAAUCUGCAAACAAGAAUCUAAGGGAUGGUUUGUGCAGAUUCCGAAUGCAUUUUGGACAAGGAAACAACAUACUGUUCAUCUCCCUUAUGAACCUGACUUUGAGGAAAAAAAUAUUCCAACAAAAGCCAAACCUAUACAGAUGAACCAGGACCUACUCCAACAUUGCCAAAAGGAGAUUAAUGACCUCCUAUCCAAAGGCAUUAUUAGCCCUAGCCAAUCUCCAUGGAGCUGUCCAGCAUUCUAUGUCAACAAACAAUCAGAGAUUGAAAGAGGAGUUCCAAAGCUUGUAAUCAAUUACAACGCUUUGAAUAAAGCUCUUCGGUGGAUUAGAUAUCCUAUACCAAACAAGAAGGAUUUACUUCAAAGGCUUUAUUCUGCCAAGAUAUUCUCAAAAUUUGAUAUGAAGUCAGGGUUUUGGCAGAUUCAGAUUCAUAUCUCAGACAGAUACAAAACAGCAUUCACAGUACCAUUUGGACAUUACGAAUGGAACAUGAUGCCCUUUGGACUUAAAAAUGCUCCUUCUGAAUUUCAAAGGAUUAUGAAUGAGAUAUUCAGUCUUUAUUCCUCAUUCAUCAUUAUCUACAUUGAUGAUGUUUUGGUAUUCUCAGAAAACAUUGAACAACACUUCAAACACCUGAAUACCUUCCUUCAUAUUACCUAGAAAAAUGGCCUUGUUGUCUCUCAAAAGAAGAUCAGCCUUUUUCAAACCAAAAUUAGGUUUCUUGGACACCAUAUCCACCAAGGAACUAUUACCUCCAUCAAUAGGUCAAUUCAGAUUGCUGACAAAUUUCCUGACCAAUUCUUGACAAACAACAACUCCAAAGAUUCUUGGGUUGUUUAAACUAUGUCUCAGAUUUUAUUCCAAACCUUAUCAAUAUAGCAAAACCUUUAUAUGAUAGAUUAAAAACUACUCCACCCUUGUGGACAGAUAUCCAUACAGAAACAGUCAGAAAAAUUAAAACCCAAGUUAAAGCCAUUCCUUGCUUAGUCCUUCCAGAUCCAACAAUUCCAAAAAUUGUUGAGAUGGAUGCCUCUGAUCUAGGAUAUGGUGGUAUUUUUAAACAAACAAAAAAUAAUAAAGAACAGAUAAUUGCCUUUCCUUCCAAACAAUGGAACAAUUCUCAACAAAACUAUUCUACUAUCAAAAAGGAAAUCUUAGCAAUAGUUUUAUGUAUUACAAAAUUUCAAGCUAAACUACUAAACCAGAAGUUCCUACUUUGGAUUGAUUGUAAGUCAGCUAAAGAUGUUUUACAAAAAGAUGUCAAAAACCUUGCCUCUAAACAAAUCUUUGCAAGAUGGCAAGCAAUUUUAUCAAUCUUUGAGUUUGACAUUGAAUAUAUUAAAAGAUCUUCAAAUUCUAUUCCUGAUUAUCUAACUCGUGAAUUCUUGCAGGGAAGAUAAGAUGCCCAGGAAAAAAAAUACAGCAGGAAAAAUCCCCAGACAAACCAGAACCCUCUUCUCAAACAACCAAACAAGACUCCUCAAGUUCUUCUAGUUCAUCCCAAACAGAAAAGAAAUUAUCUUCUUCAAACUCACCCUCAAAUAGAUUUCAAAUUCUUUCCUCACCUCAACCCAUAUCCAUAGCCUCUCCAAAAAUAUGGGCUGGCAUAGAAGAGAAAGAAGAUGAGAAACAAAAAUAUUUUGAUCAUUUCAAACAAUGGGUUGAAUCUCAUGGAUAUCAACCUAACUCACUAGGAUAUCCUAUUUGGGAUACACCAAGCCAUAUUAAAUUAGUUUUAGACGAAAAUACUAUGCCCAAACCUAUUAUUAUCCAGGAAUCUAAGACCCUGGCUAACUAUGAACCAAAACCAAACAAAACUUCCUGCCCAUAUGUAAAAUCAAGUAACCACAUUCCUGUGGUCCAAACCGAACUUGAUUAUUGGCAUAAUGACCCCAACAUACUAGCCCGAACUGUUCUUCCAGAUACUUACAAUUUCAUACCUCAAACUCUUACCAAGACACUUGAAUAUUACAAACUCAUUCUCUCGGAUUCAAAGUAUCUAGUUCUUAAACCCCAUGACACAGAGAUGAAAGACAAAUAUGGAAAUCCUACUGGAAAAUACAUCAAUACUCAUUCCAGUGCCCAAAUUCUCAAGGUUAUCAAGCCAUCAAAAUGGGGAACAAACCUAAGCAAACCUAAACCUUUUACUACUUCCUUUAAUCCCCCAAGAUAUACUUACUGGGAUUAUAAGGCAGUCUGGUUCUAUACAUUUACCUUCCAAAAUGAAUUGAACCAACAUUCUUAUCUUUUUUAUUUUUUGAAAACAAACAAUUAUGAUUUUCCAGCAUGGUGGAAAGCACUUGGACCUAAUCUGGAAUUCUUUCUCCAGAUAUCCAACAAAGCUACAAACUAUUCAAAGAAAGAUUUGAAACCCCAACAACUAUAUACCAAUCAACCUGCACUUCUUUUCUAUAUUCUCGAUAGCAUGGGUCUACCAGUGGAAAUAUGAAUACGUGCAGCAAACACAGCUCCCGCUAUUAUUAGUCCAACAAGGAUAUUCAAAAUGGUGGCCAACAUUCAACAAAAAUUUCAUUCAACCAGCAAACAUUCAGGCAUGGUUUCAGAGGAAUCCUCGCUCAAUAAAAUCAGGAGACAGCCAGACAAGCCAGUUUCUGCAACAGAAAUCUAUCUCAGCAGCCAAACUGGCAUCAAUCAGUGACAAACAAGAGUAUAUCAAACAACUCAAAGAUAUACUUUUACAACUAGAUCAAUCAAAAGAAACGCCAAACAAAGAUAAGGCCUCCAGCUCUGAAACAAAACUUGCUGAAUAUGAAGGCCCAGAAAAUGAAGAUGGUUGUUAUGGAAUUUUCUCACAAAUUCCAUAAAGUCACAAAACAAUGAACAAGAAAGAAGAAAACAAGAAAAAACAAUUUCACUGUAGCACCGGAAGCAUUGUAGUAAUCCGGCAAGUUACUGUGCAAACACGGCAAUAAAAGACAAACAUUGCACUGUAGCGCGCACUGUAACGGCACUGUAGCAAAUCACUGUAACGAGUACUGUAGCACUACGAAAAUUUUGUCAUAAAUACCCCUCAAACCCAACACCAUUUCUACACCAUUUCUUCAAGACUGCUUCUCUCUCUAGCUUGAAGAAACUCUCCUCCCUCUCUUUACAAACAAGUUCUUGGUUUUUAUAUUCUAGUUUUUAGAAUCAAACAAAGGAGCUUGCACAAGCUUCAUACCUUGUAAGUCUUCUUACAUUCUCAUAUUCAAUAUUAUUCAAUCUAAUGGUCGGCUGAGCCACCUAUAUUCAUAUUCAUUUGUUUUUAUUUAUUUUGUUUAUACUAAUCAUUCAUGGCCGGUUAUACCACCUGAACUAACAUUCUAACUUGUUUUUAUAUUUUAUGUACUUUCCGUUCAUACAUGGCUAGUUUAACUGCCUACACUAAUUAGUGGCAGUCCGACUGCAACCCACAUCCUAAUUUUUAUGCUUUCAAUUCCCUCUGCUUUAUUUAUUUUCCUGGUUUAAGGGGCUAAUCCCUCGUCCCGUCUGAUAUCAGAGCCAGAGCGGGAAGUGGGGAGAUGGCUAUCUUUCUUUACUUAUUAUGAUAUUGUUAGUGUAGAUCUAUAAAUUUAUAUCUUCUUAAUGAAAUUGCUUAACUUUAUGAUUACCAUCUUUCUUUAUUUACGAUGUUGCUAGUGUAGAUCUACAAGUUUAGAUCUAUCGGAUGAGACUAGUUAACUUCGUGAUUACCAUCUAAUGUAUUCAAACUUGUUAUAAUUUUGCUAGUAUUGAUUACAUGGCUUUAGGUCUGUCUAAAGGGCAUGGAACCUGUAAUUGCUGGCAUUCGGUCCAGGUAAGACCAUGGGAUUUGGCACUGUAGGGAUGUUAAGGUUCUUGGGAUGUAUGCUCCAAGAUGGUGAAGUGCCAAAAGAUCAGAUCUAGGGUUAAUGGAUUUUUACUAUCAAUCUUAUGAUUUUGUUUGGAAAUAUGAUCGUCAUGCAUAGUUAAUCUUUCUCAGAGGAUUUAGAUCUAUUCUUGUAGCUUUAUUACUAUCUUUAUUAUGAUGGAAAUAUGGUCGUUAUGUAUAGUUAAUCUUUUUCAAAAGUUUAGAUCUUUUCUUGUAGUUUUCACACUAUCCUUUAUAAUCUGUUCAGAAAAAUGGUUAUCUUCCAUGGAUCCCGAAGGAUUCUGUGCCAAAGGGAAGAGGAUUAUAAGUUUUUUAAUUCAUUCACGUGUUUAAUUAUUAAUUUAUCUUGUCUUUGCUUAUGGCUUCAUUUGUUAAAACAUACUUUAUUUCUCCUAGUUCUUCUUUAAACAACAAACCUUUAAAUGACCUUCAAACUAGAAUUGCUCGAAUUGAUCAAUCAAUCCUUAUUCAAAGAAAACUAGAAAACAAAUCUUCUGAAUUCCAGAUUGACAAAGAAAAACUUAGAUCUGAAUUCUAUGCAAACCACAACCAUUUUAAAAGAAAACAAUUUUUUGACAAAUAUUAGGGAGAAACUCGACAAAAUAUACAAAAAAACUUUUAUGAUUUUUUAAGAAAAACAAAACAAAGUAUUCAUUUCUUUGACUGGUAUGAAUCUCAAACAUCUUAGGUGUCCACACCAGAACUCAAAAUCCCAGUCGAAAAUAUUUCAAGACCUGCAUCUUCUAUGUCAAAAACCAUUGAAACUCAGGUUUUUACAACAAAUCUUGUAGAUCUGGUCCAAACUAAGCCAAAACCCUUAGAUCCCUCCAUAAAUCUAUCUCAAACAAUUCCUAUACUAGAAUCUUCUCAUAAACUUUCAGAAUCCAUAGAUCCAUCAAAAUCAAUCCAUAUAAACCCAGCCGAUAUAGAUCUACCAGAUUCCCCUGUGCAUCUAUCAAACCCAAUAGAUUUACCAAACCAAGAGUCUAUUGGAAUUUCAAAACCUUUGAUAUCUGGUCAACCAAUGAAUAAUUCUGAUAAGAUCACUAGUUUUGACAUAGGAAAUUCCUUUGACAUAGGAUAUUCCACAAUAAAUGUCUUAACUAAAACUCAACCUAUAAUUGUUAAAGAUCCUCAAGAAAAAUUUAUUGAGGAAAAAGUCCAAAUAGUUAUCUCUUCUCAAUCUCUUACCAAACCUAUGGUUAUUAAAGAUUUACAAACAAGUAUUAUUUCUUCUAAACAAGUUGGAGUUCAGAAUUCUUUACAAUUAUCUAUCUCAAACUUGUCCCAUGAUUUUCCUUAUAGCAAACUUAUUUCUCGGGAAAAUUCAAAAGAAAAUUCUGCAAACAAUAAUCAGGAAGAAAUUUCUAAAUUAUCUAUAUAUUCUUUCAUAACUUACAAAUAGUUGCAGCUUGAUAAGUUAAAGGUACUUAAUAUCGAGUACCCAUGCCUCAAGGUGGAAUCUUACACAGAGGAAACAUGGUUAUCCAACAAAUACAAGGGACAAACUGAGAAGACAUGGAUCUUCAACAAAUUAAAGAGACAGUCUCAAAUACAAAGAGUAUCUGAAAAAUCAGAUCUAUCAAAAUUGGCUAGAUCUAGAAUCAAACCCAUCAAAUGGAGUCAGAAAAAUCAGAUAUUCAAGAAGAAUCAACACAUCCAAUCUUUAUAUUCUUGGAAGGAUAGGAUUGAUCAUCCCUCCACUGAAAAUACAAAAAAGCAAGCUAUCAGACGCAUCCAGUGGAAAAUUAGACGCAUCGGGUAAAAAACUCAGACAAGAUCUUCUCUGAACAAAUCAGUCACCAAACAAGAGAUUCAGGCAGAAUCUGCUUCAACAAAAUUGGUCAUUCAUGAAAUUGAAAUCAGGAUUGACCAAGAAGCAGCCUAUACCCAUGCCAAGAAGAUUCUUACAAUCUAUCCAGAAAAAUACCUUUUCAAUCAUUUUACCCAAUUCAUCCCAAAAACUCGUCUUCCAAAAACCUACUUCUCAAACUUGCUUUUCAAACCUUUAGAAGACCAAAAAUUUUAGAUUGAACAAUACUUUCCAAUUCCUUUACCCAAACAAGAGUUCGAAAUUCAAAGAACUUCCUUGAUCAAUACCAUACAAAACAAUUAAGGGUCUUCUAUUCUAAAUAAAUCAUAUUCAAACUCUUUUUUACAAAAUUAUACUCCCAACCGAAAAAACAUCCAAAAUCUAUACCACCCUCAAAUGAUUCAUUCUGAUAUUUUCAGAAUAAAACCCAAUAUCCUUCAACACUCAAACAAUAAGGAAGACAUCUAUGAAUGGAGCAUAGAUGGAAUAUUCAAAUACAAUCUUCCGAUGACAUCUCAACAGAUGACAACCACAGCUAUGUUUAAUCAAACAUUACAUAGCUGCAAACAACUGACUGCUCAUAUCCUAUUGAUAGGAUUUAUUGGGUAAUUCAAAGGAUGGUGGGAAGAACAUCUCAUCAUUGGAGACAGAAAUAUUAUUCACAACAUUCUAGUCACAACCAACAAGGAUGAAUAUGAUCUACAAGAUGGGAACAUCCUGCCAGAAACAAUGUUAUUCAAUAUCACAUCAAUUGGAUAUAUCCUAGGUAUAUUCACAUUUGAUGAUAAUUCUGGAAUAGUCUAAGAGGAUUCAUCAAUACUAUUCCCAAGCUCCAGAAGAUAUCAAUAUAUAUUCCUAAUGAAAUCAGACAAAGACAAAGUUCACAACAAAGAUUUCUUCAAAGGCCUUCUUGAAUCCCAAUACAAGAAGAUUAAGCCUUGGGAAGAAACAAACUUGUGGACAAAACCAACAAGCAAGCUGGUUUCCCAAAUCUACAGAAGAUCAGUUCCAAGGAAAAAGUCUUGGAUCCUUUUACAAAUAGUUUGGGCCAUUGAGCUACCAUACAAGGCCCAACAAACAGCUCAAAUCUAUAGAAAGACUUGAAAACCCUUUCUCUUCUACAAAACAACCAGCCUUAUUCAUUUCCAAAACCCAUCAACCUAGACAUAUAACCCUACUGUCAAAUCCUCUAAUCGAAUCAGAUAUUAUCCAAUCUGAGCAAAAGGAAGAUUAUGACAAAUACAUUUCAACAUCUUUUUUCCCAAUCACCAGUGAUGAAGAUGAAAAAGAAGGAAAUGUGGUCAAUGAGAUGACACAAAAUCAGAACCUUCUUUUCAGCAUCAUUGAAGAUAUUCUUGAAAUAAGACAACCAUACUUGAACCAAAUUUCGAAUCCUUUAGAGGGUCUUUUCUUUGACAUUCCAGAAAAAAUCCCUAGACAAAAUUCUUGUAAACCAAAAACUUAUGGUUUCCAGGAAAUUUUUGAUAGAUUCCUUAUUCAACCUAUGUCCUUACAAAAAGAAACCUUUAACCCUAGGAACCUAAAUAACAAUUCUUAGUUAUUUCAGGAAGACUUGAUCCAUAUACGAUUACUAAUUAUUGAUAAUUAAGCAAUCGAAACAAAAUCCCUAGUUGAUACAGGGUCAGACCAAAACUAUAUUCCUGAAAAUCUUAUUUCAAUCCAACUUUUAGAAUUCCUCAGAAUAACCAAUAAUCCUAUACUUGAUACUAAAUUCAAAUUUCCAAAUAUACAAAACCAAUUCUCAAAUACCUUCUUUUUUGACCGAGUAUUUGAUUAACCAUAUCAUUUUAGGAGGAUCAUUUCUCAACCAAUUGACUUCUUUCCAAAUUAUCUCUAAAGGGAUAAUAUCCCAACUUUUUAAACUAACUAAUUCUUUUUGCAGAAACAUGGCAGGUGAAGGAAGUUCAUCAUCAUACAAUCCAGAAGAGAAAAACUGUCUCUUCAAUGGAUACUCUACUUGGCAACAAACCUCUCAUGGAGAAAUAUCCAGCAAUCAAACUAAUGAGUGCCAAACAUUAUCCAAUCAGAAUCAAGCUAAUUGGGAGUGGAUCCCUGAGGAAUCAUCCUCAAACUGGAUACCUGUGGAAUCUACUUCAAAUUGGAUGCCCAAUGAAACAAUCUCAAAUCAAUUCCAUGCAAUUGACGAGCUUUCAACAAUAAACUGGAUUCAGGAAAUGAAAAAGGAUGAAAAUCCAUUUUUAAUUCCUGAAGAUUCUACUACUCAAUCCUUCCAGAUCAAACUUAGAGAUGAUAAAUUCUCACACAUCUGGAUAGAAUAUCACUACCUGGAAAACGAGCACAAAGAGUCCAGGAUCAGAAACUUUGAUAGUAUAUUCUUUAACCAAGACACUAGUGAAAGAAUUCCUAUCUACCAUAUACACAGAUACAAUCACGUCGGAGUAAAAGAAUCAAACUACUCCGUACAAACUUUGAGGGAACAAUGCUUCAUGCAAAAAAUGCAUAUACAAAGAAUGGUUCUCAACAAGUAUUUACUUGAGAAACGGGGAGCCAAUACACAGCAUUACAAGGAAUAGAUCAAAGAAGCAUCAAAAGAAUUAUCAGUAAUUAUCAGUAAUGAUUUGCUUCUAGAAACAUUCAAGCUGAUUCAAACGGAACAAAAUUCAGAAAAAAAAUUAAUUUUACUGUAGCACCGGAAGUACUGUAGCAAGUCCGGCAAGUUACUGUACAAACACGGCAACAAAAGACAAACGAUAUACUGUAGUGCAUACUAUAGCAAUACUGUAGCGGCACUAUAGCAGCAGUAAAAAUCACUGUAGCACUACGGAAAUUUUUGCAAUAAAUACUCCUCAAACCCAACACAUUCCAGACACCAUUUCUACACCAUUUUUUCAAGACUACUUCUCUCUCUAGCUUGAAGAAACUCUCCUCCCUCUCUCUACAAACAAGUUCUUAGUUUUUAUAUUUUAGUUUUUAGGAUCAAACAAAGGAGCCUGUGCAAGCUUCAUAUUCUUGUAAGUUCUCUUUUAUUUUUACAUUUAAUAUCAUUCAAUCAAAUGGUCGGUUGAACCGCCUCAUAUUCAUAUUCAUUUACUUGUUUUAUUUAUUUUGUUUAUACUAACAAUCUAUGGCCAGUUAUACCGCCUGAUCUAACUUACUAACUUUUAUAUUCUGCUUUUACAUUCCAUUUACAUUCUGUUUAUACAUGGCUGGUUCAACCGCCUAUACUAACUAGUGGCAAUUCGACUGCGAUCCACUUCCUAACUCUUAUGCUUUCCUCCUCUUAAAUAUUAUUUACUUUCCUGGUUUAAGGGUGAUACGAAUCUUGUUGGUGAGAAGAUUCGCGACCCAAGAUCACUUGUUGGAUUUGACUUCGAACGCAAGAAAGGGUAGCAGCGGAAACCCUACGACCCCUCCAAUCCCCCGUGACUACGAACUUGUUGAUAUUACCUCAACCCGUAAUCAAACGAAUUAGCGAACAUCAGGCAAGUGUAGAAGGCGCCACAAUUCAAGUGUGGUUCUUGAAUUGAUAAGCCAAACAAGAACACGAGAGUAAAACUCUAAGUUGUUCAAGGGUUGCUCGAAAGCUAUGGAGAAAAUUCUCUCAAAUAUUUUAUGAUAAAAGCGUCUACCCUUUAUUGAUGUAAUAUGGUGCCUUAUAUAGGCUACAAGUGAAAACCCUAAUCUAGUAAGAAAAUGAACUAAGGGUGCAGUGGAUAUGGGCCCUAAUAAGGGAGGCUUAACCCCCCGACGGGUUAGGCCUCAUGUAGGCUUUCCUUCCUAGACAGCCCACUCUAGCAAAUAAUAAUGAGUAAAUUAGCAAUCCUACCUUUGGCGAUUCUACGUGCAAUAUGCACUUAGCCAAUUAUUCAAUCUAAUCAACUAAUGUGGAAAUAACCAACUAUGAUGCUAAAAUGGAAAUUAGGGUUUGGCAAAAAAAUCCUAAUCCCCAGGUGUAGCUUCAAUGCUCAUUAUCGGACCGCGACCACCUUCACUUGAGUAUAUGAAUCCUUCAAAGGACUUGUGUAUGGCCUGAAUAAGUACAUUGAGUUGCUCACAAAAUUUCUUUGCGCGAGCCCUAGUAAUGGGUCCACUUGGGGCGUGCACGUGAUCCUCAGCUCCUCGAUUACUCGAGCCAUUGUUGGCCUGCCCACGUACCAUGAUGCUAUCAUUCCCCUCCUCUUGAGAAGGAUUUGCCCUCAAAUCAAAUGCAUCAUCUGCAUCAAAAGGAGCUAAGUCAGAGACAUUAAAUGUAGCACUAACUCCAUACUCACCAGGAAGGUCAAGUUUGUAGGCAUUGUCAUUGAUGCGCUCCAACACCUGAAACGGUCCAUCACCACGUGGGUGUAAUUUAUUUCUCCUUUGAACAGGGAAUCGUUCCUUACGCAUGUGCAACCACACCCAAUCCCCGGGUUCGAAAAUCAGCUUUUGGCGCCCUUUGUUGGCUUGCUUCACAUAUUGAGCAGUUCUCCUCUCAAUGUUGGCCCUGACUUUCUCAUGCAGUUGCUUAACAAACUCUGCACGUUUCUUACCAUCCAAAUGCACGCGCUCAUUACUAGGUAAUGACACUAGAUCAAGUGGUGUUAGCGGAUUAAAACCAUAAACACACUCGAAUGGAGAGAAGCCAGUAGUAGAAUGGAUAGCCCUAUUAUAAGCAAACUCAACAUGAGGUAAACACUCUUCCCAAGAUUUCAAGUUCUUUUUGAUGAUGGCACGCAACAAGGUACCUAAUGUACGAUUUACCACCUCGAUUUGACCAUCAGUUUGGGGGUGGCUAGCAGUAGAGAAUAGCAAUUUGGUGCCUAACUUAGACCAGAGUGUCUUCCAAAAAUAGCUUAGGAAUUUAACAUCUCUAUCAGAUACAAUGGUCCUAGGAAUGCCAAGCAAUCUCACAAUCUCUUUAAAGAACAAAUUAGCAAUAUGAGAUGCAUCAUCCGUUUUAUGACAAGCAAUAAAGUGUGCCAUUUUAGAGAAUCUAUCAACAACCACAUAAAUGGAGUCAUGGCCAUACUUGGAUCUAGGCAAACCAAGUAUAAAAUCCAUAGAAAUGUCAACCCAUGGUGCACUAGAAAUAGGUAACGGGGUGUAAAGGCCAUACGGGUGUACCUUGGAUUUAGCUUUCUUACAAGCUAAGCAUCACUCCACCACCCGUGCAACAUCUCUCCUCAUGUGCGGCCAAUAGAAGUGCUCUUGCAGCAUGGCAAGAGUCUUAUCAAUCCCAAAAUGUCCCAUAAGGCCACCCGAAUGGGAUUCUCGUAUGGAUCCAUGUGAGAUGCAAAGCCGAUUGGCAUAAAACAAGUAACCAUCGGAAAUGAAGAAUUUACCUUGCCCAGUGUGUUUGCAAGAAAGGUAAAGUUCACCGAAAUCACUAUCUUGUGCAUAGAUAUCUUUAAUAAGCUCAAACCCUAACAACUUAGCAUCUAAGGAAGUGAGUAGAGAGUACCUUCGUGAGAGUGCAUCCGCAACUACAUUAGACUUACCAGCCUUGUAUUUAAUCAAGUACAGAAAGGACUCCACGAAUGCGAUCCACCUUGCAUGCUUUUUGCUCAAGGUGUGCUGGGCCUUAAGGUAUUUAAGGGACUCAUGAUCAGUGUGUAUCAUGAAUUCCUUAGGUCUUAAGUAGUGUUGCCAAACUUGUAGUGCUCGAAUGAGGGCGUACAACUCUUUAUCAUAAGUUGAGUAAUUCAGUGCAGCCCCAUUGAGUUUCUCACUAAAGUAGGCAAUAGGUCUUCCUCCUUGGUUCAACACAGCUCCAACUCUAAUACAUGAAGCAUCACAAUCAAUUUCAAAUGUCUUAGAAAAGUCAGGUAAAGCAAGUACAGGUGCAUGUGUGAGUUUGUGCUUUAAAGCGCGAAAGGCUUGUUCUUGAAAAUCUCCCCAAUGGAAGUUCUCAUUCUUCUUGAUCAACUCGGUCAAGGGUGCAGCAAUAGUGCUAAAGUCCCUCACGAAUCUCCUAUAAAAACCCGCAAGACCGUGGAAGCUGCGAACGUCACCCACAGACCUUGGUGUUGGCCACUCUUGAAUAGCUUUCACCUUUUGAUCAUCCACCUUUAUUCCCUGCGCACUUAUAACAAACCUUAGGAACACAAGCUCGUUAGUGCAAAAAUUGCACUUCUUGAGAUUGGCAUAGAGCUUCUCUCUUCGAAGUACAUCCAUAACAGCCCUAAUAUGCUCUAGGUGUUCAUCAUAAGAUUUGCUAUAAAUUAAGAUAUCGUCAAUGUAAACUACCACAAAUUUUCCUAAGAAUGGACACAGAACAUGAUUCAUUAACCUCAUGAAGGUACUAGGUGCAUUAGUUAGCCCAAAAGGCAUCACUAACCACUCAUACAAGCCAUACUUAGUUUUGAAGGCAGUUUUCCAUUCAUCUCCCUCCUUAAUCCUAAUUUGAUGGUACCCACUUUUGAGAUCAAUUUUGGUAAAGAACACAGCCCCAUGUAACUCAUCUAAGCGAGGUAUUGGGUGGCGAUACUUUACCGUGAUGGCAUUUACGGCUCUACAAUCAGUGCACAUUCUCCACGUACCAUCUUUCUUGGGCACCAAAAUGACUGGGACAGCACACGGGCUUAAGCUCUCACGUGCCCAUCCUUUGCCAAGCAAGUCGUCCACUUGCCUUUGCAACUCCUUAGUUUCCUCCGGAUUGCUCUUGUAAGCUGGGCGAUUUGGCAACGAAGCUCCAGGGAUGAAGUCUAUUUGGUGCUCAAUGCCUCUAAGCGGUGGUAAUCCACUUGGUACAUCAUCAGGAAAGAUAUCAGCAUAUUCCUGCAAAAGAGACUUAACCUCAAGCGGUAAGUUAGUAUCAAGGUCAUGCACAUUCUGAGCUACUUCUUUGCUAACAAGCAUAAGAAGCGGUUGCCCAUCCCUCAUUAACUUCCUCACUUUCUUGGCUUUUAUCAGGAGCAUUUGUUUUCCCUCGGAUUUUACCUCACUUGCCAAGCUAUCUAAAGCCUUUUUCCUCUCUUUUUUUGCCCCGGCUUUCUCAUUUUCUUUCUUUUUUGCACUAUACUUCUCAAACUCUUAUUGCAAUUUCAAUUGGUCCUUAUGCACUUGUUUUGGAGAAAGGGGAGCUAGGAUGACUUUCUUACUAUUGUACAAGAAACUAUACUUGUUAGUCACACCAUCAAAAGUUACCUGCCUGUCAAACUGCCACGGCCUACCUAGUAUAAUGUGACUAGCCUGCAUAGGAACUACAUCAUAUAAUACUUCAUCAGUAUAUUUAUGAAUUUGAAAGGAUAUAAGAACUUGUUUGGUUACUCGAACCUCCCCAGAAUUGUUGAGCCAUUGGAGUUUGUAGGGUCGCGGGUGAUCCCUCGUAGGCAGCUUCAAGUUGUCCACCAUGAGUGAACUAGCCAUAUUUGUACAGCUCCCACUAUCAAUAAUCACACUACAAAGUGCUUGGUUGACGAAGCACCUAGUGUAGAAGAUAUUCUCCCGUUGAAGCUCGUCCUCCUUAACACGUGCCGUCAAUGCUCUCCUUGCAACCAAAGCGGUCCCAAAGUGACCCUCGGGUGCGCUAAACUCCUCUUCAUUUGGUGACUCACCAUCACUACCUCCUUCAAGGGGUGGUAUGCCUUCGUACUCGGCUUCGUCCUCACUCACGAUCUCGCCAUUUUGCAUCAUAAUCAUAGUCCUUUGAUUGGGACAUUGACUAGCAAUAUGGCCUCUACCUUGACAUUUGAAGCAUCGAGUAUCACGAGCCCUAGUUUGUGCCCUAGGCUCCUCAAAUUUUGGAGUAGAAGAGGGCGGCUUACUAAAACUAGGAUUGCCCACCUUACCUCCCUCGAAUCUCGGCUUUGGAGUAUGAGCAUUUGGUGAAGGCCGAGGAUCAUUCCUUGGUUGGAAUGGGCGGUUGGUGGAGUAGGUGGUUUUGCCGAAAUUCGAUCGAGUGGUACCCCUCCUCUUGAGCCUUUGCUCGACCUUAAUAGCCUUGUCUACAAGCUCAUGCAACUCCAUAUAAUGUUGAAGUUCCACUCGUUCAGCAAUAUCGGGUCGUAACCCGCUCAAGAAUCUCGCCAUGGUGGCUUCAAGAUCCUCCUGUACAUCCGCUCUAAGCAUUAGGAUCUCCAUCUCCUUGUGGUACUCAUCCACACUCCGGUUGCCCUGGACCAAGGUUUGUAAUCGAUGGUACAAAUCCCUAGUGUAAUGUCCAGGUACAAAGCGGGUGCGCAUCAUGGCUCGAAGCUCGGGCCAUGGAACGAGUUCAGGUAGACCAUUUCUCCUUCUAGACUUCUUGAUUUGGUCCCACCAAACCAUAGCGUACUCAGUAAAUUCCAUAGUGGCCAAUUGCACCUUUUGCACCUCGGUGUAGUUUUGGCAAGAAAAGACCAUUUCGAUCUUGGAUAACCAUUCGAGAAAGGCCUCGGGAUCAGACCGUCCUUUGAACUCAGGGAUUUGCAUCUUGAUUCCCUUGAAUACAUUGGUAGGUCCAGUCUGGUUCCUUUGCCUUGGUCGAACUCGAGGUUCCUCAUCAUCUUCAUCAUUAUUGGAACCAUCGAACGACUCCACGUCUCUUCGCCUUCGUGUGGACUUAGAAGUUUUUGGUGUUCCAGACGCUCGGAGUUGUAGCAACUCAUCUUGAAUGGGUUCUAGCAUGCGUUGGAAACGCCUCUCCAUCUGCUCCAUCAUCUGUUCAAAGUCCAUGGGACGGGAUACUCCUUCGUUGCUACUAGACAUGAAGUCUCAAGUGUGCCUGCAAGGGUUAGUAGCAAAGAAAGGGAAAAAGGAGAAAGAAACGUUUGUCUCCCUUUUUUUUUUCCCUCACUUCACUCCCUAAGUGUAUACUCUCACACUCGUGUAUGGUCACUUAGAUCACUUUAAUGAGCUCACCAAAAUUUCUCACAGCCCCUUGCAAACCCUGAAAAAAGUAGAAUUCCUCAAGUGCUCAAGUGUAGCUCAAAAAAUCAAGUUCACGCUAGAAUUUGAGGUUCGUAAGAGUCAUUCCGUUACUGACUUCAAUCUUGCCCUUGGUUUUAUUGAUCCAGCCUAUGCCGAGUCUCGCGAGUAUGACAAGAGUGCAUGUGACUAUGUCCAGCCUUUUUUCUCCCGCUAUCGCCAUAUUUGGGAGGAGAUGUCUGUGGACAGGGAUAAUUAUGACCCUCGUUUAUCUAAAGGUUCUUAUCUGAAGGACCCAGCGUCUUGCUAUAUCCACCGUUUCUUGGCUUAUAGUUUCUCAGGUAGGCGAGACAGUUCGGGCAUUCUGUCUAAGCCCGAAUUUUUCUUUAUAUGGUGUAUGCAUAACAAUAUUAAGGUUAACUUUGGGUGCUGGCUCGCUUCUCAGUUCAAGUCUAUUUUGCCUAAAAAGAAGUGCCCCUUGAUUCUUGGGUCGUACAUUACUCACUUGGCUAUUAAUUUGCAUGUACUUGAUAUUUCUAACUAUGAUUUGCAUAUAGCCUGUCACAUGGAGCCCUUGGACAUUCCGUGCUUGGAGAAAAUGGGUUUGGUUCGAGAGGGCGAUGAUGGAUGGGAAGUUGUUCCCCCGGGUUCGCUAUGCGCUCCUCCUCGGUCAUCUUUUGCCCGAGCCUCCACUGGUGGUGGUGAUCCUGGCCCGUCGACCUCCGCUCCACCUCCUCCCACCCCAACGGCCAACGAUUGGCUCCAACUCCGGAACACAGUUGAGAGACUGGAGACUCGCGUGACCCACAUUGGCAUUAACUUGCAUAGCAUGGCGCAGAAUCUGGCAACAUUUAUGCAACAUGCGGGAAUUGCUCCUUAGUUCGCGCCCGAUCCACUCAUGUUUUGACGACUUCAGGGAAGUACCGUUGCCCCUUCUCCUCUCUUUUUGCUAUUACAUCAUCACAUUGAGGGCAAUGUGUGACUUAGGUGUGGGGGGUCAGUUUGGGUGUUGUUCCUUUGUUUUUUUUUUUGGUGUCUUUCCUUUGCUAUUAUCUUGGUGAAUAUUUUGACAGCUCACUCUUCUAUUGCUAGUUGUAGUUUAUUCUAUGAAUUUAGUUUCGGUGGCUAGCAAGAGCAUGUUGUCCUGGUGAAUAUUUUGAAUUUAAUGACUUGGUGCAAUUUAUGGCUAACUUGUUUAGGCAAUGUAAAUAUCUUGCUGGCACUGUUGUGUGGAUUGGUCCCCUGUUGACCUUGGUCCUCAAUGUUUAGGAGAUGACGUGGGCCAUGAUCUUUAAGUGUUUGCUAUUUUGGUACUUUAUUGAGAAUAACAUUGGCUAUACUCCGCUAGUGUCGUCACCUAGUAACCGAGAGUCUUCACUACAAGUGUCGACUCUUGCGUCAAAAAGUGACGAUAUCUAUGAGUAAAUAGUCCUAGAGCUAUGAAAAGUUGAGUAAUUGGGCUCUUUCAUCUAAAAAUGUCAGAAUUCACGUCAAAAGGCUUGAAUGGCUUAGGACUAAGCAUUAUUCGUUCAAUCAAAAAAAAGAAAAAAAAAGAAAAAAAGAUCAGAUGUGGAAAAUAUGUAAGUCUAUGAUCAUGUUAGCCCGCCGAUCCUUGGUUCUCAAUGUUGAGAUUUUGUUUGCCUGUUAACUUAAUUGCUGACUGUUACUAAUUACACUACAAGAAAUUUGGUCAUCAGUGACAACAAUAUGUCAUCACAAGACAUAGAAAUGUUGUCACUAAUGACUUUUAUUAACGACUUUUGAGUCAUCAAAGAGUCGUCACUAUAUCUCCGUCGGUAAAAGUAUAUAGUGACAACACAAAAAGUCGACAGUGAAUGGUUGUCAUUAGUGACAACAGUAUGAAAGCGUUUUAUUGACGACUUAGCAUGUUGUCAGAGAUGUAUUGAUCAAGGUUGUCACUGAAAAGUGUCAGAAGUUGUCACUUAUAUGAUAUACUUAUUGACAACAUUUCUUGUCACAAUUGAAGUUUUGAGUUAGUGACAAGCUUUGUUGUCACAAAGAGUUUUUUAUUCUUGUUAUGCAACAGCUCUUUUUUGUCAUUAGUGAUCUUUAACAUUGUCAGCUCCAUUUCAAUAAACUCACAAUUUAGCAUGGUAAAUUAUUUAUCUAGAAUAAAUAGAAAGAAGUAAUCUAAACAACCGAUAAUCAAAAGCAGUUGUUGCAUUAGGCUACAUGCCAAUAUAGCAUAUUCAGUACUCAAAUGUCAUAUUGAGGUGCACAUUACCCAACAAAGGUCUAUAAAAGUAACAUUGUGCCCAAAUAUCACAUAUUCAUAAGGUACGUUUACAAAAGGAAUUAAGUUCAAGAAACCAAAGAACAUCCAAGCGAACCCUUGCAUGAGAAAUUGCGACUUUGUCUUCAACGUCCUUCAGUCAUUGCUAUAGACAGCUCCCAAAAUUUUGUUUAAAUAGCAUUUAUCUGUAAUAAAGUAGUAAAACAAGUAGAUAAGGGGAGGAUUAAAACACUGAAGGAGAAGUAACAAUACUUAGGUUGCUUAGCUAAAAUAUGCAAUCCAAUAAGAACCUCAAUAAUUAAAGUUGUACAUUCAGAAUCAACCCCAAAUAAAACCAAAAUCUGCCCCAGAAAAUCAAAAUCAGCCCCGAACUAUUGCACAAAAUCAGCUCAAGAAAUAAGUACUGCUAUUAAACUUCAGCUUCAAAGGAAUAAUAUAUCAAGUUGAUAAUGCAACAAGCACUGGUAUAAGUACUGCUAUGAACAAUAUAACCAAUUGAUAAGACUACAAGCACAACACUAAAGGAAAAGCAACUUUGAUUCGCUUGCUUAGCUAAACAUUCAAAUAAACUAAACUGAACUAAACCAAAACAAUCCAAAGUAAUGCAUAGCAGAGGAUACAACGUGUCCAGUAUGAUAACCAAAGUAAUGUGAAUCACGAUACAAGAUGUCGAGCUAUCCAUUCAUAUAGGAGAAACUGAGGCAAUGUGUACCUCAUUUAUAUAAGAGAAACUGAUGCAAUGGGUAUCGUGAGAAAGAUGUCUAUGGGUUGCUCAAUCUUUACAACCCAUUUCUCCAAACCACUAGAGGAUGAAUACAUGGAGUGGUAUUGCAUAAACAAUAUUAACAUUAUCAAAAUCCAUAUACCCAAAUUACUCAAAUCACAAAAACAACUAAAAGCUACUGAAAAGCAUUGGCAUUGUCGUGUAAAUGCUUGUUAAAGCAGUAAAUACUGUAAAUUGCAAGACUUAAUAGCUACCAUCCAAGGUCAGAACUCAUCACUAUGCUCAAACACAUUACCUCAAUAGCACCAUCAUAUCAUACAAAAACUCAAAUCACUCUCCCCUCUCAAUUUUUCUAAAUUUCUUCUAUAGUCCGAGAACUCUAUGCCCCAAAUUUCUCUUCCGAAAACUUUCGAUUUUGCCUCUGCUCAUCCCUAAUUUCUCAUUCUAUCUCUCCAUUUCUCAUCAAACAGGUAAUUACUUAAUCCUUUAGCAGAUUGACACUAGAUGUUUUUACAAUUAAUAUCGAUGACGAGAAGCAGCAAUAGCACCUGAAGCAUUGUUUUAUCAAAGACGAUGCCAUGUUGUAUCAAAAUUGGUGCACUUUCUUGUUCUUCCGUUCUUAUCCAAGUCUCCACCGAUGAAACCAAUCUAAUUUGAGCGAAACUUUUGAAGCUGGAUUAACUUUGAAACUCGUGGACGAGUUAAUGAAGCAAGCUGGAUUAAUUGAAAUUUAUGAAUCUGGAUUACUUUUAAAACUCAUGGACGAGUUGAUGAAGAAAUCUAGAUUAAUUCAGUAAUCUCUUCUUUUAAUUUUUUUUAUUUCAUUAUUUUAGCUCCAUUGGUGAUUUUUGCUCUCAAUCUUUAUUCAGUUGAGGUUUGUUUCCCAACCUUAGAAGAUCCUUCUGAUGAUGCCCUAGUCACAGAGUUCAAAUCAAGGAAAGAAAUCUCUUUUUUUCGUCAUCAUUUUUAGUUUAUGUGCUUCUUUUACUUUUCAUUCGUUAAUGGAUUUUAUAAAAAUCAUGUUAUUACAGAUUCUAUUUUGCCAUUAUUGAAAUAUUUCUUGAAUACUGGCAAAUUAUUCAUUCUAGUCCCUUGACCUUUGCAACUGGGUCAUCUAUUUUCAUCUCCCGAUUCUACAUAAUUCAUAAUUUGUAAUUUGUAUAAUUUUUAAAUUGGUUGGAGAAUAAGAUUUUGGGUUCAAUUUGAUGGUUUUGAUGCUGGAUGCUUAUAAAAUUUCAGUUGAUGAUAUGUUGCGGUUGUCAGUGAUGUAUGUUAUUUGGAAAUUUCAUCUCCUGGCUCUGGUUGGUAAUUCUGUUUUCCCUAUCUCCAUUGCCUGGUAUGAUUGUUAGUCAGUUGAAAAGGACUUUUUUGUACUCAAGUCGUUUCAAGAACCAUUCCAUGUAUACUGCAGUUGCUAGGCCUUUUUUCUUAGUUCUAGAGUCCCCCUGGUGGCUAGUAAGUUCAGAGACAAUUCAGUAAAUAGACUUCUUUCUAUUAAGAAUUGUUAUUUCAGUAUUCUAGCUCUGCUAUGUGAUUUGUGUAUGAGACUGCAAGAAAUCUUGUAUCAUCAAAAUUUUUUACUAACUUCAUUAUAAAAAGAAAAUUCCAUUUUCGCCAUUAGAGGAGGAUCCAUGAAGUCAUCCGCUACAGCCCUAAGAAGCAAGAAACUGGUGUUGCUUAUCAAAUAGCGUUAAUCACAAUACCCCCCUUAAGAUUUAAUCUGUUUUGCACUUUACUCCCUAACAUUAUUUUUCUCGUUUUAUUCCCUAAACCAUUAGUCAAGUUUAACCUCGUAUGAUAGAAAUGUCAAAAAGACAUUUAUACCUCUAGAGGUUAACUCCAAUAAAUCUCCUAUAGCAUAUUUUGCACUUUAUCCUCUAAUAUCAUUUUUCUCUUAAUUUCACUGUUUGUCCCUAAAACCACUCAAGAUAGAUAAUAUUUAAAAUAUCAUUAUACGUAACAUAAUAAUGAAAAUGGAUAACUUCAAAAAUCUCACUCGAGGUUCCUGAAAAUUGCAGACAGCUCCUCUCUAAUUUGAAUAAUUACACUUGCACCCCUUGUUAUCAUGUUUCUUGUAACACAAAAAUCCAUUUGGCUGACAUCAGCCAAAAAUACCCAAUGAAUAUCUUAGAACCCCCCAGCACGCUACUCCUCUUUUUCUUUUUUCUUUUUUCCCUAAAGAAAAAGCCAUGAAUCUUAAGCCAACAUGGGUGUCCAGAUCCGUUUGCUCAUCAGUGUCAUCACAUUUAACCUAUAAACAACACAAGCAUCCUUUGCUGCCUCCUCCUAAGAAUCAUUGAAGUAGGCAGGAGCUUCAACAACAUCUUUUUUCCCUAUCAUUCCAAGGUAAGCCUGGCAAUCUCCUUCAUCUUGCAGAGGAUCGAGGAUUAUGGAGAAAAUCUCCUCAGCGACAAAUUGAUUCUUCUCAUUCUUAUAGUUGACUUGCAAUCACGAAUUUAUCAUCAGAGACAGCAAUGAUCUUGAAUGGCCAUAAUUCCAUUUCACUUUGAACAAAUAAAAUGCUGAAUAUUUCCCAAAUUAGUAUCUCCGCAUAUAUAUCUUUCAUAUUUUGCAGUUUGUUAGUACACGAAUAUCAACAUAAUGCAUUCCAUAACUGACAAUCCCUUGCCAAUACCAACUUGAAAUCAUCAAGCAAAAUUUUUGAGCUUCAUUUUAAUCAUAUGAGAUUGAUGGCCACCUAACUCUUCAAAUACCAAUCAUCUACAAAUUCCUCGGGCAUACUUAUCGCAUGUCUAUGUGGCCAGAGGCACUAUUAUUGAUAUCAAAGCGCAUCCCAUCUAUUCAUCACCGUCACUGCUAGGUAUGAAGUUCCUCUGCUGUAUUACUACCACCACCAUAUUCAAUUACUAAAGCAACCCUCCACAUAAAUCUACCAUCACCUCACUGACCUUAAACCCAAAUCGAAGAAACUGUUAUUUUUGUCCCUAGAAUGUAUAUUUCAUAUCUGCAAACACUAUAAUAAAGGAUAUGGCAAACGAUGCUAGAUGGUAGAGGGAUUUUAGGGAUUAAAGGGAGGGAGAAAUUAUAGACGUGAGGACACUUAAGAUGCCCACUAAAUGGAUAUGAAGGAGAAGAGAGAUAAAAAUGGACAUAAGAAGGGGAAAAGGUUAUUGGUGGGUCUGAGUAAAGGAGACCGAAACAGAGACAUAGGCAGAGAAUGGAUUGCAUAGCAGUAAUUGGGGUGGUAAGAAGUGGGGAUUGAAAAAGGAGGGAAGGAGAUAGUAGGUAGCUAAUUAUAAGAAAAGCGCAACCAUAUGCACAUUCAUAAAGAGGAAUCGACAACAUUCAAGCAUUUUUAGAUUUUUAAUAAUAAUUUUUCAAUAACAAUUUUUUUUUCCAUUAUUACAUGAAAUUGCCAAGAUAUUUCUAUCAAUCUAAAAAAUUAUAAUUUUGGGAUGAAUUUAGUUAAGAGCAUAUCUAUAAAUUUAUUAUUCUUUCAUUAAUGUAUUCGGAAUGUUGAUUUUUUAUAUAUUAUUUGCCCUGGAUGUUAUAAAAUAGUGGAGUUGAUUAACGAUUUUAGUGACAAAUUGGAAAAAAAUGAUGUUAAGGGAUAAAGUACAAAACAAGAUAGGGUAAUUGGGGAAAGGGGAAGGGUUGGGUUUGGUGGUAAGAUGGAAGGGGUUGUGAGGAGGAGGUCUUGGAUUCAAGACCUCCUACUUAUUUUGUUUUUUAAAAACAAGCCAGGAAAAUUACCGCAUUUAACUAUUAAGGGUAUAAAUGUCUUUUAUCAUUACCAUUACAUAAUGUUAGAGUCAACUAACUGUUCAGGGGAUAAAGUAAAAGAAAAAAAUAACAUUAGAAGAUAAAGUAAAAAAAUAGAUAUAUAUAUAUAUCUUAGAGGGAGUUUUUAUAAUUUUUUGUCAAUCUAGGGGAAGUUUUUAUAAUUAAUCCAAUCAAAUAUGCACAAUCGUGACUGGUAUGUUUAAUUAAAUGAUAAAGAAUUAGAAAUCCUCUUUGUCCAUAUUUAUUUGACCAAGCACAUGGUUUGAGAGUAGUUCAUUUAUAUGAUCCAUGACUCUUGACAAACUUUACCAACGUUACCAUGUAGACAAUGGAACUUUUAAAAGAAUAUUCUGACUAAAAAAGAAUCCAUAAUAUGCUAUUUAAGCUUAUAAAUUGGGUCAACGGCAAAGGAACUUGCAGAGGCCCCGUCCUGGGUUUAGACACGUGGCAACCCUGGCCUGGUCGAGCUGGGUCUCGACCUCAGGCCCCUGGCAACCGUCCUGGGCCGUAUCGUCACUAGGGGUCCAGAAGGGGCCAGGAGACCAUCCCGCAGAGGUCGGAGGAGAUCCCCCUCGGCGCGGGAUAAGGGUUAUCCCGAGCAAGUCCCGAAACGUACGGAGGUCGGACUCUCGAACAGGUAUAAAUGGUAAUGCUCACCACCUACACAAGGUACGCUCAGUAUUGGCACAUUACUUCCGGCCGCUUUACUCCCCGUAAAACUUCAUUUACCAGAGAGCUAAUUUGACCGUCGGAGUACCCUUGGGGACGACCUCGGGGCUCUCUUGUUAGAUCACUCUCAUAUCUGUCUUGCAAGCUUGGAACCAGCUCUUCCCAUCAGCACGCCGAGCUCGUCAGGUCAGCUCGGUCCGGGGAAGUUCAGCGCUUCUUCAGUUGGCGCCGCCUGUGGGAACGUAAGGUAAUCAAGACUGUGUUGAUGGCGAGAACGCGAUCCAGGCGAACGAUAGAGAACACCGACCCUGGAGCCGGCGAAGGAUCCCAGCGAAUGGAGGCCGAGGCGGCUCGGGGCGCCGGGGGCUCAGCCCUCUCAGGGGAGCGGAGGCAGCAAAUCUUCCAGUUUGUGACGGAGAACCUCCCCAUGCUGGAAGACAUUAUCCGGCAGGCGAAGGAAGGAGAGGGGGCUGGAGGCGCGCAGACCUCCAAGGCGAAGGCAAAGGAGAAGGAAUCACCUCUCGACCCCUCGGAGGAUGAGUCACGGGACCAGCCCCCUAGGAGGAAGCGGCUGCGGACUCCCCCUCGUCCACGGGCCUCGGUGGUCGGAGACAGCGAGAGAUACUCCCGCGACCGGUCCGCGGGGAGCCGUCCAAGAGACCCCUCCCCCCGAAAACCCACGCGGAACUGGCUUGAGCGUUCUCCUGUUCGGUCUGUUAAGAGCCGGCCUCGCGACCCCCUUCAGUGGAAACCUGUCCGAGACGAACUCGACCAGAUCCUGCGACUACAAUUGUACGAGGACAACUACACGACCUCGCCCUUUCCCCGAGAGAUAGAGGAUUACCCACUACCCCGGAGGUUCAAGAUCCCGAGCAUUAAGACGUAUGACGCUUCAACCGACCCGGAAGACCACCUCUCGAUCUUCCUGACGCACAUGCGUGUGCAAACAGCCUCGGAUGAGAUCCGUUGCAAGACCUUCCCCAUGUUCCUGAAGGGGAAGGCUCGGCUCUGGUUCCAAGGUCUGGCACCAGGGUCUAUCCGGAGUUUCCCCGAACUGGGCAGACAGUUCGUAGCCCAGUUUGUUUUCUCGAAAACUUACUCGAAGAAUGCGACUCACCUAAUGGCUAUCAGGCAGAGGCCCGACGAAUCCCUGAGGAAUUUCAUGACCCGUUUCAAUGCGGAGAGUUUACAGGUUAGGGACAAAGACGAAAAGGUGGUCAUGGCCGCCUUCGUGAAUGGGCUCAGGGUAGAGGAGCUCUUCUACAAGCUGGCCGAGAAGCCUCCUGGAAAUCUGGAGGAGCUCCUGACCAGGGCGCACGCGGCCGCUAAUGCGGAGGAGGUUGGCCGUCUGAAGAAAGAGUCAGAUCGGGAGUUUGGAAAUCGGAGAGGACGGGGAAACCCCCCCCCCCCCGAGAUCAAGGAUGGUCCGACCAAGAAAAACGUCUUUGACCGGCUUUCGAGGGAGAAAGUCCCUGCUCCGCCACCACUCCCGGAGAAAGGCUACACCCCCUUGACUCGACCCAGGGCCCAAAUCUUGGCUGUCAUGGAGGCGGAAGGCCUGGAAGGUCGUCCGCCCAAGAUGGGAACACCCCGGAACAAAAGGAACCCGGACCGGUACUGCGUUUUCCAUCGCGACGUUGGGCACGAUACGGAGGGGUGCUGGGCCUUGCGGAAGGAGAUUGAGGAUCUGGUCCAACGCGGCUUCUUGGGACGGUUCGUGCGGCAAGGUCGCCCCGGCCAGGAGCCCGGGCGCACCUACCGCGGAGAUCGGGGUGAGGGCUGGCAUCGCGACCGUCCUGAGCAGCGUGACGCACUCCGGGGCCACUCUCCCGACCGGGACACCCAGAACCUAGCGGGAGUGAUAAACACCAUUGCUGGGGGCCCUACGGGGGGGACAGCCACGUAGCUCGGAAGAACCGGCGACCUCUCCUGAGGGGGAUGACUCCUUGAAGCGCCUACGCAUGGACGAGGAGAUCACUUUCGGAUCGAGGGAUGCAGUUCCUCUAGCGUCCGGAAACCACAAGGCCAUCGUGAUAGACAUUGUCACCAACAACUACCGGGUGAAGAAGAUGUACGUCGACCAGGGGAGUGCGGUCGACAUUAUGUUUUACCGAGUGUUCAAGGAGUUCGGCUUGGAGAACGGACAGCUGACCCGGUUCGGACACCUCUGAUGGGUUUCACCGGACCACCCAUCAACCCGGAGGGGAUGAUCACCCUAAUGGUCACGGUAGGGCAGGCUCCCAAAUGCCGGACCAUCGCUGUCAAUUUCGUGGUGGUCAAGCAACAAUCCCCGUACAACGUGUUCCUGAGUCGGUCUGCCUUGAACGCUCUCCGAGCUAUCCCCUCAACGCUCCACCUCAGCGUCAAAUUCCCCACUCCGGAAGGGAUAGCCGAGGUGCGCGGUGAUCCAGAGGUGGCCAGAGCUUGCUACUUAGCCAUGCUUCAAGGACGGGAGAAGGUGGUCGCCAAGACGACCUGUCUGGAGCCCUACAUUUCAGGGGAGGAAGCCCGGCAGAUGGGCACCCAGGACGAGAUCGAGGAGUUCCCCUUGAGGGAAGACUGACCCGACCAGGUGAUCCGCAUCGGCGCGCUGCUACCCCCUGAGGAGAACGAGGGUUUGAAGGCCCUGUUAAGGGAAUACUCGCAGGUUUUCGCCUGGACAGUUGAAGACACGUCCGGGAUUCCGUCCGACCUAGCAGUCCACCACCUCAACGUAGAUCUCUGCUUCAAGCCGGUGAAGUAGAAAAAGAGGAGAUUCGCCCCAGAAAGGAAUGAGGUGAUCAAAAAAGAGGUCGAAAAACUGCUAGAGACUAAGAUCAUCCUGGAGGUCUACUACCCGACCUGGUUGGCCAACCCGGUAUUGGUUAAGAAGGAGGAUCAGACCUGGAGGAUGUGCGUGGACUUCACAGAUCUCAAUAAAACCUGCCCAAAGGACUGUUUUCCUCUACCGAGAAUUGACAGGUUAGUAGAUUCUACGGUGAAUUUUGAUGUUUUGUGUUUUCUGGAUGCCUUCAAGGGGUACCACCAGAUAGAGAUGGUUGAGGAGAAUCGGGAAAAGACCUCCUUCAUCACCGAGGAAGGAACCUACUGCUACCGGACUAUGCCGUUUGGCCUGAAAAACGCGGGAGCGACCUACCAACGUCUGGUCAACAAACUGUUCCAGAAUCAGAUCGGCAGGAGCAUGGAGGUCUAUGUGGAUGACAUGAUCGUCAAGAGCCGAACUGAUCAGGAGCUCAUCCUCGACCUGAGGGACGUCCUGGGCAUCCUGCGGGAGAGCCGGAUGCGACUGAACCCGAAGAAAUGUACCUUCGGGGUCAGGUCGGGAAGGUUCCUGGGAUUCUUGGUGUCUCGAGACGGGAUCCGGGCCAACCCGGACAAACUCCAGGCUAUCAUAGACAUGGCCCCACGAGGAGCGUAAGGGAGGUCCAGCGGCUCACAGGAAGGAUGGCCGCCCUGAACAGAUUCUUCUCGCGUUCCGCCGUCCGGGGGCUGCCCUUCUUCCGAAUUCUGAAAGCUCCCAAGGAUUUUCAAUGGACUGAACAGUGCCAGAAAGCCUUCGCCGACCUGAAGGCCUAUCUGGCUGAGUUGCCCACUUUGACCGCCUCGGAGCAGGGGGAGACCUUGUUCCUGUACCUGUCCGUUUGCAACGAGGUCGUCAGCCUGGUCUUGGUGCGGGAGGGCGGGGGGGUUCAGAGGCCGGUAUACUACGUUAGCUGUGCAUUACAAGGGCCGGAGACGCGGUACACGCCGGCUGAAAAGCUGGUCCUUGCUUUGGUGCACGCGGCCCGAAAACUCCGGCCCUACUUUCAGGCUCACAGCAUCAUCGUCGUGACUGAUCAGCCCCUACAGCAGAUACUUACAAGACCCGAGGUCUCGUGCAGGAUGACCAAGUAGGCCGUCGACCUAGCUGAGCACGACAUUGAUUAUUGGCCCCGCACCGCUAUUAAGGCUCACGCCUUGGCAGACUUCCUUGCUGAGGGGGCUAGCUUGGCCAUGACUGGGCAGAACUCUCCGCCCAGUGAGGCGCGGUCAGGAGAACCUUGGAUUCUGUUCGUGGACGGGGUCUCCAGCAAGGAAGGAAGCGGAGCCGGCCUGCUGCUUAUCUCGCCGACCGGGGAGGAGCUGACCUACGCUUUUCGAUUUGACUUCCCCACAUCCAACAAUGAAGUCGAGUACGAGACCCUGCUCACAGGAUUGCGAAUAGCCCACCAGAUGGGUAUAACCGCGAUCAAAGUCUGGAGCGACUCCUAGCUCGUCGUCCUCCAAGUCCGCGGGAAAUACCAAGCCAAGGAGGAUGUCAUGAGGAAAUACUUGGCCAAGGUACAGGAGGCAAUCGCACUAUUCGACACUUUUGAAAUCGAGCGGGUGCCGAGAUCACAAAACAAGCGUGCGGAUGCCCUGUCGAAACUGGCGUGCUCCUCGUUUGCACACCUGAACAAGGAAGUCUUGGUAGAGUUGGUCAAACAGAAAAGUAUCGACCAAGUCCAGGUUUUGGCUAUAGAUAGCCCGGCCACCUGGAUGACUCCUCUCAUCGACUUUCUCAGCUCGGGUGUCCUGCCCGGGAACAAGACGGAAGCUUGCCGGCUUCAACUCAGAACUGCUAAGUAUGCCUAUGCCAGGGGAACCCUCUACAGGAGGUCGUAUCUGUCCCCCUGGCUAAAGUGCGUGACUCCAGAGGAGAGCAACUGCGUCCUUCGUGAAGUUCACGAGGGCUUGUGUGCGGCCCAUGUGGGGUCCCGAGUACUGGCCAAAAAGUGCUUUCUCCUGGACUAUUAUUGGCCCUCGGUGUUCCAAGAUGCCGCGGCCCUGGUACAGAAAUGCCAAACUUGCCAGGUGCACGCCCCACUGUGCCACCAACCAGCCCGGGAAAUAGUUCCCAUCCAUAGUCCCUGGCCCUUCGCCCAGUGGGGGAUAGAUCUCCUGGGCCCUUUCCCCCGAGCCCCGGAAAGAUAUGAGCACCUCGUCGUAGCCAUCGACUAUUUCACGAAAUGGAUGGAAGCGGAGCCUCUGACCACUAUCUCUGGGAGAGCAAUUCAAAAAUUCUUCUGGAGGAACAUAGUCUGCCGCUUCGGGAUCCCGCAUGUCUUAAUAUCCGACAACGGGCGCCAGUUCGCCGACAACCCCUUCAAGAGCUGGUGUGCCGAGCUCGGGAUCAACCAGCACUUCACAUCGGUCGGUCAUCCCCAGGCCAACGGGCAGGUGGAAAAUGCUAACCGAACCGUUCUCCAAGAACUAAAAACUAGGAUGGAACUGGACCAAUCUAAUUGGCUAGAUGAACUCCCCAGUGUCCUCUGGAUUUACCGCACUACGCCCCCGACGGCCACCCACGAGACCCCGUUCUCUCUGACUUACGGGGUAGAGGCGGUGGUACCCGCAGAGAUCGGUCUCCCCUCACCUCAGACACAGAACUUUGUUGCGUUAUCCAACGAGGAAGAGCUGAGGUGUAGCUUGGACAUGCUGGAGGCCAAGCGUGAGGAAGCGGCGAUACGGAUGGCUAAGUAUAUGAGCCAGCUCGCCCGCUAUCAUAAGGCCAAAGUGAGGAACAUACAGUAUCGGUCGGGGGACCUCGUCUUAAGGAAAAACUCGAUAUACCGAGCUCAUAACUCUAACAAGCUCGACCCGAACUGGGAGGGGCCCUACAAGGUCCUGGAGGCGAGCCGAGUUGGUUAUUGCAAGCUUGCGAAACUAGAUGGAACAGAGGUACCCCGCACUUGGUACUACUCGAAUCUGCGAAUAUUCAUAGGGUAGGUUAGACCAGGGUGCUUGACUGUCUGUUCUUCGAAAUCCGAAUUUCAAUUUUAUUAUUAUUCAAUAAAAUUCGACUUUCAAGUUUUAAAUUCAUUGUGAUUGUUCGCCCUUUAAGUCCAACCUAUGCACUAGCACACUCAGCGCUCCCACGCUAAAUGUCCUAGUGGGGGGCUGGGGGGCUUGAAUGGGUAAUGGAUCGAACGCACGCCUUAAAGAGUUUUUGAGUGCUCGACCCCAAGAGGUCGGCACGGCUUGAAACCCUAGAAUCUGAGGGUUCAGCGUUCGACCCAGGAGGUCGACGGGAAUGCCUUUAAAGUGUGGUGUUCGACCCCAAGAGGCCGGCACGACUUAAAGCUGUAAAGUGUAUAAUCGACCCAAGAGGUCGGUACGGCUUCAAAGUUUGGACUGUACGCUCGAGGUCGGCACAGAGGUCCGAAAGUUCGACGGAGCUCGACCCCAAGAGGUCGGCACGAAUGGAUGCUCGACCCCGGAAGGCCGGCGCGUCUCGAGGCUUUGAAAUCUGGAAACCCGACGCUCGGCCCCAAGAGGUCGGCGCGACGUGAACUAUUUUGGGUUUUGUAGGAUUCGGGGAUUCGACGCUCGACCCAGGAGGUCAGCAAGAAUAUCCUUAAAGUUUGGUGCUCGGCCCCCAAGAGGUUGGCGCGUCGCCCUGAUGGGUCUAUUUGGUGCUCGACCCGGGAAGUCAGCACAUGGUUUUGAUAGUCUGAUUGACUUGGACAAUUUAACUGUCAGAUUAACAAGAGUAUAUACUUGGUACUCGACCCAGGAGGUCGGCACAUGGUUUUGAUUGUUAGAGUUGGGCGCAGGCAAGAACUGCAAGGUAAUUUCCUUCGAGUUUUAUAUAUGCAUUCAAAGCCUACCUAUUACAAAGCUUCCGAGUCGACAUAAGGUAAUUUCCUUCGGGUUCCGUGCAUGCAUUCAAAGCCUAUCUAUUACAAAGCCCACCGAGCUCUAAAAGGAGGAGGACUUAGCCGCGUACAGCUCGGACCCUCUUCUUCUUGCGAGUAAUUUGCUGGGAGCAGGGGCUAAGGUACACCUUAAACAUGUUGAGAGACGUAUGGUGAAGGCUAUUCAGAAAGAUAGCUGGGGAGGCCCUGGGGCAGGGGACCCACCCAUUCCGGAUAGACCUUCAAGAGCAAUUUCAACUGGAGCAUAGACACAUCCUUACAAGAAGAUGGAAAGGGUUUCUGGAGUGGUCGUUGCCCUAGGCUACCGGCUCCUUCUCGGGAGCCCUGCCAGGAGCGUCGUCCUCUUGCAGGGGAACCUCCUCCAAGUCGACUCCCACAUCGCUCCUGCCUGUUAGCUCCUUCAGGGCAUGCCCCUUGCAAUACCCUCGAAGAGCCAGUCUACCCUCUCCUCGGCAGCAGGAUUUUACUCCUUAAACGCAACCAAGUCGAAGCCAGGCAGGCCGAGUCCCUUGACCCGGUCCAGGGCUCGCGUGAAGUCGAUCUAGAGGAUGGGUUGGUUGAGGAGAGCGACGUCCUCGGCAAACUGUUGGGAGGAGAUGAACUCCCGAAUAGCCUUCUUCCGCUCCUGGCUGACGGUGCCGGUGAGCUCGAUGGCGUGGUCCUUUCUCAACUUGGCCACGCCGGCCUUCUCCUGGUCGAGCUCCGACCUAGUGGAGGCGAGCUGGACCUGGGCUGCUUCCAGCUCCUUCUCGGCCUCGCCCAACUUGGCCUUAAGGGAGUCCGCCUCCUUGAGGGUCUGAGUAAGCUUCUGCUCUGUCUCCCGAUUCUUCUUUUGCAAUUUCUCCAAGUCGGGAGACAGCUCGGAGAAGCGGGUUGCCAGGGCAGCACCGGCGGCGUUGACCUGAGGAGGAAGGGGAGCAAGUCAGUACGUUACGCUAUCCAACCAAAACGCAGAGGCACAACUGGCCCAAGGGAUAGGGAACUUACUUGGGCCUGUGCGGUGUAAUAUGCGUCUAGGAGGUCGGAGGGGUUGACCAGCUCCAUCCACCUCCUGUCGCGCGGGAGGACCGAGCCCGCAAUCAGCUCGCGAGCCACCUCGGGAAACUGGGAUCGGUCGUUGAUGGAGAGCCCCCAAGACGGAUAGAAGUGGCGGGGGUCGUGCAUAAACGAGGCCUGACCCGGCUUCAGGGGGGCUAUGUGGCGAAAGUGCCACAAGCUCGGGGGAGGCGACUCCCGAGCAUGCUCCUCCGCGGAGCCAACGCCCAGGUGGACUGGUCCUCCCGAUAUCAGCGGGAGGGGAGGGGGUUGAGUUGAGACCAGCGCGAGCUUCUUCCCGGGUUGGGAAGGGCUCGUCCCCUCGACCCCUCUUUUGCCCGCCUGUCUUCUUGGAGGGGAAUGAGGUGUUCUGCGCUUCACUCUGGUGGGCUUGGCCGCCCCCUGGGGUCGUAGCCGCCCCAGGAGCCUCCUUGGCAGCCUCUGGCUGAGGGGUGGGGGUGACCUCCUCCGUAGGUGCGCCCAGCAGUUUGGAAAGCCUUCUCAUUGCGACAAACAUCGCCAGGUCAGUAAAGACAGGUCAAUACCAAAAGUCAUAAUAUGCACAUACGUAAAAGCAACGAGCUGCAGGGAUAGAGUCAGCGUUACAGGCAUCGAGGUCGGUUUCGGAGGCCGCUACCUCUCCAGAGGACCCGGACAAGGUUCCCAUCAGCCCGCUGCAGAAAUCUGCUCGGUGGAGAACUUGGUGGCAUGGAGCUUCACCUUAGAGCUCACCAACUGGAUGAGGGUCUCUGAGUCCAGGUCCUCCGGGUAGGGAUCAGAUUUGACCUCUCCGACCUUCCACACGGUGGCGUCAAAAUCGAUGGAUUUGACAAAGAAGAAAUCCCCUUUCCAGUUCUUGAUGGAAGUGGGGAACCCGUAGAACAGGUCCUGGGUGCCCUUAUCCCCCCGACCUUGGUUCCCGGUCCGACGGGAGAAGUAAUACCACCCAAGAAGGGAGAACUUGAGGAUGUAAGCAGCUCGGAAGAGGGAGAGAGAGUAAGGGAUGGAGCAGAUUUGGCAGUAGAUCAGGAACCCUAUGAUGAUCCUGAUCGAGUUAGGGUGAACUUGGGUGAUCCUGAGCCCCCAAUAGCUCAAGAUCUCAGCCAGGGCUGAAAGGAUUGGUAGUCGGAGCACCCCAAGCAGCUGCUCCUUGUAGAUGGCUACAAAACCAGAGGGAGGUCGGCUGGCUUGAUCGUUGGGCCCGGCAGCCCUUGGCUCAAAGGCCGGAGGGAUGGAGAAGGACCCGACCAACUCGCCACCGCCUCGAGUGAGAUGGUGACCUCUUCGUGGUCGGGGCGACCGAAGUCAAGCUCGGCAUCGUUCUCCUGCUCGGGGGAAGGAGUCCCCUCGGAGGAGUCCCUAUCCUCCCCAGCCCCCCCUGGGCUCCGCUAGGAGAGUCGUGCGGGGACUUGGGGGAAGGAACGGAGGUGGCCUGUUGCUCGAUGAGGGCAUCAAGCUCGGCCGCCUCCUCCAAGGCUCGAGCAGAAGGGGAAUGAGUGGAAGGAGAGCUCAUGAUGGUUAUGGGCCCGAGGAGGUCGGGAUUGGAAGCGGAAGAAGAAAAAAGAGGAGGGGGUGAAGACGAAAAUGAAGAUGCAGAUGGGGAGGAAGACGAAGAAAUGACAAUUUGGGGGGCUCUACGCCGGGAAGGGAUCCGAGGUGCGGUGGAAGUGACGCCGGAAUGAUCCGACAUAAAAAGCAGAGAACGCCUAAGGAAGAGGAAAAAGUGAAGGGGGAAGGGAAAAGACUUACUGAUGACCGGAGCAAAAAAAAGAUGAGGGAGUCGCCGGAGUCUGGGCACAGAGAGACGGAAGCCUUGUUACUGGAAAAUGGAAAUGCGCGAAGAAAGGAGAAAAUGGCAAAUGGAAUCGGUUAAAGUCCGAUGACUCCCAUUUAUAGGGGGUAAAAUGGGAGGAAAACGGUUGCUUGAAUUCGAACCGUCCCAUGUGAACGCAUUUAAUGAUGGUACGGAAGCCGAUAGGGUGUGACAGCUGAAAGGACGUGGGCGCGGUUUCCCUAUGACAGCACUGUACCGGAGGUGACCUUGGCAGAGUAGUGCGCGGCGCUGGCCUCCCACGUGGCAGGUGUAGAUUAGGUCUGCCUGACAGCCUUACCUAAUCUAGGGGGCUAGUGCAGAGGCCCCGUCCUGAGUCUAGACACGUGGCAGCCCUGGCCUGGUCGAGUUGGGUCUCGACCUCAAGCCCCUGGCAACCGUCCUGGGCCAUAUCGUCACUAGGGCUCCAGAAGGGGCCAGGGGACCAUCCCGCAGAGGUCGGAGGAGAUCCCCCUCGGCGCGAGAUAAGGGCUAUCCCGGGCAAGUCCUGAAACGUACGGAGGUCGGACUCUCGAGCAGGUAUAAAUGGUAAUGCCCACCACCUAUACAAGGUACGCUCACUAUUGGCACAUUACUUCCGGCCGCUUUACUCCCCGUAAAACUUCAUUCACCAGAAAGCUAACUUAACCGUCGGAGUGCCCUCGGAGACGACCUCGGGGCCCCCUUGUUAGAUCACUCUCAUAUCUGUCUUGCAGGCUUGGAACCAGCUCUUCCCAUCAGCACGCCGAGCUCGUCAGGUCAGCUUGGUCCGGGGAAGUUCAGCGCUUCUUCAGAACUCAAGUAUUUUCUUUUCUUUAACUUUUUAUGCAGUGACAGUGUAGUGGUGUUUUUAUAAUAAUAAAUUUAGAUAUAUGCCGCACUAACAAUUUUUUAUGAUUCUUUUACACUAACAAUUUUUUAUGUACUGAAAGUGUUUACUGAUCUAUCUCAUUUCAGCGAGUAUAUGCAGGUUUGUUGACCUUGUUUUAGCAAAUUCAACUAGUCUAUGAACAGAUUGGUAGCAGAAUCAGUAAGAGCAGACACCGGAAAUUGAGCAGCUUACCUGCUUUUAGUUUGCUAAUCCACUCUGAUGCUUCUUGACUAGAAUUUCUUUAAUAGACGUUUUAAACAUUUUCAGAAGUAUAUUUCCCCAUGGAUUAUUGUUUCCUUCGGGCUUCCGUGAAAGCUUUUAUCUUCUUUAUAUUUUUACUUUUUGGAUUCCCAUCUUCAUUUAAUCAAAUCCUAGAAUCUUUCGCUGCAAAUGUAUUUUCCAUUUUACCAUUUUUACUAUAUGUAAUGUCUUGCUUGAAUGUGCAUAUCUUUCUGGACCGAAAGAAUCUUCGUCUGAGAUAAUAUCUUUUCCUACCUUGUUGAUUUUAAUUUUUUUUCCUAUGUCACAUAUAAAUUAUACUUACAUUUUCCUCGAUUAAUUAAAUUGGGUAGUUAUAUUAAUGUUCUAUUACCAUUCGUUUCUUUUUCUCCAAUCCUCCGAAUUAUUUUCUUAAAGAACACUAUCGAUACGUUCAGAAUGUCAAGAGACACCUUGAUCUUUAAUGUUACUCAUUCCUUUUUUAUGCAUUAAAAAAAAGAAUUCAAUUGUUUGACUAGAAGGAUUUUUCACAUUCCCUGUCUUUAUAAAUACAUUAAUUAGGCUUAGUAAGAAAAAUGGGAUUUCAGGCGAUUAAAUUAUAUUAUAUCCUAGCAAAAUAUAGAUCAUAAAAUAUUCUGUUAAACUCUAUUCCCCUUCUCACCAAAAAGUUGUGUAUAGAUUAUUAAUGGAGAAACUGAUCACUCAUCAAGAGUCCAAGUAAGUUUCUUCAACCGACAGUAACUUUCAGUCAUUCAUCAAGGAGGUCGGUUGAGAAACUUUAACAAGCGAAACAUCAUCUUCCUAAUGCAGCAAAAUAGAGCCCUUUUUUAAAAAGGCUGCAAGGGAGGCCUAACGGCCCAUUACCAUCUAGGAAUUUUAAGGAAGGACAUGCAGCCUGGACUCAGAGUUGCACAAUGAUCAUUGCAUCCACUUCAUCUCCUACCUUUUUUUUUUUCCAAAUGGUGAAAGAGAUGACAACUUUUGUUCAACAUAACAAAUAAAUUUGCCAAUAAAGAUGGAAGGAAAUAUUAAAUACACUCUCUUCACCCCAACUAUUAAUUUUAAGAUUAAUCUUUCCUACACUGAUAGCGUAGCGUUAGAUAAAUGACAAUUAUACAAAAUUUGAAUUUGAAUUUGAAAUUGAACUUUUGCACACAUAUCAUAAAUCAAAUGGUAAUAGUAUAUACAAGAUUUACUCUUAUAUACACUGACCGUGUAUAUACUAUCACAAUUUGAUUCAUGACAUGUGUGCAAAAAUUGAAUUUUAAAUUCAAAUUUCACAUAGUUGUUUGACAGGUGCCGAACCUGUGCAAUCAUAAAUACCUGCUCAAAUAAAAUACAAAUUCUGUAUAUAGCAGUAAGCAGGGUCGAAUCCACAGGGACUGGGGAUAAUUUAAUUUCUUCUCAAGUUCCAGAUAUGGGGGGUUUUUGAAAAUGAGAGUAACUAAAUUACUUGGAAUAAAUUAAAAUAAAAUAAAAUAACCACAACUCAAAUAACUAAUUAUCACAAUAAAAAUAAUAAUGGACGAACUCUAGCCAAGAGACAACUUCGGAGAUGGUUCACUUAAUUCGAUCACAGAUGCAAGGAUCAUUCCAGUUACUAUCUGAUAAAUUAGUUAUAGUUGUCAUACACGCGAUAAACAACCAACUCUUCCUCAAUUCGUCGAUAGCCAAGGUACGACCGUUGACUAUUUCUCUAAUCAGGAAAUAACCCUAGGUACGACCAUAGAAGUUCAAUUCCCUAAUUGCAUGAAUAAUUAGAAGAGCCUAAUUCUAACCAAUCAACACGCUACGAGGGUCUCUUUAAGUUAGCCUGUCUAUCUCCCUGACACAAACCCAAUCAUGCCAGUUGCCACCAGUUUAGAAUAAUUAAACAAUUACGGAUUUAACUAUCCUAAUUGGCUUCAGGUUAUUGAAUUAAUCUAGAAUCCGGGCCCUGGAUAAUCGAUUAAUAAAACAACCAUAUGAACAUAAAGCAGAAGAUAGACAAAUACCAGUGAAUAAUGGAAAUAAAUAAAAACUAAUUCGAUCUCACAAAUUUAGUAGAACCAAGUCCUCCGUUGUUCUUGACUAGACAAACUUAGCCAUGUCUCAUGAGAAAAUCUUCAAGUAAUUUCAUUAAGGUCCAGGCCAUCAAAAGAGCCAAGAAAGAAACAAAACUAAACUACGCUAAAAGCUAAGCUAGAACUCUUCUUCCCAGCCGCCUGUACGUUUUUUCCUUUUUAAAGCCAAAAUGACUAAUCCCUAAUGCUUUCUCUCCGUGGUCCCCGCCGAAAUUUAGAGUCAAAGUUCAAGAAGGGAACUCUGCCGAAUUGAGAGGAACCAAGUCCACAAGGUGGGUCCUGCCGAAUUGCUUCUUGUUUCCCAUCUCUGUACGUUACUUCUCUUUAAAGGCCAAAUGAAGAAAUGCCUUUUCUCCUCUCGUGGUCCCCACCGAAAACAAGAGUCCCAAGUUACAAAAGUAGCUCUGCCGAAUUCUCUCCUUUUGUUUUCUAUUGCUCAUCAAACACUCCCAUCAGCAACCGAAAUUUUUGUUCUCUUGCAGCACCAUGUGGGCCCAACUUGUAAAUCCGCUGGAGGCUCUAAUGUGUGGAGAAUUUUUCUCAGUAAAAUCUCCUUAUUAGCAUUUGUCAGUUCAACUUCCUGUAGAUAGGUCCAAAUACCAAAUAUAAGUAUAUAUUAACAAUUUAAAACAAUAUUUGGUAGGGACAAGGGAAAAUUAACAAUAAAAUUACUAACAAUUAACACCCUAUCAUUGUUGUUCAUCCAACGCUGACAGUAUAUGCACUGUCAGUGUAGCAAUGAUUAAUCCAUAAAAUAAAUGGUGGGAGUACGAUUAACAAAAAAUGAAGUGAGAUUAACAUUCUUGGGAUAGUACUUCUACUAAAUAAUACUUAUGAACAACCUUAAUGCUAAAAGAUGGAGCAACUCAAACUUUUUCUCAUCAUUUAGAUAAUUCAUCAUCAUUUUAGGUAAUGCAAUCAACACCAUUUUGCAAAUCUUGAGUAGGAUAACGGACCUCGGUUGGGUUCCUAUGACCAAUAUAGCUAAAUCAAGAUCCUCAUCAACAAAGGAAUGUGACUCCUUUGCAUAAAAACCUUUCAUCCACCUCCAAGUCUUCUUGACCUCCUCAACGAUUAGAAUCUUCAUUUCAGCAUCAGCUGGUUAGCAUUUUUCCUAGGCGAAUAUAUCAAACUCAUACACCUGAAUAUUGGCAUCUGCAACUUGGCUGAAUAUUGGCGAGAGUUUACUUCUUUUGAUCUCCUCAACCAUUCAUUUCAUCAAUAAUCAGACAACAUUUUUUGCAGCAGAUGUUAAUGAACUAUUGUACUUGUGCAUACUAUUAAAAUCACAGGGGGUGAAUUAUGCAACUCGAUCGGCUAAACGUUGAACUGUUUUUGGCUUCAUUGAUCGCUGCCUCAACGCUUCAGAAAAGCUGUUCAAGUGUCGUCUGACGUGAUGCACAUAUUGUUUAUGCUUAUUUGAGAGUAAGGAAGCAAUUAGAGACGUUUCUGAAACGAAGACAAUCCAAUACUCCCUUGAGCAUUUCCUCAAGGCUAUCCAUUUUUUUGUGUUGAUUGCUAUAUUUCAGUGAUUAGGAUAACUUUUUCAGUGAUUGGGAUCGGGGGCUAAUAUUGGUCAAGUUGCAUGGGAACGAAAUACGUACGGGGGGCAAUCUCAUGCCAUCAAAUUAAGGAUAACAGAUGUCCAGAAGAGAAUGGAUAUUUAGCUUCAUCCUCAACAGAUAUAGUAUCAAAUAUUCGAAUAUUUAGACUGAAAAUACGUAAAAUUAUAUUAGUUAUUUUUAACGUACUUUCAGGCUUUCUUCGGGUAUGCUUUAAUCUUUAAUGCAGAAUAUAGUUUUUGGGAUAUGCGGUUACAAUUAUUUUUUGGGAGGAAUGGUUUCUAGGUAAGCUUUUGCAAAAGUAAAUCAAGGUAAAUGAUCGGUGGCCGCAAAUAAUUGAAAGUAAAAGAAUAUUCUAGGAUUCAUCCUCCUUGUAUAUACCUUUUUGUCCCUCCUAAUUUUAACAUUUUAAAAGUUAAUACUACGGUAACAAAUUGGCAAUGGAUAAAAGGCAUUUAUCCCAAAGCCAAAACAACAUCAGAAUGGCUUAAUCAUCACAUAUUUUUGAUGUUUUCUCACUCACAACAGCACAAAUAUGUAAUGUUCCUCAACGAAAAUAUCCACGCAUUAAUCCUCAAUUUUACGCUUGUAAAAUAUGUAAUGUUCUUCUACAGAGUCAGAAAAUGGCGUCACGAUUAUAAUGUAAAAGCUUAUCAACUUUUCACUGAUCACCACAUAGAAACAUACAAGCUUAGAGCCGACUGAGCUUAAUUGUACAUGAAAACUUUAUUGGAAAGUACAAACACCAAAUCCGAUAUAACAUCAUGACAAAGUAACAAGAAGUUACCCUUACCACUAUUUAGGGAGAGGACUUCUUUAGAAGUAAAUUCAUGGUUGAGAAACAAAAGAAAAGCACAUUAGAACAGUCAACAAGCAAAUCUGUUUAGAGACAUAUGAACCCUGGUGGAGUAUGCCGGCCACAAGCAUUCAUACUCACGGCAAGGGAAAGUGGGAGAUUAAAGUGGAUGCCCAAAAUAUUGGCUUUGAUGGCUUUGCAAAGGCAAACGGCUGCGUCGAGGUCAACAAGGCCAUCAAGGAGAGAGCAACAAGGUAUUGUUAUGAGAGGUCCACCGAAGAUCCCAAUCACACUCAGCAAAUUAGCACAUAUGCCGAAUUUCAAGGCAUCUUUUGGGCAAGUUGCUUGAGGAGGUAAUGGUGCGCAAUGGACACAAGCACUGACCAGAAUGAAAAAGGCAAGGUUAAAGGCAAGAAAGAGAGCUGGGGUUGUAGUGGCCUUGGAGCCCAUAUUCUCAAACCCCAAUAAUACCUAAGCACUCUUGGUUUAGUCAAGAAAGAAAGAUUUUUGCUGUGCUAUGUUUUGG
rnacentral:lncRNA from 1 species